rnacentral:lncRNA from 1 species
UUUUAUUUUUGUAUGCAUUUAAUUCAGAGUAAAAGAAACUUUUGAUACAAAUCAAUUAUUGCCUGAAGAUAUACUUUGCACCUACAAUGUAAAAAUUGUUUAGUUUGUACCCUCAAGUCAUGAUUUAAAAACAACUAGCAUACUUACGUGGGAAAGAGCACAACCAAGCCUGGAUUUAUCAUAUAAGUAGACAUUGACAUAUUGAUUCAAAUCCCACUUAUUUGCGUCAGUGGUAAAAAACACCUCAAGAAGGUCUUUGUCCAAGCCAAAAUUUCAGGGUGGCCCAAACCCCUAUUGUAGUGAGGUUGGAGGCCCCUAGACAACCCCUCAUAGCCCCACAUCUAAGAGCUUUCUCCUUGAGCUCCUACCGACAUGUACAAGAGGUAGGAAGGAAUUUUCGUUUAUCAUCCACCGUACGCCUGUGUUCCCAACACCGGUAUUUUUUCGCUCUCCACCCGCAUCUGGACCGCUUCCACCACAUCAACUCCAUUUCCUCCAUUCCCGGCCCCCCUCUGGGUCCCCCCGCCCCCACCGCCGCUCUAGCACAUGCCACAUUGCCACUCCCACCCCAUGUGGAUCAACCACAUAUCUAUUCCCUGUUGCCGGCCUCAUCCGGCCUCCUUCCACCUCCUCAACUCCAUUUUAUCCAUCAGCGGCCUCCUUCGAGCUCCCAGCAUCAGCGCCUGACACAGCUCCGCCACCUCCUCCCGCCACCGCACGCCUGACUGAGGAGAGUGAUGGAAGCAAAAAAGGAAAAAAAAAUUGAGCCACUAACGAGUGGGUUCCAUAUGUAAUACUAAAAUAGGGCUAAAAAGUGGCUAUUUCUUAAGUCGGAGGCUUUUUUGGGGCUGAAAAUGUAGGGGAAGCCCCUACUUGGUCUGCAGGUUAUUUUAGGGGCUAUUGCAGGAGAUGCUCGAGAGGGAAUCCCGUGCAUUAAGUUUGGCUUUUGCCACAUAAGCAUGCCACUUGUGGACCCACAGUUGACCAAACCACCCCAUCCCCCAAAGGGGUUCAGUGAUAUGGUAUUUGGGCUUGAAGGUGCGAACUACUCCCUCCUUCCAUCUACAUAUGUGUAGGGCCUAAUGCGUUUUUCAAGGCUAACUUUCACCAAGUGUUAGAGCAAUAAUAUAUGACAUGCAAGUUACCCAAAGCAUACCGUCAAAUUCGUAUGUGAAAGAAGCUUCCAAUGAUAUAAUUUUCACAUUAUAUAUCUCAUGUAUUAUUAAUCUUAUCAAUAGUCAAAGGCGGUCUUGAAAAACGCAUUAGGCCCUAUAUAGAUGGAAGGAGGGAGUAAACGGUUUUUAGUGAGGUGUGCAAAGUAGACUCAAGCAAUAAAACCAGAAGUAAAGUUAUGAAAAUAAAAUAAAACAAUAAACCAACAUAUAUGACGAAUGGUUUGCUAUCUAUCCAUUUUCAUCAAACAAAAAUGUUUGUCUCAUAUGACAUUAUUAUUAUGCAGGAGUUACAAUAGGAUUAUUUGGCCUAAUCGUUAUUAUCAUGGCCACUAUCUUCUGGGGACAAUUGAUAUGUCAAAAGAGGAAACUGAAUAAAGUCAAGCUUGAGUAUUUUCGCCAGCAUGGAGGCAUGCUUUUGUUUGAUAAGUUGAAAUCAGAGAAAGGUCUUGCCUUCAAGGUAUUUUCAGAAGAUGAGCUAAUACAUGCAACUAACAACUUUGACAAUAGAAGAAUACUUGGAAGAGGUGGGAACGGAACAGUUUAUAAAGGGAUAUUGAAGGACAAGAUGUCAGUUGCAGUUAAAAGAUGUGCAUUGGCUGAUGAAAGGCAAAAGAAAGAAUUUGGACAAGAGAUCAUUAUUUUGUCCCAAAUCAAUCACAAGAACAUAGUGAAACUCUUGGGUUGUUGCCUUGAGGUUGAAGUUCCAAUUCUAGUAUAUGAGUUUGUCCUAAACGGUACACUAUUCGAGCUUAUCCAUGGCAAGAACCACCUAAAAAUCUCCUUCAACACUCUCUUAAGAAUUGCUCAUGAAGCAGCCGAAGGACUCAGCUUCCUGCAUUCGUAUGCGUCUCCUCCAAUAAUUCAUGGUGAUGUGAAAAGUUCCAACAUCUUGCUUGAUAAUAACUAUAUGGCCAAAGUGUCAGACUUUGGAACCUCCAUACUAGCCCCGUCUGACAAAGAGCAGUUUGUCACAAUAGUUCAAGGUACUUGUGGUUACCUUGAUCCUGAAUACAUGCAAACAUGUCAGCUAACAGACAAAAGUGAUGUGUACAGUUUCGGAGUUAUCCUUUUAGAGAUUCUCACAGGCCAAUUGCCACUAAAGCUCGAGGGGUCUCGGAGACGCAAAGAAGCUUGUCAUUGGUUUUCUUGUGUGCUAUGAAGAACAAUAAUCUAGAUGAUAUGUUGGCGAGCCAUGUGAAAAGCGAAGAGAGCAUGGAAUUGCUGAUAGGACUUGCAGACCUAGCAAAGCAAUGCCUAGAUAUGCAUGGUAUCAAUAGGCCCUCAAUGAAAGAGGUUGCCGAUGAGCUCAACAAAUUGAGGAAGCUUUCAGUGCAUCCUUGGUUACAACUUGACAUGGAGGCAAAUGCAGAAAGCCUUCUUGGUGGAGAGCCAACCAGCGGUCAUGAAAUUGAAUUAAGUGGGUAUACUAUAGGAGAAAAUGAGAACCAACCUAUAAACCCAAGAAGUUCUUAUUAUGCUAAGUGAUUAAGACAUGCACGAUAUCCAUUGAAGGAUGUGCCUUCCAUGCUUGAGUUCUUCACAAACAUCCCUUUCUAAACAUUUUUCUCCUCGCAUCUGCAACUGGGAUUAAGCUUGUUACGAUGUGCACUUUAUUUUCUGGUUAGCACUAUUGCAUCUGUGUGUAUUUUAUUCAGUUUUAUUCGAUCCAUAUGUACUUCUCACACACUGUUAUCUAUGGAACAUAUUUGAAUCCACAUGGUAUAUAUUGUUUUUUGCGAAAAUCCACAUGUUAUAUAUGUAUAUAGGCGAAAUUGUGGAUAGCAAAAUGUAUUGUGGUUGCAACCAUCGCUGCCGCACAUGCCUGCCCGUGAUCCGUGCGCAUGAAAGAGAGGUAGAAAUAUGCGUGCUUUUACUCAAUUUCUAGCCCACUUCACCCGGCGAUUCCCUGACCAUUUCUACAGCGGGGGAAGCCUUUCGUGCAGAGAGACGUUGCUGGUGUUAGAGUCGGUGGUCGAGUAGGAGGCACCGAAUCAGCCGCCGAAACUUUUGGCGCCCCAUGAAAUUUAUGUGGUCCGUGACCUGCCACUGUUUUCGAGGGUCCCAUCGUUCUCUCACUAUGGUGGAGGGUAAAUUAAAGGACGCCGCUAACUGCCACACGUGUGGUAGGAAAGGAGACGCACCACAGAUCUCUAAUGCAAACAGAUUGCCACGUCAUUGCAUGCAUGCAUGUAGAAAUCUUUUUGGAUUUUCAGUUUUUAAAAUGUUUUAUCUCUUAAACGAAAAAUCCGAUUGAAGAUCCGUUUUCACCAUUAAAUCCCUCACGAUGAGAUCUUCGAAACUAGAUCCCAUGUUGAUAUGUUUUGAUGAAAAAAAAUUUAGAUUAAAAGUUGCCAUGUCUAUUGCAUAUGAAUUGCCAUGAUGUUUACACUGAAGUUGUCAUGAUAUAUUUCAGCUAUUUUCUUCUACAUUUAAAAGUAAAUUUUGACAUUUAUAAAACGAGGAAUUAAGAAACUAGACUUGCCAUGAACCAUAAACUAAAAUUGCCAUGAUACAUGCAUGUAAAAUUGCCAUGGUUCAUACAAAAAACAAUUUUCAUGAUCAAAGUAUUGGAGUUGCCAUCAUCAAAAUACUAAAAUUGCCAUGAUCUACAAACUAAAAUUGCCACAUGGCAACUUUAAUUUAAGCCCUAUGGCAACUGCAGUGUAAACAUCAUGGCAACUUCUGCGCAAAAAAAAAAAUCGUCGAAACAUAUCAACAUGGGGUCUAGUUUUGAAGAUCUCGUCGAGACGAAUUUAAUGGUGAAAACGGAUUUUUAGUUCGCUUUUUUAUUUAGAAGAUACAACAUUUUUAAGCCGAAAACCAAAAAAAUUCCUGCUGAUGUCAUCUAUUCAUACGUGGCAAAAUGAAUGAUGAUGGAGGCGUGCACGUGUGGACGUUAACAUUUUCCAAAUUAAAUCACGCUCGAUCUUUUUCUCCCCGCUGGCCAAAUCCAGCCACGAGGACACCCUUUGUCCCCUUCUUCUUCCUUGACAUUUUUCUGCCCCUCAUGUCCCAUCUACUCCCCCGAUCUGGAGCACCAGCAGCGCCACGAGCCCCAAGCCGUUGCCCGACCUGCUCAUCUCUUUCCCUCCUCUGGUUGCCCGAGCCGAGGCCGACGGCGAGCUGCAGGACGUCCACGACAUCAAAUCACGAACACACGCGACACAAAAACUGAUAGCCAAAGGUACCUCUUGUACCCUAAAAAUUCCUCUCUUUAUUGCUUUUUCUAUUUUUCUCCACACGAUGUUACAACUCACGCAGGGCAUAUGUAUAUAUACACAGCCCAACGCACACGGCCACACGUACAAAUCAUAAACGGACUUGUAUUACACCUUUUUUUUCCGCAAGAUUUGUAUUACACCUUGACUCACGUAGACAAUAAACUACUAGGACACGGCUAACCAAUCCUAACCAGACUACUACUCCGAGCCCUACACGUACUACAGAAACUAGACCAACUAGUACAUAGUACUUCUAUACCUGAUCGCUAAUCAACUUAGCUAACACUAAUAAACCAUCUUUAACAAGAUUAUCUAACAACGAGCCCGUCGACUGGUAAGUAUUGUGACUUCCCUGGCAUGGAGAAAUGGCGUCAAGAGCUGCUGAUGUCGACGCUCGCCAACAUGGUAGACAACCUCGAGACCUUCCGCGACAACGACUUCAUCCGCAAGGGUGUACUAAAUUAAGUUGUACCCGCAUCCUAUGUUAUCAAAAGAAAAUGUUUCGGGAUUGUUAAACACUUGACGUUGAGACGAGACCUUAUAAAAAUUGCAGGGAAAGACCAUGCAAGCUACUACGUCUGUCCUGAUUUAUUGGUCCUCCUUGUAUUAUGUGCUAAAUUUUGACCAUACAUAUAACUAACAACAUGUUCAUGCAUGUCACCAAAAAUUAUAUUGUAAUCACAAGCUAGAGCAAGACAACCUUUGAGUCGCACACAAGGAUUCCAUCUUCUUUCAUUUUCCUCUUCUUUCAACCUAGAAUCCAAUAUAUGGUCUCAAAGCAUUGUCUAUGGAUAAACCUUCAAGUAUAACUCAAUACAAACACCAGUCCACAUGGAUUGUCCUUACUAACCAAAAAACACACACAUGGGGGCACCAUACACUUUCAUUGUGAAACUUGCCAUCUUCGGAGUGGUGGAUGAAGCUAGACAUGACGAUUGAGAAACCAACUUUGUGGAGAAGAAUGCGAGCAUUUAGUGGUGUUUGAGGAACUUCAUGGUUACCUCACCUCUCCAAUGGUGAUUAAUUAGGUUCCUUAUGGAAGUGAACAUUGAGAUAAAUCUUCAUCUCCUCAUGUCUUGACUAUCCUUACCGAAGUUAUUUACCCAUUAGGCGGCAUCACAUCUAGUGAUGCCGUUGGAUGAAAAAAAAUCGUUAAAAACCGCAGCGCGUUGGCGAGGAAUUGACCUUGUAACGAGUCUCUGGUGAAUGCAUGUUCCUAGCCACCGGAGUUGACUUGCAUUGUGGAUUGUAAGGCAGCUUAUACCUUAUUGAACCAACCAGAGCCACAUAACCGAACCGCGCCAUUAUAGCGAACCGAAGUCAGUCACUGUAGCGAAUUAAACCAUGGCAAUGUAGUGAACCGGAAUUAGUUACUGUAGCGUGCAUUUUUAAAACAAAAUGAGGAACAUUUUUUCAAAGUUGUAUAUUUUGAAAGAGUGCGAUUGUUUUUGAAUUUGUGAACAAACGUCCUAAGACAGGAAACAUUUUUUGAAAACCCAAAAUAAAUUUUGAGAGCAUGAACAUUCUUUGAAUGUGUGAACAAUCUUUUUAGAAAAUCACAAGCAAAUUUGUUGAAGUUGUGAAGAUUCAUGAAAUUCCGAACAAAUUUUGAAACCGUUAAAAAAAAUUGGUUUGUGAAACAAAAAUUGAAAAUGCCAUGAAAUUCCGAACAAAGAAAAUUCAACCAUGAACCUUGUUAAAAUUCCUGGAUUUCUUUUAUAUUUUCUACAUUGUUUUCUUACUUUUAAAUAAAUUUUUUGAGCAACUGUAGAUUUUGUUUUUUCUGUGUUUUUUCAUAAAGAAAAAUGUCUAGAAGGCCGAACAUAGCGCCCGUCGGCCCGCAGCACAAGGUCCCUGGCUGGGCCAUGUGAGCGUGGCGCCGCUGCAGCCCACAGAGACGAGCGAGACUAGCUAGGGUUUACACUCUCCUCUCCUCUCCUCUCCUCUCCUCCGAAUCAAAGAAGCUGCGGCGGCCGGUCGUGCUCAAGCCUCAAGGUAAGGUACCGCCGUUUUUCGCUUCUCCUCUCCUCUCCUGAGAGACCCCUCCCUCCCUCCCUCUUCCUUCCUUGCGUUGGUUCCCCGAUUCCACAUGUAGACGGUCUUUUUUUUCUGAUUCGCUUUCUUGUUCUUGAUAGAUAGGGGAAACCAAUCCGGUUCAUGUUGGAAAGCCAUUCUCCUAGGUAGUAGUAGUAGAAAGUAAGCUUUUUGGCUAGGGUUGCACCAAAUACUUGUGUAUUAUUUCUAGUUGAGCAGAUAUCAGAUUGGCCCUGUGAACUCAUCGUCCGUGGCAGGCAAAAUGAUUGAUUUCCUUUACUUUCUUUCUUGAACAACCAAGAGCUACAAGUGCUAGCAACUAAUUUGCAUAUAUGCUCUGGUUUUCUUGCUAUUAAUUAGCCAGGUGCCUCCAAAGUCCAAAUAAGUUGGUUCAGAGUCAGCACGUUUCUUUGUAUUCUCUUUCUUAGUUUAUUAUUCAGGCUCUUCUUGCUACUUUAUUAUGGUGGUAGCGCCAUUUUUUCUUUCCACCAAUCUAGACACAGAUAAGUUGCUAGCUAGCCUGGUUACAAUAAAUCUCCAUGCGUGCCUGGUUGGUUCAGAUUCAGCACGUUUCUUUGCAUUCUCUUAGUUUGUCCAUAAAUAAAGUUAGUUAAUGUUGUAUAGCCAUUCUCCCAGGUAGUACUAGUAGAAAGUAAGCUUUUUGCCUAGGGUUGCACCAAAUACUGAGUUGUAUUUAUAGUUGAUGAACAGAUAUUAGAUUGGCUUUAUCUAUCUAUUAAUAAUAGCUGCACCCUGUGAAUCCAACGCAUCGGCUGUGGCAAAAUGAUUGAUUUCCCUGCCUUAUUUCUUGCCCAACCAAGAGCUUCAAGUACUGACUAAUUUGCAUAUAUGCUCUGCUUUUCUUGUUAUUAAUUAGGUGCCUCCAAGUAAGUUGUUCGUUCAGAUUCAGCACGUGGGUCUUCAUGCGUCAAUUCUUGCUUGUUUCUUUGCAUUCUCUUAAUUAGUUAGUUCAUUAUUCAGGCCCUGCUACAAAUUGUCAUUUUUCUUUCUAAUAACAAUCUAGAGACAGAUAAGGUGCUAGCUAGCUACUAAAAUAAAUCUCCAUGCUUAUGAACAACACACAAUUAAGUUUUGGACAGAUACAGCAGAAAGUGCUCAGACUUCAUCACUAGUUGGACUUCUUCGUAAUGAGUGUCUGUCCCAAGUGUGAUCUCCAUCUAUCUUCACAUCCAUUAUUUAUUCUGAUAUAUCAUAAGUUUGAUGAGAACAGCACUUUGGUUGUUUUCUCAACCUUGAUAUAUAUUACCUGAUGAUUGGUACAGCUGAAUUGUUCGAUGGAGGACCUACCGGAGGCUCUGCUGACUGAGAUUCUCAAGAGGAUAACCAGGACAAUGAUCUCAAUUCUCUUUCCCUCGUGUCAAAGCAGCUCUACAAGAUAGAGGGGAAUCAAAGGGGUGCUAUCCGUGUUGGUUCCCAUCUUUGCAUUGCUACAGAAGCACUGACAUCAUUGUGCGCCCGGUUCCCAAAUCUGCAGAAAGUGGAAAUCGAUUACUCUGGUUGGAUACCUGGACAUGGAGAUCAGUUGGACAACAAAGGCCUUUCUGUGUUUUCAUCUCUCUGUUCCUCACUGGUUGACCUCACCUUAAGCUUCUGCUCAUGCAUUGAUGACUCUGGGCUUGCUUGUUUAGCGAAUUGCAAGAAAUUGGUGUCUCUCGGGCUCAACUCCACACCACAAAUAACGCCAGUUGGGCUUUUCUCGGUUGCAGUUGGUUGCACAAGUCUAUCUGCUCUCCACCUUAUUGGUUGUGAGAAAAUUGACAGUGUAGAGUGGCUGGAAUACCUUGGUAGGGAUGGACCAUUGGAAGAGCUUGUGGUGAAGAAUUGCAAAGGUAUCAAUCAUCAUGACUUCCUAAAGUUUGGUUCAGGAUGGAUGAAGCUCCAGAAGUUUGAGUUUGAGGGCAAAAGAGGAAGAUAUGAUAGUCUUACCGGUGAUGUGAUCUAUGACUCCUCGUACGAUGCUCACAGCAUGGAUUUGUAUGAUUUCUGCUGUGAGAGUUUGAAGGACUUAAGGUUGGCGCGUAUUAAAACUUGGCCGGAAGUAGGACUUCGUGUUGUCCUAGGGAAAUGUAAAGCAUUGGAGAAGCUUUGCCUUGAGUAUGUUUGUGCCCUAAAUGGCAAUGACAUGAUUGCAUUAUCUCGGAGCUGCAGCAACCUUAAAAGCAUCUCACUUUGGCUCAACCUGCAGCACUACACUAGUGAUGUCAACUAUUGUGAGACCAUGACGUCAUUUACUGAUAACAGCCUUUACGCUCUAGCCCUCAACUGUCGUAUGCUUCAGAUGGUAGACCUCAACUUUAUAGGAUGUGCUGCUGACUGGCCAUCAGAAAUAGGAUUCACACAACAGGGUUUUCUAGUGCUGAUUCAGUCCUGCCCGAUUCGUGUUCUCGUGCUAAAUACUGCCAACUUCUUUGAUGACGAGGGGAUGAAGGCCCUGUCAUCCUCACCAUAUCUGGAUACACUCGAGCUUAUACUUUGUGAAGCGGUAACUGAUGCUGAGAUGCGCUUCAUUGCGGACACCCCAUGCUUGAGUAAUCUCACACUUCGGAUGUGUCAUAACGUUACUGAUGUUGGAGUGGCUGAACUGGAAUAUGCACAGAAGUUAGAGUCUUUGGUCAUCGAGUCUUGUGGUGAGGUCUCUCUGCAAGCUGCGCAGCGUGUUGCCAAGUCAGUUCAGUACUCCAGCGAGUGUUCAAAUGCCCUUAUGAAGAAAAUUGGUCUUGGCGGCUAUUGGUGAAGUGGUCUCCAAAAAAAUUAGUAUGAAUUUGCUGCUGAAGCCAUUAAGUUGUUCAGUGUGCAUCAUUGGACAAGGCAGUGCAUCAUCCGACCUAGAUUCACUUGUCUGGACUUUCUAUUGCCUUUACCUUUACUGCAACGAGUUUCCUUUAUGACAUUCUAAUGAUCAAUUCUGGAUGGCAAUUGAUUAAUGAAACUUUAAUAGUAGGCACCACUUGUGUAUUACUAUCAACCGUAAUUCUGGUUGCUUAAUUUCUACUCUCUGUAGCCGUUUCGAAACCAACAUCAGUAGGCCCCAAGAUUCCCUGUUUCUGCUGUGGAGGCAGUAUAUGAUCUUUUGGUGUUAUUUCUUAUUUGUAUUAUUUAAGCAAAUGUCAUGAACCCCUUUUUAUUGCGGAAGUGAUUUUGAAGACAUAUAUAUCUGCCUGCUAUGUUCGCGUGCCAAUUUUGGUAUGGAUCAAUGUAGUAACAAUAGUCCAAGUUUUGAUGCUUGUUUUGUUGAUAUCGACUCUAUUGGAGGAUGUCUUUGAUUGCUUCUCAAAAGAAUAGUGCUAGUUGCUACUCCCUCUGUAAACUAACGUUAAGAUGUUUUUGCAGUUCAAACUGAACUGCAAAAACGUCUUAUAUUAGUGUACAGCGGUAGUAGCAUCAAGAGUAGAAAUUAAGGGGCUGUUUGGUUUGUAGCCACAUAUUGCCACACUUUGCCACACCUCAUCUUAGGCAAGUUUGAUCAAGUUAGGUGGCUGUUUGAUUCUAGCCACACCUAAGGCAAAAAAAAAUUUAUGAGCAGUGAAUCCCACAUGUCAAUAGACAUAAAAAGUGUGGCAAGAUUCCCUUAGGCAAGCCAAAAUAUGGCUAACAAUUUGAGCAACUUAAGUUAAGCAAGUGUGGCAAAAAGUAAUGUGGCAACAUAAGGCAAACAUAGUCACAAUCCAAACAGCCCCUAAGACACCAUUUGAUUUGAGCGAUGAGUUAUUGAGAUUCAUGUGUUUGCUUGGUUUCUCGGUCUAGUACAGAGAUCAUGAAGGUACUGUAAUUUACAGAGGGAGCUCAUUCAGAAAUCACAAGAGCAACAUUGCUCCUUUGCAAAUUACCAGAGCCCAUCAAGAUGCCAACUUUUCUGGUUGUAUACUUUGUGUUGUAUACUUGACAAGUACUUGAGCUAAAAUGAAACAUGUGCCUUUCCUUGAUAAAAAGAGAGAAUAUGUUUUUACAUUAGCUCGUGCACGACCUGAUCGUGGAAUAUUUAUUGCUCCCUCCAAUCGUGGAGCGACGGUGGGUGGUGUUUUGUUGCGCAAAAGGGGUGUGGUGUGACCGCGUGGGUGUUGUUUGCCGCAUGAUAGGGAGGCUGACAUCAGAGUCGGAUAAUUGUUUUACAAAGUCCCAAACAUCUUGAUCUACGUCUCAUUAAUGAUUUAGGUAUAGACAAACUGAUUUGCACCGAUCAAAGAGGAAAAAUCCGCUUCAAAGGUUCUAAAGCCAACUAGUAAGAUGCCCGUGCGUUGCACGAAACAUCGAAAUGCAUUGAUCCGGGAGUUGUUUAUUUGACAAAGUAUAUGGGGCCAUCUCAUGUGUAACAAAUAUUGAUAGAUUUCUUCGAAUAUUCAUUCUUCUCUAGAGCUCAUAAGCAUCCCGGUGAAUAGUAAAUGUAGGUAAAAUAGAUUAAAAAAUGUUUUGCAAACAAAAGCAUUCAAGUGUUCAACCUGCAUCCAAAACUUCAUGAAGAAAUAACACUUAUUGUGCUUAGCAAAAAAUGAUCUUUAAAAAUCAUUUUUUGAGUAUCAAUUUUGUUUUUUGUUCUAGACCGCCAUGAAUGUAACUCGGGAUGACUUGGAAGGGGGCGAAGGAGAUGGCGAGGAGGAGGGGGUCAUGGACUCAUGGUGGUGGUCGGCAAUGCGGCCCGAGAGAAGGCAUGAGAGGCGUUGGGGGCAGGCGACGCCGAGAGCAACGACCUCUCCAUAUCCUUCUUAUUUUUUUUCCUGAGAUGGCUAGAUGAGGUGAGAGGGAGAGUGGCUGAACUUGAGAGGCAGUGGGUUAUCUACAAACGAGGAGUGGAGUGCGGGGGUCUUUUUUGCAAAACUGAUAUAGUUUGUCUCAGAUGCAUUGGAUGUAAAUCGAACGGUUGUAAACGAUGGAUGGCAGUCACACCAUCAUCACCAACUCAGCUUUUUAUAGGAGUAGAGAUGCGUACCGGUUAUUGGAACCUUUUUAAAAUUGGUUUAGUGGGCCGUUCCAAGACGUGAGCGUCCCCAACACCAGAGGCAAGAACAUGCUACAUCUUGCAGUGAGCGAGAUAUAGCCUUGGCGCUAGUUUCUGUGCUCUGCCCGUUGUGCCAAUGAGCAUACUGGGCCAGCUCAGCUUGGUUUGAUCGUCUCUCAUACCAACCAAGACCAAAAGCUCAAUUGGCCGGUCCACCCUUACUCACGGCAAUUCUUCUUGUUGGGAGCGUCUAUAUCCACCACGGUUAUAUUUUGCUUAGUGCGAGAUGUAGCCUGGAGUCGCUUUUAGCCCGAAGGUUCUAUAGACCGGUUCAGACCAGCUUUAGAACCUUCCAUUUCGUUUAUUUCUUCUUCCUCUUCUUCUUUGUUUCGGUGUUUUUUAUUGACUACGUUAGUUUUUUCUGGGUUCUCACUUUUCCAUUCAUUUAAUUUCUUUUCUUUAAAAAAAUGUCUAAUUUUUUCAAUACAAGUUGUACAUUUUUCAUAUGCACAUGUGAUAAUUUAUCGACACAGAUUGACAGAUUUUCAAGUAUAUGAUGAAUAUAUUUUAAAAUAUAUGUUUGAAUAAUUGUCAAACAUUUUCAAAUACACGUUGUUUUUCUUUUUUUGCGUUACGUAAUUUUUCUGAUAUUAUACUAACAUUUCUAAAGAUAUCACAAACAAUUUUCUUGAAAUGUCACGAAUACAUUUUUUGAAACAUGUGAACAUUUUUUUAAAUGCCACGGACAAGUUUUUCUGAAUGGCAUAAUUUUUUCGAAAUUAUCUGUACAUUUUUUACAUUGUAUGGCCUAUAAAAAAUUGCCACAUGAAAAUAGCAGGCAGAUAUUUUCAAAAUCCCUUUCGUAGUAAAAAGGGUUCACAAUAUUUCUUAUAGAGCAGAAACAAUAAAAGCAAGCAGGGAAUCUUGGGACUGAUUUGUGAAGUUUCAGAACAGCUAUUUUUGAAAAGUAUCACAAAUAUAUAUGUUUGAAAUAACCGAACAUUUUUAAAAUGUCACGAACAUUAUUUUUAAUGUUAUGAACAUUUUCUUAAAUUUGCACCAAUAUUUUGUUAACACUGCAUCAUCUUAUUUUAUAUGUGUGACGAACACUCUUAAAUUUUGAAGUAAAUUAGAAUAUUUCAAAAACGUAAUCAAAAUAAGAAAACGAAAAAUGAAACCAAGAAACGAACGAAUCCGAGCUGGCGCCUACAGCCGCUGAAUCAUGGGCCGGCCCAUGUGGCGACAGACGCCCAGUCUCUCGCUAAACUCGCCCCGCCUGGUCCCUCCUCGAUCGAGAGCCCAGUUGACUUUAGAAAAAAAGAUGAAAACUUAAAACGAAAGAAUCACAAAAAAAGAGAAAAAAAUCGAGAUUUGAAAAAAGUUCACAGAUUUGGAAACCUUCAUCCAUUUUUGAAAUAAGUUCAUGAAAUUGGGAAAGAGUUCAUCAAUUUUGAAAUAAGUUCACCGAAUUUAAAAAAAGUUCAUCCAUUUUGAAAAAGAGUUCAUCGAUUUUGAAAAAGAGUUCAUCGAUUGUGAACAGAGUUCAUCGGUUUUGAAAAAGAAUUCAUCAAUUUAGAAAAAAAGUUCAUCGAUUUAGAAAAAGUUCAUCGAUCUUGAAAAAGAGUUCAUCGAUUGUGAAAGAAAGUUCACCGAUUUUGAAAAAUAGUUCUUUCAAAUUAGCAAAAGAAAUAUAAAACCAUUCCGAAAAGAAGAAAAAAGAAAAAGAACAAAAAACAUAAAAAAACCAUUUCGAAUAAAAAGGAAAAAGAAAUGGGAAAAAAGAAUGGUUGUAAAGAAAAGGUGAAGAAGCAGUAAUUUGGGCAACUAGUGCGUGUUAGUGCGGUGGUUAGUGCUGAGGCGAAUGACCGUGAGGUCGCGCGAUCGAUUCCCAUCCAAAGCGCGCCUUUUCUGUCCUCACGACAGGAAGGAAAGGAAAAAGAUGGGCCAGGCCCAGUUAAUGCGGCUGCAGGCGCCGGUUUGCGAAAACAACUAUAACCGGCACAUGCAGCGUUAAAUAGGAAAUGCCGAAGCGCACUUAAUCAUGGUGGUAGCUAGUUUAAUUUAAUGAUGUGGCCUGCCUGUAGCGUCAUUUUUUCUUCCUAAGUAAGGUACUUUAAUAAAUCUCCAUGCUUAUGAACAACACACAGUUAAGUUUUGGACAGAUACAACAGAAAAUGCUCAAAGUUCAUUAAUGUUGUAAAGCCAUUCUCCUAGGUAGUACUAGUAGAAAGAAAGUAAGCUUUUCGCCUAGGGUUGCAGCAAAUACUACUGUAUUAUUCUCUAGUUGUAGGGAAAAAUGAUUGAUUUCCCUACUUUCUUUCUUGAACAACAAAUUGCUACUAGUACUAACUAAUUUGCAUAUAUGCUCUGGUUUUCUUGUUAUUAAUUAGCUAGGUGCCUCCAAAUAAGUUGUUGGUUCAAAUUCUGCACGUUUCUUUGCAUUCUAUUUCUUAGUUCAUUAUUCAGGCUCUGCUUGCUACUUAUGGUGGUAGCUAGUUUAAUUUAAUGAUGUGGCCCGCCUGUAGUGCCAUUUUUUCCCGAUGCGUGAACAGAUAUUUUCUACUUAUGGAGCUAGCUAUUUUAAUAAAUCUCCAUGCUUGUGAACAACACACAAUUAUGUUUGGCACAGAUACAGCAGAAAUUGCUCUAAGUUCAUCAGUAGUAUAUUCUCCGUAAAGAGUGUAUGUCCCCAGUGUCAUAUCCAUCUAUCUUCACAUGCAUUAUUAUUCUGAUAUAUCGUAAUUUUGAGUCGAACUCUUCCGUUGUUUUCUGAACCUUGAUAUAUAUUUCCUGAUGAUUGGUACAGUUGAAUUGUUCGAUGGAGGACCUACCGAAGGCUUUGGUGAAAGAGAUUCUCAACAGGAUCACCACGACAAGUGAUCUGAAUUCUCUUUCCCUCGUGUCAAAGCAGCUCUACAAGAUAGAGGGGAAUCAAAGGGGCGCUAUCCGUGUUGGUUUCGGUCUUCCCACUGCUACAAAUGCGCUGACAUCAUUCUGCGCCCGCUUCCCGAAUCUGCGGAAAGUGGAAAUCGAUUACUUUGGUUGGAUACCUGGACAUGGAAAGCAGCUGGACAACAAAGGCCUUUCUGUGCUUUCAUCUCACUGUUCCUUGCUGGUUGACCUCACCUUAAGCUUCUGCUCAUGCAUCGAUGACUCUGGGCUUGGUUGCUUAGCGAAUUGCAAGAAAUUGGUGUCUCUCAGGCUCAAUUCCACACCACAAAUAACUUCGAUUGGGCUUUUCUCGGUUGUGGUUGGUUGCACAAGUCUAUCUGCUCUCCACCUUAUUGGUUGCGAGAAAAUUGACAGUGUAGAGUCUUCGUCGCUGGCCAUGGCCGCAACACCACACCGCCCCGCAGACAACGUCUUCGCCGCCGCAACGUUGAGCCCGCGCCAAGCCGUAGCCGCCCAAGGAGCACCGCCGUAGGGAGGGAGAGAGCCACGACUCCGCCUCCGAGCACGCGGGGAAGAGUAGUGUGUCGCCGCCGGCGCCACUUGGGCUACACCAACGACAGCCAAGGGGGAGGGAGGAGGAAGGGGGNNNNNNNNNNNNNNNNNNNNNNNNNNNNNNNNNNNNNNNNNNNNNNNNNNNNNNNNNNNNNNNNNNNNNNNNNNNNNNNNNNNNNNNNNNNNNNNNNNNNNNNNNNNNNNNNNNNNNNNNNNNNNNNNNNNNNNNNNNNNNNNNNNNNNNNNNNNNNNNNNNNNNNNNNNNNNNNNNNNNNNNNNNNNNNNNNNNNNNNNNNNNNNNNNNNNNNNNNNNNNNNNNNNNNNNNNNNNNNNNNNNNNNNUUGCUUCUCCUUUGACUCUCAGGCUGGAUAUGGAAACCAGGAAUAAAAGCAAGUGUUGGGAAGUGUUCAAGCUAUUCCCACGUAUUGUUUCUUCUAUGUCCUUGAAAAAGGAACUUCACAUGCAGGCAACAAAUACUGAAGAAUGGAAUGUUAUAGUUGAGUUUUAAUUAAAGCAUUGAUUUCAAACAUUUGCAGCUUAACGUAAUAUACUAUGGUGCAUCUCUAUGCACUUUUGAUUACUCGUAAAUUACAAGGGGGCAUACCUGGGAACACUGGCGUGUCGGUACAUGGCCAGGCGUACAGAGAAAGACCAAGCAGCCUAACCAGCGCGUCCGUGGGCCAGAGUGGAUCGACUAAAGCCCACGCAACGCACGGGGGCAUCGGCAUCCAGGGGAUCACGGCAACAGCACCCGGCAGCUACCUACCUCAUAAUUCCGCGACCGAACCCUAGUUCAUCCCCCACCAUUUCUGUAAUCAUUGCUCAUCUUGUAAUCGGAAGAUAUAUUGCCAUGGCAGCAGCCGGAGCUCGAGGUCGUGGGCAUCGGGGCUACGAUACGAAUUAGACGGGGAGACUAGGGGGGAAACGGUCAGUAGCUCACGGCGGUUACCGGGCUCGGGGACGGCCGGAGCUGAGCGGGCCGGCGAGGCAGAUCUCUGGCGGCCAAGGAGGAGGAAGGCGUCGGGGGCGGCGCUUCGGGGCCCUUCCGGUCGCGUCGCUCGGCGUGUAUGAAUAGGACGAUGAUGUGGAUNNNNNNNNNNNNNNNNNNNNNNNNNNNNNNNNNNNNNNNNNNNNNNNNNNNNNNNNNNNNNNNNNNNNNNNNNNNNNNNNNNNNNNNNNNNNNNNNNNNNNNNNNNNNNNNNNNNNNNNNNNNNNNNNNNNNNNNNNNNNNNNNNNNNNNNNNNNNNNNNNNNNNNNNNNNNNNNNNNNNNNNNNNNNNNNNNNNNNNNNNNNNNNNNNNNNNNNNNNNNNNNNNNNNNNNNNNNNNNNNNNNNNNNNNNNNNNNNNNNNNNNNNNNNNNNNNNNNNNNNNNNNNNNNNNNNNNNNNNNNNNNNNNNNNNNNNNNNNNNNNNNNNNNNNNNNNNAGAGAGGGGAGAGGUGCAGGGGGGGGAUGCUGGGCGUCUCCAAGCAAGCAGGUGGACUCGCGGGGACGCUGCCAGCGCGAAACAACAGGUGGAGGCUCCGCGGUGCGCGCGCGUGUUCGCUCCUGCCUACUGGCAGGAGGAAAACGACGAGCGAGGAGGUAAGUGGGCUGGGCCGGCUACAGGUAGGUGGGCCAGGUAGGUUUCCUUUCUCUUUUUUGUUUUAUUUUGCCACGUUCAGCUGCUAAGUAAUCAUCGUCUUUCUUCUAAUCAUUACCAGAGUUUGCAGUAAAACAAUGCAUUAGCCCAGAUAGCUUUUGGACUGUGGAAGAGGCAGUACGCAAGGGAAAAGAAUUACUCUCUUUGUUCAAAAUUAAGUGUCGUUGAUUUACUACAACUAUUUGAAACAGAGGGAGUACCAAACACCGAGUUCUCUUCGAUUGAGAAACAAUAUUUUGUGUGGCUCCCAUUCCCACUCGGAUGGAAGGGGCAGUACGCAAUGGAAAAGAAUGUUAACCGAGCUGGAUAGUGUACUAGUUGUUUGUUUAAAAUGUACAUCUUGUGUGUGAAACCAAAAAUUGAGAUUCAACUUUUGAUCACCAGUAAAUAUUAUGUAUUACUACCGGGGAAAUGAUCUUCCAAUCUCAUGUAAACUUUGUUUUUUAAUGUAGUAACCCUGUGAGCUAUUUGAAUCUAUUCUUAAGAGGGUUAACUGGAAACUUAAUUUAUGAUGGGAGAUGUACAUCUAGGCGAUGGACUGGAGGCACCUUGGUACAUGUUAGGAAUGGGAACAUGGAGAUGGUGGAAACCAUGGCAGUGCUGUUAAAGUUAUGUAGUCAAAUAUGUGUGUUUAUAUGAAUUAUUUUGUAUUGUUCCUUUUUUUUGUAUAUCUUUUGCUGUUUUUUCGCCAAAAAGUAAACUGUUGUGGUCACUUUGAAGGGGGUAUAUUGUCUUUUCGAACUCUCUCAUACUCACUCCGUUCCGAAACAGAAUAGUGCAUAUAAAGAUUGUCACAAGUUGAACUUUACAAUAUUUGACUGAGUUUAUAUAUAGGGGUAAAUAUGGACACCCACGGUAUCAAAUGUGAUAUUUAUUUGGCAUUGUAGCUGUUGAUAUACAUUGCAUAAUUUAGUGUAUAUUAUUUCAUUCUUUCGAAGAAUCCCGCUGUUCCACAUUUGAUCGACGUGCUUGCAUGUCCUUCGUCGGUGGGUGAAGUCAAACGAUGCAUGUUUCCUUUCAAAUCACCCAUCUCGAGGUGCCAUUUUCUAUGAGUAAACAAAAAUAGAUCUCACAUGUUAGCUUUUGUCAAGUAGUAGAUCUAGCUAGAUUGUUGGCCUAUCGUCAUCAUUGUAUCACUUAUCAUUGGUUGACCCCCAUGUGGUAAUUUGUGAGGUAUAUACCAAGCUCGGGUAUUGCUCCAUUCAACUGUAGGACAUGUAAUAACCCUGAGAACGAUCCAGAUCUAUUAAUUCCGAGAGAGCUAAACGGGAACUUAAUUUUUGAUGGACAUGUUCAUCUCCUAGGGAAUGGACUGGAGGCACCUUGGUACAUGUUAGGAAUUGGAACAUGGAGAUGGUGGAAACCAUGGCGGUGCUGUUAAAGUUAUGUAGUCAAAUAUGUGUGUUUAUAUGAAUUAUUUUGUAUUGUUCCUUUUUUUGCAUAUCUUUUGCUGUUUUUUCGCCAAAAAGUAAACUGUUGUGGUCACUUUGAAGGGGGUAUAUUGUCUUUUCGAACUCUCUCAUACUCACUCCGUUCCGAAACAGAAUAGUGCAUAUAAAGAUUGUCACAAGUUGAACUUUACAAUAUUUGACUGAGUUUAUAUAUAGGGGUAAAUAUGGACACCCACGGUAUCAAAUGUGAUAUUUAUUUGGCAUUGUAGCUGUUGAUAUACAUUGCAUAAUUCAGUGUAUAUUAUUUCAUUCUUUCGAAGAAUCCCGCUGUUCCACAUUUGAUCGACGUGCUUGCAUGUCCUUCGUCGGUGGGUGAAGUCAAACGAUGCAUGUUUCCUUUCAAAUCACCCAUCUCGAGGUGCCAUUUUCUAUGAGUAAACAAAAAUAGAUCUCACCUGUUAGCUUUUGUCAAGUAGUAGAUCUAGCUAGAUUGUUGGCCUAUCGUCAUCGUUGUAUCACUUAUCAUAGGUUGACCCCCAUGUGGUAAUUUGUGAGGUAUAUACCAAGCUCGGGUAUUGCUCCAUUCAACUGUAGGACAUGUAAUAACCCUGAGAACGAUCCAGAUCUAUUAAUUCUGAGAGAGCUAAACGGGAACUUAAUUUUUGAUGGACAUGUUCAUCUCCUAGGGAAUGGACUGGAGGCACCUUGGUACAUGUUAGGAAUGGGAACAUGGAGAUGGUGGAAACCAUGGCGGUGCUGUUAAAGUUAUGUAGUCAAAUAUGUGUGUUUAUAUGAAUUAUUUUGUAUUGUUCCUUUUUUUGCAUAUCUUUUGCUGUUUUUUCGCCAAAAAGUAAACUGUUGUGGUCACUUUGAAGGGGGUAUAUUGUCUUUUCGAACUCUCUCAUACUCACUCCGUUCCGAAACAGAAUAGUGCAUAUAAAGAUUGUCACAAGUUGAACUUUACAAUAUUUGACUGAGUUUAUAUAUAGGGGUAAAUAUGGACACCCACGGUAUCAAAUGUGAUAUUUAUUUGGCAUUGUAGCUGUUGAUAUACAUUGCAUAAUUCAGUGUAUAUUAUUUCAUUCUUUCGAAGAAUCCCGCUGUUCCACAUUUGAUCGACGUGCUUGCAUGUCCUUCGUCGGUGGGUGAAGUCAAACGAUGCAUGUUUCCUUUCAAAUCACCCAUCUCGAGGUGCCAUUUUCUAUGAGUAAACAAAAAUAGAUCUCACCUGUUAGCUUUUGUCAAGUAGUAGAUCUAGCUAGAUUGUUGGCCUAUCGUCAUCAUUGUAUCACUUAUCAUUGGUUGACCCCCAUGUGGUAAUUUGUGAGGUAUAUACCAAGCUUGGGUAUUGCUCUAUUCAACUGUAGGACAUGUAAUAACCCUGAGAACGAUCCAGAUCUAUUAAUUCUGAGAGAGCUAAACGGUAACUUAAUUUUUGAUGGACAUGUUCAUGUCCUAGGGAAUGGACUGGAGGCACCUUGGUAGAUGUUAGAAAUGGCAACUUUGAAGCCUGGGGUGGCUUCAAUAGUGUGGUCAAUUUCAUUUUUUUGCAGGUGAAUCGUGUGGUCAAUUUAAUGUACUCAUACACUAGUGCUAAUAUGAUUAAUUUGUAUAUUUUUCAACCGGUCGUCCCUCACUCACUCCAACCGGUCGUCCCUCACUCUCCCUUCUCCACUCCAAUCUCACUCUUCCCCGCACCCCCCAGUCGUCCGCCGCCGCCGCCAUCGUUCCCCGACCACCGUUGUCGCCCUCCCCGACCACCGUCGUCGCCCCUCCUUCGAUGUUGAAACGGUAUGCAACGAUGACAAAUGUUUUUUCGUAAUUAAGCACGACUUCUACUUCUUCAAUGUGUAAUUUUCGUCUUUUACAAUUCGACUAGCCUAUCCCAUGCCAUGUAAGACGCUAUGUUUGGAGAGGAUGGAUUUUGAAGAUCAUGAAAGUAUGGAAACAAAGAUAGUUCACCUAAGGACUCAUCAUGGUAUGGAUUUUCCUGUAAAUCUAUACAAUUCUGAGCGCAUAUCCCAUUUUGAUUGCCCGAAUUGGGAAGCACUUUGCAAGAUGUAUGAUUUUCAUGAGGGUAUGCUUGUCACCUUGGAUCUUGGUGAUCCUGACAUCGACGAAGAUAAUAUGGACAUUUGGGUCCUUAUUGAUACGCUUCCAAUUCUUUCGCUAUGUGAGUUUCUCAAACAUAGUUAUUAAGUAAUUUAUAUUGUUUAUUUCAAAAUAGUUGACAGCUUAUUUCCAUUGAUAGCUUAUUUUCAUUCUUCAAAGAAUGCACGGAAGAUGGUAGACAGAACCUACUACACCGAUGGUGCAGAAUUAACUUAUCAGGAGAAAAAUCGUCUUAUCUCAUUUAUUAUUGAUGUUGAGAAUUACAAUAUCAAUUAUCAAACUCCUGCACAUUAUGGUCAAUACGUGUCACUAGUGCACAUGUUGAACUACGGUAACAUCUAUGGAGAUGGCAUGGUAAGAUUUUUUACUAUUAUGACAUCCGUGCAUCUUUUGCAUAAAUUCUUCUAAAGCUAAACUACAUUGCUAACUACGACGUUAUUAGUAUGUUUUUCAACAGAAAAUCCCGAAGGAUUGUGUGCCUCAUCUCAUGUUCUCGAAAGGUCACCUUGAUGUUAUUAGCUUACGGCUAGGUCUGCCUAGGCUUCACUAUUGUUCAUACCGGAUUUCUAAAACCGAUGAAGACAUGACAAUCAAAGCAUGGAAAAAAUGUAUGUAUAGUCAUACGGAGCUACUUGGAACCAACAUUGUGCGAAGCGCAAGAACUGGAGACAAGAUAGUCUCCAUUCUCCAUAAUGGAGAGUCAGGGCCUAUCUUGUUUUACGCCAUUUUACCUUAGAGGGGGUAGUAGGUCCUAUGAGAGAGGAGUAGGUCCUAGGUACAAUGUGUUAUUAUGUGCUACAAUGUGUUAGAGUUGAUGAUGAUGAUGAGGACGAGUUAUGAUUAUGACUAGUGACCAAGUGUUAUAUGAUGUCUAUGGACGAAAAUGAUGAUCAUGAGGAGUUGUUACAUGACAAUGAUGUAUUAUGAUGAUAAGUUGUUAAUGAUAUGAUGAUGAUGAUGAGUGACGAAAAUGAUGAUCAUGAGGAGUUGUUAUAUGACAAUGAUGUAUUAUGAUGAUAAGUUGUUAAUGAUAUGAUGAUGAUGAGUUAUUAUAUCAUUGGGUGAAAGAAUGGCAGAUUAGUUUCAAGUGGAUGGAUCCUAAGUGAUCAAGUCAUGGAUUAUCACGGUACUCCAUGACUUGGUCACUUAGGAUCCAUCCACUUGAAACAAAUCCACGGUUCCUUCACCCAGUGAUUUAAUAACUCAUUACGAUGUAAAAACAAUCUCUAAAUUGCUACUAUAUGAAAACUUGUAUAAUGGUGUAUGAAUACGACAUAAAAUAAAAAAGAAAUAAUGGAAUAAUAGUAGUAGCACUGGCAGAGAGACGCGCUACUAGUAAUUAUCAGUAGCGCCUUUUCCAAGAAGCACUACUACUAAGUAGCUAUAGCAGUAGCACGCGUAGACCAACGCUACUGCUAACCUUUAGCUGUAGCGCCGUAGCAGUAGCGCAGGUAGUAGUAGCGCAGGUAGCAGUAGCGCGAUUACCCGAGCUACUGCUAGGCCCAAAACCAGCGCUAUGCUAGGCUUUUUCCUAGUAGUGUUAAGAGAAGGCAAUGUUUUUUGGGGAACGUAGCAGAAAUUCAAAAUUUUCUACGCAACACCAAGAUCAAUCUAUGGAGUAAUCUAGCAACGAGGGAAGGAGAGUGCAUCUACAUACCCUUGUAGAUCGCUAAGCGGAAGCGUUCAAGUGAAUGGGGUUGAUGGAGUCGUACUCGUCGUGAUCCAAAUCACCGAUGAUCCUAGUGCCGAACGGACGGCACCUCCGCGUUCAACACACGUACAGCCCGGGGACGUCUCCCACGCCUUGAUCCAGCAAGGGGAGAAGGAGAGGUUGGGGAAGACUCCGUCCAGCAGCAGCACGAUGGCGUGGUGGUGAAGGAGGAGCGUGGCAAUCAUGCAGGGCUUCGCCAAGCACCGCGGGAGAGGAGGAGGACUUGGGAGAGGGGGAGGGCUGCGCCAGAACUUAGGUGCGGCUGCCCUCUCUCUCCCUCACUAUAUAUAGGGGGAAGGGAGGAGGGGGAGGCGCCCUAGGGGAGGGGCGGCGGCCACAGGGGAAACCCUAGAUGGGUUUGGGCGCCCCCACCCCCUAGGAAACUUGCCCCCCAAGCCGGGAGGAGCGGCUGCCCUAGGGGUGGCACCCCCACCUCUCCUGGUUACGUGAGAUGGGGUGGGAGGGGUGCUCAGCCCCUUAUUGGGCUGAUGUGCCCUCUCCCCUUGGCCCAUAAGCCCCCCCAACGCUUGCCGGGGCCUUCGAAACCCCUUUCGGACACGCUGGUCAUCACCUGGUACCCCCGGAACAAUUCCGGACUCCAAUACCCUUCGUCCAAUAUACCGAUAUUCACCUCCGGACCAUUCCGGAGCUCCUCGUCAUGUCCGGGAUCUCAUCCGGGACUCCGAACAACCUUCGGUAACCACAUACUAUUUCUCUAUAACCCUAGCGUCACCGAACCUUAAGUGUGUAGACCCUACGGGUUCGGGAACCAUGUAGACAUGACCGAGACACCUCUCCGGCCAAUAACCAACAGCGGGAUCUGGAUACCCAUGUUGGCUCCCACAUGUUCCACGAUGAUCUCAUCGGAUGAACCACGAUGUCGAGGAUUUAAUCAAUCCCAUAUUCAAUUCCCUUUGUCUUGCGGUAUUGUACUUGCCCGAGAUUCGAUCGUCGGUAUCCGAUACCUUGUUCAAUCUCGUUACCAGCAAGUCUCUUUACUCGUUCCGUAACACAUCAUCCCGUGAUUAACUCCUUGGUCACAUUGCGCAUAUGAUGAUGUCCUACCGAGUGGGCCCAGAGAUACCUCUCCAUUACACGGAGUGACAAAUCCUAGUCUCGAUUCGUGCCAACCCAACAGACACUUUCGGAGAUACCCGUAGUGUACCUUUAUAGCCACCCAGUUACGUUGUGACGUUUGGCACACCCAAAGCAUUCCUAUGGUAUCCGGGAGUUGCACAAUCUCAUGGUCUAAGGAAAUGAUACUUGACACUAGAAAAGCUUUAGCAUAUGAACUACACGAUCUUUGUGCUAGGCUUAGGAUUGGGUCUUGUCCAUCACAUGAUUCUCCUAAUGAUGUGAUCCCGUUAUCAACGACAUCCAAUGUCCAUGGUCAGGAAACCGUAACCAUCUAUUGAUCAACGAGCUAGUCAACUAGAGGCUUACUAGGGACAUGGUGUUGUCCAUGUAUCCACAUAUGUAUCUGAGUUUCCUAUCAAUACAAUUAUAGCAUGGAUAAUAAACGAUUAUCAUAAACAAGGAAAUAUAAUAAUAACCAACUUGUUAUUGCCUCUACAGCAUAUUUCCAACAGUCUCCCACUUGCACUAGAGUCAAUAAUCUAGUUCACAUUGCCAUAUGAUUAACACUCACAGGUCACAUCGCCAUGUGACCAACAUCCAAAGAGUCUACUAGAGUCAAUAAUCUAGUUCACAUCACUAUGUGAUUAACACUCAAUGAGUUCUGGGUUUGAUCAUGUUGCUUGUGAGAGAGGUUUUAGGCAACGGGUCUACAACAUUCAGAUCCGUAUGUACUUAGCAAAUCUCUAAGCUAUAUUUGGAGCCAUUUCAAAUAACUGUUCUACUUGGAGCUAUUCCCAAUUGUUGAUCCAUUAUACGUAUCCAGUAUCUCUACUCAGAGCUAUCCGGAUAGGUGUUAAGCUUGCAUCGACGUAACUCUUUACGUCGAACUCUUUAUCACCUCCAUAACCGAGAAACAUAUCCUUAUUCCUCUAAGGAUAAUUUUGACCGCUAUCUGGUGAUCUACUCCUAGAUCACCUUUGUACCCUCUUGCCAGACAUGUGGCAAGGCACACAUCAGGUGCGAUACUCAGCAUGGCAUUCCGUAUAGAGCCUAUGACAAAAGCAUAGGGGACGACCUUCGUCCUUCCUCUUUCUCCUGCCGUGGUCGAGCUUUAACUUCAUACCUUACAACUCAGACAAGAACUCCUUCUUUGACUGAUCCAUCUCGAACUCCUUCAAGAUCAUGUCAAGGUAUGCGCUCAUUUGAAAGUACCAUUAAGCGUUUUGAUCUAUCCUUAUAGAUCUUGAUGCUCAAUGUACAAGUAGCUUAAUCCAGGUUUUCCAUUGAAAAACACCUUUCAAAUAACCCUAUAUGCCUUCCAGAAAUUCUACAUCAUUUCAGAUCAACAAUAUGUCAUCCACAUAUACUUAUCAGAAAUGUCGUAGUGCUCCCACUCACUUUAUUGUAAAUACAAUUUUCUAACAAACUUUGUAUAAACCCAUAAACUUUGAUUACUCCAUGAAAGUGUAUAUUCCGACUCCGAGAUGCUUGCUCUAGUCCAUGGAAGGAUCGCUGGAGCUAGCAUACCUUUUAGCAUCCUUAGGAUCGACAAAACCUUUCUGAUUGUAUCACAUGCAACCUUUCCUUACGAAAACUGGUAAGGAAACUUGUUUUGACAUCCAUCUGCCAGAUUUCAUAAAUGCAGCUUAUGCUAACAUGAUUCUGACGGACUUAAGCAUCGCUACGGGUGAGAAGAUCUCAUCGUAGUCAACUGCUUGAACUUGUGAAAAACUCUUCGCCACAAGUCGAGCUUCAUAGACGGUGACAUUACCAUCCACGUCCGUCUUCUUCUUAAAAUCCACAUGUACCUAACAGCCUUACGACCAUUAAGUAGUUCUUCCAAAGUCUGCACUUUGUUUUUCAUACAUGGAUCCUCUCUCGGAUUUUAUGGCCUCGAGCCAAUUUUCGGAAUCCGGGCCCACCAUCGCUUCUCCAUAGCUCAUAGGUUCAUCGUUGUCCAACAACGUGACCUUUAAGACAGGGUUACCACUUAGAAGUUGUACACACCCUUGUCAACCUAUGAGGUUCGAUAGUAACUCGAUCUGAAGCUCCAUGAUCAUCAUCAUUAGCUUUCUCUUCAACUGAGGCAAGUGCCACAGAAACAUUUUUCCUGUGCUGCGCUACUCUCUGGUUGAAGUAAAGGUUCAACAACCUCAUCAAGUUCUAUCUUCCGCCCACUCAAUUCUUUCGAGAGAAACUCUUUCUCGAGAAAGGACCUGAUUCUGGAAAUAAUCCAUAUUGCUUUCGGAUCUAAGACAGGAGGUAUACCCAACUGUUUUGGGUGUCCUAUGAAGAUGCAUUUAUCCGCUUUGGGUUCGAGCUUAUCAGCCUGAAACUUUUUCACAUAAGCGUCGCAACCCCAAACCUUUAAGAAACGACAGCUUAGGUUUCUCUGAACCAUAGUUCAUACGGUGUCGACUCAAAUGGAAUUGCGUGGUGCCCUAUUUAAAGUGAAUGUGGUUGUCUCUAAUGCCUAACCCAUAAACUAUAGUGGUAAUUCGGUAAGAGACAUCAUGGUAUGCAUCAUAUCUAAUAGGGUGCAGUUAUAAUGUUCGGACACACCAUCACACUAUGGUGUUCCUAGGCUGUAUUAGUUGUGAAACAAUUUCCACAAUGUCUUAAUUCUGUGCCUAACUCAUAAUUCAGAUAUUCAUCUCUAUGAUCAUAUCAUAGAUAUUUUAUCCUCUUAUCACGACGAUCUUCAACUUCACCCUGAAAUUACUUGAACCUUUCAAUAAUUCAGACUCGUGAUUCAUCAAGUAAAUAUACUUAGCAUCUACUCAAAUCAUUUGUGAAGUAAGAAUAUAACGAUAUCCACUACAUGCCUCAGCACUCAUUGGACUACACACAUCAAGAUGUAUUACUUCCAACAAGUUGCUUUCUUGUUCCAUCUUACUGAAAACGAGGCCUUUCAGUCAUCUUGCUCACGUGGUAUGAUUUGCAUGUCUCAAGUGAUUCAAAAUCAAGCGAGUCCAAAGAUCCAUCAACAUGGAGCUUCUUCAUGCGUUUCAUACCAUUGUGACUAAAAUUGCAGUGCCACAAGUAUGUGGUACUAUCAUUACUAUCUUAUAUCUUUUGGCAUGAACAUGUGUAUCACUACGAUCGGGAUUCGAUAAACCAUUCAUUUUAGGUGCAAGACCAUUGAAGGUAUUAUUCAAAUAAACAGAGUAAUCAUUAUUCUCCUUAAAUGAAUAACCGUAUUGCGAUAAACAUAAUCCAAUCAUGUCUAUGCUCAACGCAAACACCAAAUAACAAUUAUUUAGGUUUAACACCAAUCCCGAUGGUAAAUGGAGCGUGCGAUGCUUGAUCACAUCAAUCUUGGAAACACUUCCAACACAUAUCAUCGUCUCAACUUCGACUAGUCUCCGUUUAUUCUGUAGCCUUUCUGUGACGCCCCCGAUUCAGUCGUACACUAAUCAUGCACGCAAAUGUGUACGAUCAAGAUCAGGGACUCACGGGAAGAUAUCACAACACAACUCUACAAAUAAAAUAAGUCAUACAAGCAUCAUAAUACAAGCCAGGGGCCUCGAGGGCUCGAAUACAAGUGCUCGAUCAUAGACGAGUCAGCGGAAGCAACAAUAUCUGAGUACAGACAUAAGUUAAACAAGUUUGCCUUAAGAAGGCUAGCACAAACUGGGAUACCGAUCGAAAGAGGCACAGGCCUCCUGCCUGGGAUCCUCCUAACUACUCCUGGUCGUCGUCAGCGGCCUGCACGUAGUAGUAGGCACCUCCGGGGUAGUAGACGUCGUCGACGGUGGCGUCUGGCUCCUGGACUCCAGCCUCUGGUUGCGACAACCAGAAAGAAAGGAAAGGGAAAAAAAGGGGGGAGAAAGCAACCGUGAGUACUCAUCCAAAGUACUCGCAAGCAAGGAACUAAACUACAUAUGCAUGGGUAUAUGUGUAAGGAGGCCAUAUCAGUGGACUGAACUGCAGAAAGCCAGAAUAAGAGGGGGAUAGCUAGUCCUAUCGAAGACUACGCUUCUGGCAGCCUCCGUCUUGCAGCAUGUAGAAGAGAGUAGAUUGAAGUCCUCCAAGUAGCAUCUCUAAGUAGCAUCUCCAAGUAGCAUCUCCAGUAGCAUAUUCCUACCCGGCGAUCCUCUCCUCAUCGCCCUGCGGAAAAGCGAUCACCGGGUUGUAUCUGGCACUUGGAAGGGUGUGUUUUAUUAAGUAUCCGGUUCUAGUUGUCAUAAGGUCAAGGUACAACUCCAAGUCGUCCUGUUACCGAAGAUCACGGCUAUUCGAAUAGAUUAACUUCCCUGCAGGGGUGCACCACAUAGCCCAACACGCUCGAUCCCAUUUGGCCGGACACACUUUCCUGGGUCAUGCCCGGCCUCGGAAGAUCAACACGUCGCAGCCCCACCUAGGCAAAACAGAGAGGCCAGCACGCCGGUCUAAACCUAAGCGCGCAGGGGUCUGGGCCCAUCGCCCUGAGCACACCUGCACGUUGCGUGGGCGGCCGAAAGCAGACCUAGCCUAGUGGCGUUCCAGUCCAAUUCGGCGCGCGCCGCUCCGUCGCUGACGUCUGAAGUGCUUCGGCUGAUACCACGACGUCGGGAUACCCAUAACUACUCCCACGUAGAUGGUUAGUGCGUAUAGGCUCGUAGCCAGACUCAGAUCAAAUACCAAGAUCUCGUUAAGCGUGUUAAGUGUCCGCGAACGCCGAACAGGGCCAGGCCCACCUGUCUCCUAGGUGGUCUCAACCUGCCCUGUCGCUCCGCCACAAAGAUCCACACAGAGGGCCGUCGGGACAAAGGUCCUUUCAGCCCCCAAUCCGUGAAUCACUCGCGGGUACUCUUCGAGCUGACCCGACUUUAGUCACCAUCUGUAUAGUAUGUAUGUAUGUAUAGUAUAUACCCGUGAUCACCUCCCAGGUGAUCACGGCCCGAUAGUAUAGCAAGGCAGACUGACAAGAAUGUAGGGCCAAUGAUGAUAAACUAGCAUCCUAUACUAAGCAUUUAGGAUUGCAGGUAAGGUAUCAACAGGUGUAGCAUCAAUGACAGGCUAUGCAUCAGAAUAGGUACAACAGAAAGCAGUAACAUGCUACAUUACUCUAAUGCAAGCAGUAUAGAGAAGAAUAGGCGAUAUCUGGUGAUCAAGGGGGGGGGCUUGCCUGGUUGCUCUGGCAAGAGAGAGGGGUCGUCAACUCCGUAGUCAAACUGGGCAGAAGCAGCGUCGGUCUCGUAGUCUACCGGAGCGAAGAGGGGGAAGAAACAAUGAAUACAAUGCAAACAAAUGCAUAACGAUGCACGACAUGACAGGUAACGAUGCUAGGUGUGCCCAAUCGCGGUAAUAGGUGAUACCGACGAAGGGGGGAAACAUCCGGGAAAGUAUUCCCGGUGUUUCGCGUUUUCGGACAGAUGAACCGGAGGGGGAAACUUGCGUGUUUGGUAUGUUAGAGGUGUAUGGUGGACGAACGGGCUGCGUAUCCGGGUUCGUCUCGUCGUUCUGAGCAACUUUCAUGUAUAAAGUAUUUUCAUCUGACUUACGGAUUAUUUUAUAUAAUUUUUCAAAGUUUUAAUGAUAUUCUGAAAUUAUUAUUAACUCGAAAUUAAUUGAAUAAAUGCUAGGUGCACCCAGCACAGGGUACACAAAAGUGUACCCGGGGAUGACAAGUGGGCUAAGGGGGACCCAGUUGACCAGUCAAGGUUUGACUGGACAACAGGGGGUAGGGCCCCCUGUCAUUGACUCACUAGUAAACUAACAAUUUUAAUUAGACUAAUUAAGCAGUUAGCAGGUUAAUUAACAUGAUUAAUUAGGUUAAUUAAUUAACUAACUAUUUUAAUCAUUAUAUCUUUUCAUUUAAUUAUUUUUCGUUUUCGGGUGGACCCCGCGUGUCAUUGGCCAGGGGCCUUAGCGGGUCGUGUGGGCAGGUAGGUCUCGGGCGACGGGCGGGCGCCCGUUAACGGGCGCACCCGGGCGAUGGCCAGCAGGCGUGGACGGGCGCCGGCACGACGUCAGCGAGGCCACGCCGAGGCGGGGCCGUGGCGAAGCGGGUAGUCGCCGAAGGGGGACGCCGGGGCCGUGGAGGGUGCGGCCGGACCAGGACGACCCGAGCAAGGGCUCGUCGGCGCUGGCAAAAGCGCAACGGGGGAGGGGNNNNNNNNNNNNNNNNNNNNNNNNNNNNNNNNNNNNNNNNNNNNNNNNNNNNNNNNNNNNNNNNNNNNNNNNNNNNNNNNNNNNNNNNNNNNNNNNNNNNNNNNNNNNNNNNNNNNNNNNNNNNNNNNNNNNNNNNNNNNNNNNNNNNNNNNNNNNNNNNNNNNNNNNNNNNNNNNNNNNNNNNNNNNNNNNNNNNNNNNNNNNNNNNNNNNNNNNNNNNNNNNNNNNNNNNNNNNNNNNNNNNNNNNNNNNNNNNNNNNNNNNNNNNNNNNNNNNNNNNNNNNNNNNNNNNNNNNNNNNNNNNNNNNNNNNNNNNNNNNNNNNNNNNNNNNNNNNNNNNNNNNNNNNNNNNNNNNNNNNNNNNNNNNNNNNNNNNNNNNNNNNNNNNNNNNNNNNNNNNNNNNNNNNNNNNNNNNNNNNNNNNNNNNNNNNNNNNNNNNNNNNNNNNNNNNNNNNNNNNNNNNNNNNNNNNNNNNNNNNNNNNNNNNNNNNNNNNNNNNNNNNNNNNNNNNNNNNNNNNNNNNNNNNNNNNNNNNNNNNNNNNNNNNNNNNNNNNNNNNNNNNNNNNNNNNNNNNNNNNNNNNNNNNNNNNNNNNNNNNNNNNNNNNNNNNNNNNNNNNNNNNNNNNNNNNNNNNNNNNNNNNNNNNNNNNNNNNNNNNNNNNNNNNNNNNNNNNNNNNNNNNNNNNNNNNNNNNNNNNNNNNNNNNNNNNNNNNNNNNNNNNNNNNNNNNNNNNNNNNNNNNNNNNNNNNNNNNNNNNNNNNNNNNNNNNNNNNNNNNNNNNNNNNNNNNNNNNNNNNNNNNNNNNNNNNNNNNNNNNNNNNNNNNNNNNNNNNNNNNNNNNNNNNNNNNNNNNNNNNNNNNNNNNNNNNNNNNNNNNNNNNNNNNNNNNNNNNNNNNNNNNNNNNNNNNNNNNNNNNNNNNNNNNNNNNNNNNNNNNNNNNNNNNNNNNNNNNNNNNNNNNNNNNNNNNNNNNNNNNNNNNNNNNNNNNNNNNNNNNNNNNNNNNNNNNNNNNNNNNNNNNNNNNNNNNNNNNNNNNNNNNNNNNNNNNNNNNNNNNNNNNNNNNNNNNNNNNNNNNNNNNNNNNNNNNNNNNNNNNNNNNNNNNNNNNNNNNNNNNNNNNNNNNNNNNNNNNNNNNNNNNNNNNNNNNNNNNNNNNNNNNNNNNNNNNNNNNNNNNNNNNNNNNNNNNNNNNNNNNNNNNNNNNNNNNNNNNNNNNNNNNNNNNNNNNNNNNNNNNNNNNNNNNNNNNNNNNNNNNNNNNNNNNNNNNNNNNNNNNNNNNNNNNNNNNNNNNNNNNNNNNNNNNNNNNNNNNNNNNNNNNNNNNNNNNNNNNNNNNNNNNNNNNNNNNNNNNNNNNNNNNNNNNNNNNNNNNNNNNNNNNNNNNNNNNNNNNNNNNNNNNNNNNNNNNNNNNNNNNNNNNNNNNNNNNNNNNNNNNNNNNNNNNNNNNNNNNNNNNNNNNNNNNNNNNNNNNNNNNNNNNNNNNNNNNNNNNNNNNNNNNNNNNNNNNNNNNNNNNNNNNNNNNNNNNNNNNNNNNNNNNNNNNNNNNNNNNNNNNNNNNNNNNNNNNNNNNNNNNNNNNNNNNNNNNNNNNNNNNNNNNNNNNNNNNNNNNNNNNNNNNNNNNNNNNNNNNNNNNNNNNNNNNNNNNNNNNNNNNNNNNNNNNNNNNNNNNNUGGCAUCGUUAACGUGGGAUUACUGUAGCCUAAUUAUCCGGGCGUCACAAUUCUCCUCCACUACAAGAAAUCUCGUCCCGAGAUUUAGGAGCGGGAGUAAGGGGAAAGGGGUUUGGUUACGAAAUUCUAACGGGUCUUCCCAGUGUUGGUUGCUCUUCUCGAAGAGGUCAAUCCAUUACAUUGAAGUCUUCAUUUGUCUACUUCAGGUUAUCAUGGUGAAGUCGUCCUUUUCUUUGGGAACUGCAACGUACUUACGAAUAGGUAAGGGGCAGCUCGGCUACGACAAAAUGUCUAUGAGGGAAACAAUCUGGGGGUUAACCCAUGAAUGAGCAUAAGAUUUUCUCUCGAGUUGAACAUAUAAAAUACAUCAAGAGUGAGGUACGAAGGUACAAUAAGAGGUUCCAAGCAGAUUGAUAGUUCCUCGAAGUCUGAACCAGAGUGAGAAAGGGGUUCAGAGCGGCGAGAGUAAGUAUAGCGUCUGAUACCAGAAUAGAGCACUAGGAAGGUGGCCCAUGAAUUAAAUACGAAGCUAAGCAUGGAGAAUAACCAUUAGAAACAGGGUUGUACAGGAGAGUCAGGUUUCGAUCCUGUGGAACUGUGGGUUAUGGGCCCACCAUGUAGUUAAAAGUAGGAAGGGCGGAGACGUCUUGCGUGAUCAUGCAAGCAAGGCAUGUCAGGGGGUAGCCUGUCGAUUAUGUUGGCAACAACGUCGAUACCAAGGGCGAGGGACGAAGAGAACCACUUUCCUGCUUGUUAAACGAGGCGGGCCAAUAGGCAAGGUUCUCGUCCAUCGGUGGCUACCGAAAUGUCAUCAACACUAGUAACAGGGUCAUACUAACAGAGUGGUGCAACGAGGUGCUUACCUAAGCAGUGAAUUAUUACUGCUUAGAGUAUAUAGACCACAAGAAAGGUCAAGUAAACCAAUGGAAAGGAAAAUGUGAUCAUCGGGAUAAACAGAACAAUGGAAAGGAAAAUGCGUUUAAACACAUAUUUCAGGGGUAUAUCCUUCCCAAGGUGAAGCAGAGCAUGAUAUCCAUGAUAGGAUAUAAUGUAGAAAACUCAUUAGGUAAGGGGAGAGAAAUUUCAUGACAUUACCCAUACAACAGUGUUUGAAUAGUUGAUAAAGGAAAUCUAGCAUGGUGCUUCAAAAUGUGCAGAGUACCAUAGACAUGUUUCGAGAUAGCAUUGACAAGGUCAUCAAGUAAGGUUCAGAAUUUGGAUGCACGAAGGAUCCAUCAGGAACAACUUGUAGAAUAAGUUUUACAAUUUCCGCAUGGAAAAAUCGCUAACCUUGCUUAAGAAGGGAGCUAUGACAAUAGGUCCUCCGGCCAGGUGUACUAGGCAUGGCACCACCUUACCAGGUUAUAUAAAGACCAAUGUUAUGACUCUUGGAAAAUGUUCCAACCAUCAUAUCUGACCGAGAUUCAGAUCUGAUUGGUGUGAGGAUAACUCAGACUCGGGAUGCCUGAGAAGAAAGGUGUAACACACAUUGUCGAGAUGACAUUGUAAGAUUCUCGGGAAUUGAACUAUGGAAGCGAGUUCCGAAACAAGAGUUCUCCACUAAUCCAAGGAGAGAUGAGGAGGUGGCUGAUGGAUUCAGCAACAUUUUGUCAAGAUUUCCAAAAAAUGAAUUUCCACAAUCAGGUGAACAAAGAGAUAUCAUUUGUCGGAUCAAAUGAUAUAAUGAUGUAUGCUUGAGGAAAACAUACACAGUUAAAGGUGCACCCGAAAUAUGGGCUUACGUAGAAUGAUCAAUGUUAGAAUGGUGGUUCAACAACCAGUAGUCUAAGAAUGAACGGCCGACCAUUAACUUCAAAGCAAUAGGGUUGCUAGAAGAAAAGAAUCCAAACAACACCGUUCACUUGUUGGAAUCAACACGGGGACCAAGAAAGAAUGGUGAUGGUGAGAAGUAUCACUAUACCAAGAAUUCUUAAGAGGUGGAGUAAUCCUCGUGACAUUCUUGUCAUAAAAGAUGGUAAUACUCCAAGGUAAAGAAGAACAAAUGCUAGAUAGCAAUGAACUCAAGGUACAACACAGAACACGGACAAGUUUGUGUUGGAGGGAAGGCAAUAAAGUGGUCGAUGACAAAACAACUCAUCGAGGGCAAGGAUGGUAUUUCUCAUCAUGAAUUCAAUUGAUAUCCUGGAAGAACUCGGAAUGCUGAUGAUGAUCACGACACAUUUGUCGAGAGAUUUCAUGAGGAUGUAAUCGAUCAGCGAUGACAUCAAGUUAAAGGAAUGAUGAAGCGAAAGGUUAUUGGAAUCAUGGGUACGACACAAACUCAAAUCAAGUUUGUUGUUCAAGGAGAAAUGAUAUGACUAGGAAGAUCGACGCAAGAUUAGCUCACCAUCGAAAUUUGUGCUCCGGGAAGAACCAGAUAGCACAAUUAAAUUUAGCACGAUAAUAAUGUAGCCGAUAAGGCUAGGAAUGCCAUGAUGGAGUAUUAAACUCGUAAGCAAUGAAGAUUACUAAGAGUUGUCGAAUCGCAGUGCGGACUCGAUUCACUAUUCGGAGUUCUCGGUUGACGACAACCCAAAACUCAUGGAGUGACUAUGAUAGGGAAAGGUAUUACUCCGUCACAAAUUCAUAAGAUGUAGUGCAAUGGCAUGAUAUCCUCGAGAUAUCAGGGAGAUAAUACUCGAAGGCAUAUCAAAUUAAAGGUUGAAGUGGGGUGUAUAGAUCUAUAGAAGACAAGCGCUUUUACUUGUCUGAGAAAUGGAAUCAAAGGAAGAAAUUAGGGUCGGAACCACGAUUGCAAAGGAUCAGUUCAUAGAGCCAGAUCAUAUUUUCAAGGAAAUAGUUAUUAUUGCAUGAAGCUUCCAAUGAUAGGAUAUACAUCGUGUCCAUGGGCAUGAACGCAAAGUUCAAGGUUGACUCCCACUUCUUCAAUGCAUAACCUUCAUUCACUUCUCGUAUUUCGAAGAUGACAUUAGUUGUUGAAAGUUUUACCUGGUGCAAUACCAGAUAAGUUUGACCCGUGAAAACUUCCGAGUUCACACAUAGUAAGGAAGGCAUAGGUUCAACCCAUCAGGGCAUCUUACGAACAUAUACCACAAACUUCGGGGUAAAUAAUACAAGCUCGAAAGUAGAGCAUUGUUCAAAAGCAGAUGAUACAAUUUACCAAGGCAUUAUAUACCCAUGAAAAGGCUCUCAAGGUUAUUCAAUAUGAAGGACACUAUCGGACAAAAUCCAACAAAGGAACCGAUGGUCCACAAGGGAUCUGAUGUGAGCAUCGGUACUCAACCAGAGGAAGAAGAAUGCACGGGCAUCAUAUUAUAGAACAUCGGAAUAAUUCGAUGCUUAGAUAAUAAAGGAAUUUCAAUUUCCAAAACAAAGGAUCAGAAGCAGUCGCUCUGAUCAAGGAUGGAUAAGUUGGAUAUACCAGAGGCACAAUUGACGACAAAUAGUUUGGUCGAGAACCAGCUCAUGUUCAAAAAUGAUGUCUGAGCCGGAAGGAUAAUUUAGAAGGGUUGAUAGAUGAUUGUGUGCAUUCGCACACAUGCUGAAUCAAUAGGAUCAAAAUGACGGUGCCUAAGGAUACUAACGAAUAUUGCCAGACAUAUGGAAAGCAUCCAUAAUGCAAGCAAACAAGUAUUGCAGAGCAAUAAGCUAUUAAGGAUUUUUGGAGGAUCAAUUAGUAUUUCUAAGACCAUUGUGAAACACAUGAACAACUGGGGGAUGAGCGGAUACUCGAUAAGUGCGAGAAUUAUCCAUAGGGGUAUUCAGGUGACAAAGAACAGCAAGGCGAUAAGCUCAAAGGAUUAUCGAAACAACGACGAGUGUUUCGAGGUAUCUGGUAAUAACAAGACCAACUGGGGAUGAAUGUAAGAAUAACAACUGCAAGUGGUUAACCAUAAGGGUUGACGGUGGAAGGGGAAUUGCAAAUGCGAUGAACAUAAGUUCUCGGGUUAACAGCGGAGAGUAUCUUCACGGUCUUCUGGUGCAGCAGACGAUCAUCAGUAAUAAGGGGCUCUCCGGGUGAAAGUGAUAACGAGAUCCUAUUGUUAGAUUUAGUAAACUUCAUUUAACUCGAAUAGAGGAGAGAUCAGAGUCCCAGAGUAAAGGUCGAGGAGUAAAAGAUCCUACUACCACCCAAUGGCGACGUGGGCCCAUGGGCCGCACAGCCAUGUUAGUAAAAGUUUUGUAAAGUCUAGACUCGACUUCGGCCAAGGAGUUGGAAGGGAUUCCUACAGGCAGUCGGCUCUGAUACCAACUUGUGACGCCCCCGAUUCAGUCGUACACUAAUCAUGCACGCAAAUGUGUACGAUCAAGAUCAGGGACUCACGGGAAGAUAUCACAACACAACUCUACAAAUAAAAUAAGUCAUACAAGCAUCAUAAUACAAGCCAGGGGCCUCGAGGGCUCGAAUACAAGUGCUCGAUCAUAGACGAGUCAGCGGAAGCAACAAUAUCUGAGUACAGACAUAAGUUAAACAAGUUUGCCUUAAGAAGGCUAGCACAAACUGGGAUACCGAUCGAAAGAGGCGCAGGCCUCCUGCCUGGGAUCCUCCUAACUACUCCUGGUCGUCGUCAGCGGCCUGCACGUAGUAGUAGGCACCUCCGGGGUAGUAGACGUCGUCGACGGUGGCGUCUGGCUCCUGGACUCCAGCCUCUGGUUGCGACAACCAGAAAGAAAGGAAAGGGGAAAAAAGGGGGGAGAAAGCAACCGUGAGUACUCAUCCAAAGUACUCGCAAGCAAGGAACUAAACUACAUAUGCAUGGGUAUAUGUGUAAGGAGGCCAUAUCAGUGGACUGAACUGCAGAAAGCCAGAAUAAGAGGGGGAUAGCUAGUCCUAUCGAAGACUACGCUUCUGGCAGCCUCCGUCUUGCAGCAUGUAGAAGAGAGUAGAUUGAAGUCCUCCAAGUAGCAUCUCUAAGUAGCAUCUCCAAGUAGCAUCUCCAGUAGCAUAUUCCUACCCGGCGAUCCUCUCCUCGUCGCCCUGCGGAAAAGCGAUCACCGGGUUGUAUCUGGCACUUGGAAGGGUGUGUUUUAUUAAGUAUCCGGUUCUAGUUGUCAUAAGGUCAAGGUACAACUCCAAGUCGUCCUGUUACCGAAGAUCACGGCUAUUCGAAUAGAUUAACUUCCCUGCAGGGGUGCACCACAUAGCCCAACACGCUCGAUCCCAUUUGGCCGGACACACUUUCCUGGGUCAUGCCCGGCCUCGGAAGAUCAACACGUCGCAGCCCCACCUAGGCAAAAUAGAGAGGCCAGCACGCCGGUCUAAACCUAAGCGCGCAGGGGUCUGGGCCCAUCGCCCUGAGCACACCUGCACGUUGCGUGGGCGGCCGAAAGCAGACCUAGCCUAGUGGCGUUCCAGUCCAAUUCGGCGCGCGCCGCUCCGUCGCUGACGUCUGAAGUGCUUCGGCUGAUACCACGACGUCGGGAUACCCAUAACUACUCCCACGUAGAUGGUUAGUGCGUAUAGGCUCGUAGCCAGACUCAGAUCAAAUACCAAGAUCUCGUUAAGCGUGUUAAGUGUCCGCGAACGCCGAACAGGGCCAGGCCCACCUGUCUCCUAGGUGGUCUCAACCUGCCCUGUCGCUCCGCCACAAAGAUCCACACAGAGGGCCGUCGGGACAAAGGUCCUUUCAGCCCCCAAUCCGUGAAUCACUCGCGGGUACUCUUCGAGCUGACCCGACUUUAGUCACCAUCUGUAUAGUAUGUAUGUAUGUAUAGUAUAUACCCGUGAUCACCUCCCAGGUGAUCACGGCCCGAUAGUAUAGCAAGGCAGACUGACAAGAAUGUAGGGCCAAUGAUGAUAAACUAGCAUCCUAUACUAAGCAUUUAGGAUUGCAGGUAAGGUAUCAACAGGUGUAGCAUCAAUGACAGGCUAUGCAUCAGAAUAGGUACAACAGAAAGCAGUAACAUGCUACAUUACUCUAAUGCAAGCAGUAUAGAGAAGAAUAGGCGAUAUCUGGUGAUCAAGGGGGGGGGGCUUGCCUGGUUGCUCUGGCAAGAGAGAGGGGUCGUCAACUCCGUAGUCAAACUGGGCAGCAGCAGCGUCGGUCUCGUAGUCUACCGGAGCGAAGAGGGGAAAGAAACAAUGAAUACAAUGCAAACAAAUGCAUAACGAUGCACGACAUGACAGGUAACGAUGCUAGGUGUGCCCAAUCGCGCUAAUAGGUGAUACCGACGAAGGGGGGAAACAUCCGGGAAAGUAUUCCCGGUGUUUCGCGUUUUCGGACAGAUGAACCGGAGGGGGAAAGUUGCGUGUUUGGUAUGUUAGAGGUGUGUGGUGGACGAACGGGCUGCGUAUCCGGGUUCGUCUCGUCGUUCUGAGCAACUUUCAUGUAUAAAGUAUUUUCAUCUGACUUACGGAUUAUUUUAUAUAAUUUUUCAAAGUUUUAAUGAUAUUCUGAAAUUAUUAUUAACUCGAAAUUAAUUGAAUAAAUGCUAGGUGCACCCAGCACAGGGUACACAAAAGUGUACCCGGGGAUGACAAGUGGGCCAAGGGGGACCCAGUUGACCAGUCAAGGUUUGACUGGACAACAGGGGGUAGGGCCCCCUGUCAUUGACUCACUAGUAAACUAACAAUUUUAGUUAGACUAAUUAAGCAGUUAGCAGGUUAAUUAACAUGAUUAAUUAGGUUAAUUAAUUAACUAACUAUUUUAAUCAUUAUAUCUUUUCAUUUAAUUAUUUUUCGUUUUCGGGUGGACCCCGCGUGUCAUUGGCCAGGGGCCUUAGCGGGUCGUGUGGGCAGGUAGGUCUCGGGCGACGGGCGGGCGCCCGUUAACGGGCGCACCCGGGCGAUGGCCAGCGGGCGUGGACGGGCGCCGGCACGACGUCAGCGAGGCCACGCCGAGGCGGGGCCGUGGCGAAGCGGGUAGUCGCCGAAGGGGGACGCCGGGGCCGUGGAGGGUGCGGCCGGACCAGGACGACCCGAGCAAGGGCUCGUCGGCGCUGGCAAAAGCGCAACGGGGGAGGGGCUCCGGUCUUGUCUGCUGCUGUUGGACGCGGGCGACAGUGCGCGUCGGUCUACGGUGACGGGCAUCGCGGGGGGNNNNNNNNNNNNNNNNNNNNNNNNNNNNNNNNNNNNNNNNNNNNNNNNNNNNNNNNNNNNNNNNNNNNNNNNNNNNNNNNNNNNNNNNNNNNNNNNNNNNNNNNNNNNNNNNNNNNNNNNNNNNNNNNNNNNNNNNNNNNNNNNNNNNNNNNNNNNNNNNNNNNNNNNNNNNNNNNNNNNNNNNNNNNNNNNNNNNNNNNNNNNNNNNNNNNNNNNNNNNNNNNNNNNNNNNNNNNNNNNNNNNNNNNNNNNNNNNNNNNNNNNNNNNNNNNNNNNNNNNNNNNNNNNNNNNNNNNNNNNNNNNNNNNNNNNNNNNNNNNNNNNNNNNNNNNNNNNNNNNNNNNNNNNNNNNNNNNNNNNNNNNNNNNNNNNNNNNNNNNNNNNNNNNNNNNNNNNNNNNNNNNNNNNNNNNNNNNNNNNNNNNNNNNNNNNNNNNNNNNNNNNNNNNNNNNNNNNNNNNNNNNNNNNNNNNNNNNNNNNNNNNNNNNNNNNNNNNNNNNNNNNNNNNNNNNNNNNNNNNNNNNNNNNNNNNNNNNNNNNNNNNNNNNNNNNNNNNNNNNNNNNNNNNNNNNNNNNNNNNNNNNNNNNNNNNNNNNNNNNNNNNNNNNNNNNNNNNNNNNNNNNNNNNNNNNNNNNNNNNNNNNNNNNNNNNNNNNNNNNNNNNNNNNNNNNNNNNNNNNNNNNNNNNNNNUUUUUUUUGUUGUUUUGUCUUUUUGUAUUUCCUUCCUUUUACUUAUUUUCUCUUCUGUUUUGGCUAAUUGUUUGGGCACCAAAUGAGUUUUGUAAAAUAUGAGCGUUGGCCCACAAUUCACAACACAAUAUACCCUACCACCAAAAACUAGUUUGGGGUAAUUAUCAUUUCAUAUUUAUUUUUUUUAUUAAUAAAAAGGUUAGUAAAUAAUGUUUUCAGCCACUGUUUGAGGUUGUUUAAGUCACUUAUCAAAUUUCAAUAAUGUUGUUUACAAUUUUAUCAUAGCCUCUGAUUUAUCUACUAUUUAUUGAACAUUUUAGCUUUAAUAUUUGAAAAACUUUUAUUGUUUGCUUGAUUUUGAUUUUGAAUUUGAAUCGGUUUCGAGCUAACGCGAGAUUACUAACAGUAAUCAAAGUGACGUGGCAUCGUUAACGUGGGAUUACUGUAGCCUAAUUAUCCGGGCGUCACACUUUCAUUUUGAGUUACCAACACUUAGCAACCGAACCGGUAUCUAAUACCUUGCUGCUACUAGGAGUACUAGUAAAGUACACAUUUAAUAUAAUGUAUGUCCAAUACAUACUUCUUUCAACCUUGCCAGCCUUCUCAUCUACCAAGUAUCUAGGGUGGUUCUGCUUCAGUGACCAUUCCCCUUAUUACAGAAGCACUUAGUCUCGGGCUUGGGUUCAAGUUUGGGUUUCUUCACUAGAGCAGCAACUGAUUUGUCAUUUCAUGAAGUAUCCCUUUCUUGCCCUUGCCCUUCUUGAAACUAGUGGUUUUACUAACCAUCAACAAUUGAUGCUCCUAUUUGAUUUCUACUUUCGCGGUGUCGCGAAUAGCUCAAGGAUCAUCAUAUGUAUCCCUGAUAUGUUAUAGUUCAUCACGAAGCUCUAGUAGCUUGGUGGCAGUGACUUUGGAGAACCAUCACUAUCUCAUCUGAAAGAUCAACUCCCACUCGAUUCAAGCGAUUGUAGUACUCAUACAAUCUGAGCACAUGCUCAACGAUUGAGCUUUUCUCCUUAGUGUGCAGGCUUAAGAAACUUGUCAAAGGUCUCAUACCUCUUGACGUGGGCACUAGCCUGAAAUCCCAAUUUCAGUCCUUGGAACAUCUCAUAUGUUCUGCGAUGUUUCAAAAACGUUUUGGCAACCUGAUAAACCUCAAAUAUUUAGCCUUGUUUCAAAACCAAAUUUCGGGAUCAAUACCAAAAACUUUUGGCAAGUUGCAAAGCAUCCAAAACAUGUUAAUGUUUAGCAACAAAUUAUCAGGUUCUCUUCCUCAAGAAUUUGGAAAUCUCGUAAGCCUUGUUCACCUUGAGGUGGCAAACAACUCACUUUCAGGACAUUUACCUGCAAAUAUAUGUUCAAGUGGAGGACUAAAAUCUCUCGCUAUCGCUUCUAAUAUGUUCAAUGGCCCAAUUCCAAGGAGUUUAAAGACAUGUACAAGUUUGGUUAAAAUUGACCUUCAGUCGAACAAACUAACAGGAGAUAUAUCUCAUCAUUUUGGUGUGUAUCCACAACUCAUAUGGAUGGGCUUGUCAACGAAUAGACUCUCUGGGCAGAUCUCAUCAAGUCUAUGUGCAUGUACCCAACUAACGAUACUACAUCUAGGAAAUAAUAUGAUCACAGGUUCCAUACCUCCAAUCCUUUCUAAAUUGUCCAACCUAGUAGCACUAACACUCAAUUCUAAUCAUCUCAGCGGCGAGAUUCCUCCAGAAAUCUGUACUUUAGCAAAUCUAUAUAGCCUCAACUUAUCAUCGAACCAGUUAUUUGGAUCCAUACCUACACAGAUAGAAAAGCUAAGCAAUAUAGGAUACCUUAAUAUAUCUGGGAACAGACUAAGUGGAUCAAUACCUGAGGAACUAGGGGCAUGCAAGAAACUACAGUCCUUGAAGAUCGGCAACAACCAAUUCAACGGGAGUUUGCCUGGUGUGGUUGGAAAUUUAGCAGGCCUGCAAAUCAUGUUAGAUGUGAGCAACAAUAACCUCAGUGGUGUUUUGCCGCAGCAACUUGGGAAGUUGGAGAUGCUGGAAUCUCUCAAUUUAUCACAUAAUCAGUUCAGUGGAAGCAUUCCAUCCUCCAUUGCAAACAUGCUGAGCCUUUCAACACUUGAUGUGUCCUACAAUGACUUGGAAGGACCAGUCCCAACAGCACGGCUACUCCAAAAUGCUUCAGCAAGUUGGUUUCUUCCCAAUAAAGGUCUCUGUGGUAACCUCUCUGGCUUGCCACCUUGUUAUUCAACCCAAGUAGCUGCUCACCAAAAAGGGAAGAUACUUGGUUUGCUUUUGUCCAUUGCUCUUGUGAUGGGUUUCGGCAUUGUUGCUGCAAUUGUUGUCAUAAUAAUACUUACUCGUAAGAAGAGAAAUCCACAAGAAAGUGUUACCUCUGAAGCAAGGGACCUAUUCUCUGUUCGGAAUUUUGACGGAAGACUGGUAUUUGACGAUAUUGUAAGGGCAACAGAAGACUUUGAUGAUAAGUACAACAUUGGAACCGGAGGAUACGGCAAAGUCUACAAGGCACAACUCCAAGACGGGCAGCUGGUUGCUGUGAAGAAGCUUCAUCAGACCGAAGAAGAGUUGGAUGAUGAAAGAAGAUUUCGCAGUGAAAUGGAAAUCUUAACACAGAUCCGACAACGAAGCAUUGUCAAAAUGUAUGGAUUCUGCUCCCAUCCAGCAUAUAAAUUUCUCGUCUACGACUACAUUCAGUAGGGAAGCCUCCAUGGAAUAUUGGAAAAUGAGGAGCUAUCGAAGGAAUUAGAUUGGAAGAAGAGAAUUGCCCUGGCAACUGAUGUGGCUCAAGCAAUAUCUUAUUUGCACGAUGAAUGCAGUCCACCUAUAAUCCAUCGAGAUAUCACAAGCAACAACAUCUUACUUGAUACAUCCUUCAAGGCUUUUGUCUCGGAUUUCGGCACGGCAAGGAUUCUUAAGCCCGAUUCGUCAAACUGGAGUGCACUAGCAGGAACCUUUGGCUACAUAGCUCCUGGUAUGUACUAUUUUAACCUUGUUUUUCACAUCAGAAGCAUUCGUCUCUAUCCAUUUGUUCCUAAUUCUAAUAUUUUCGACGCUUUUGUGCAGAACUGUCGUACACAUCUGUUGCGACAGAGAAAUGUGAUGUCUAUAGCUUUGGGGUGGUUGUGUUAGAGCUAGUGAUGGGCAAGCAUCCAAGGAAUCUAUUAGAUGGUAGUCUUUCUAACGGCGAACAAUCAAUGAUGGUGAAAGAUAUUCUGGACCAACGGCCGACAACACCAAUAACAACAGAAGAGAAUAACUUAGCUCUGCUCAUCAAGUUGGCCUUAUCUUGUUUGGAAUCUUCUCCCCAAGCAAGGCCAACCAUGCAGGAGGUAUACCAAACACUCAUCCAGCGACCAUCUUCUAGUUCUUGUUCUGUGCCUUUCAGCGCGCUUAUAUUACAGCAAGGGAUGCAUGCUGAUAUAAGGUCUGAAUCCUAGUGAGAAACCAGGGUCUGUCAAAGCAGAGGCCGAUUCAGAUUUCCGAUUUUUUAUUCAAGUCACUCAUACACCACCUAUAUAUAUACCUCUUGUAUGCCAUGCCAUGCCACACAGGAUGAGUUGACGACUCAUUGUAAGUCUAUGUAUUUGUAGAUUCUCCUGAUACAGCAAAAGAUCACCGUUGUGUGCCCGUGGUUUUUCCCGCAAGGGUUUUCCACGUAAAAAUGUGUGUCCAGUCCCGUGUUCUUGAUAUUUCUGUUUGCUUGCUGAUUUCAUAAAUAUAAUUUGGUUUGCGGGUUGCUUAUAUUUGUUAAAGACUGUAGUAUCCACAUGUGACACUUUCUUUCGGCUGUUGUCUGUAGGGUACUUAAAUGUGUCCUAAUAUUUGUCUCUUUUAUCUACUAUUGCUUGCAUAUAACCUAAUAAAGAUUGAAAAAAAUGAAAUCCAAAACUCGCGCAGUACCAUGUUGUCCUGCUUUAUUUAUUCCAUAUGGGAAUCAAGAUCAAAUAUCUUGGACCAAGCAGGAAUAAUCACAAUGCAUAAACGGAACGAAAUGAAUGUAAGCACAUUGGAGAUAUAUAGGUGCAUAAAAAAAGAGAAGUACCACAAUAUACUAAGUAAAAGGACUUACAGAGGAUUGUAGGGCAGGAGUAUGUAGUCCUUUUCCUUAUUAUUGCUCCCAUGAACCUGAAGGUGAAAAAAUGGAAUCCAAAACUGACACGUUAUCAUGUCAUCCUGCUUUAUUGUUCUCUGGGUAUCAAAGUAAAAUACCUUGUGCCAAGCAGGAAUAAUCACAAUGAUCAAGUGUUCGAUGCGUAAACGGAACAAAUGAAUGUGAACAAACGGAUAUAGGUGCAUAAAACAAGAAAAGUACAACAGUACUAGGUAAAAAAGCUUACGGAGGAUUGUAGGGCACACAUAUGUAUCCUUGUCCUUAGGAUGGAGGAUGUGUAGUCCUUGUCCUUAGGAUCGAGCAAUAGAUAAUUUACUACUUCACUUAAUUUCAAGCACUUGUAACGAGAUUUUCAUGGAACAAAGAUACAACCUUCUUUUUCUUGAUGCCUAAUACAAACUUAACCAAGGAUGAGAUCAGAUGAUAGGAAAAAGCCGUGACAGACAACACGAGAGCUAGCAACGUCCCAUAAUUUCAUUAUCAGAAAAGCAGAUACCAAUUCAACUCAGCAGAGACAUACUAACAACAGGAUGUACAACCAUAUAGAGAACACUCCCUUUAUCACACACUAUUGUUCCAACACAAAGGGAAAGAGACAUUCCAUCGUUCAACGAAUUGCAGUGGUAUAUGAGGCAAGAUACAAUGAAUCUGUCCAUGCAUAAACAAAGUGCCGACCAUUUACAACGAGAUCAAAACCUACACCAUAGCUUUUUUGUUACUUUCAGGUACGAAUUGAUGCGUGCGGCACGGUAGGCAGUCCCAGUUCAUCCUCCUGCACCAACAGACAAAAAUAAGCAGAGCAAAUUAGUCUACUGGUUGACAAGUGUUCACAUUGCAAUCAGGGGUAAUCAAGCAAAUUAAAGUAUGUGCCGUCUGAGAUAUUCAAUGGAGACUUCAAAGUUCAUCAUGAAAUCCAUCAUAUACCACAUGUUUGGCAUGAAAACAGUUUGCAUGUUCUCCCUCUGUGUGUUUCUUUUACUAUUAAGAUCAAGCUAUUAUGAGCUCAAAUUGUUCAUACCAACAACAUAUGCAUGCAUCAUGAAGUUGAGCCCAAAAUACAAGAGUUAUGAGUUCAGCACUACAUUCAUAAUGAUCUCAAGCAUCUAGCCUGUCAAAUUAGAUCAUGUCACAAGAUAAAAGGAAACACUGUGAUUGCAUGGGAAAUGACAUGAACCAUCGAUUUCUUCCUAGGGAUAUCAGCAUCAGAAUCAAUGUGAACAGAAACUGAACUAGUCAGUCUUGCAAUUGACAUACCUGCUGCCGGUUCGCUAGGACUGCUGCAUGACCACUUGGUGCAGCAGGUAGGUUAAGCUCAGAAUCAAGAUCAGUCUCCUUGUCUGGUUGGAGAUACGAUGGGACUGAAUUCGACUCAAAGUCCAUAUCGGCUUCCAAAGCAUCAAGCUCUGUAUUUUCCAACGUACAAAAUGAGAACAGCAAACAGAGAACCGUCUUUUCUGUAAAUUAACACAUGCAUGACGCAAAACCAGUCUUGCAACAAAAGGGCCAAAAAAGUGUUUCAGAUGAAACCUAAGACCAAUAUUAAAUGGAGAGUGUACUGAAUCAAAUUCAACUACGAAACUUUUACUGAAGAGCGGUUCCCAGCUGGUAACCACUGCAAGGAAAACUAGUUGGCCAAGUAAGGUUUUGAAUUAUCUGAGAAUAACCAACUACCGAAUAAGAGCCAUACCGCCCAUAAGUUCCUCCUCAUCGAUGUCAUCUGGGACAUUGUAGCUUCUACCAAGAGUUUCUUGUAUUUCAUUGCUCACAUCCAUAAGAUCCAUCAUCUCGUCUUGCAUGCUCUGCGGAUGAUUAUUAUAAAAAGUAUGGAUUGAGAUGUAAUUAAAACAAAAAUAGACAGGAUAAAUUAAGCAAGCAAAUAAUGAAUCUGGUACACAACAGGAUGUUGCAUACAUCUAUAUCUUCAAUCCUGACAGUCUUCAUCAUCCCUUUCAGCUCUUUAUUGGCAGCCUUCAUUGCAGUCAUCUGUUAAAUGAAAGACAAUUCAACAUAAGUUUGGGAGCCAGAAUAAGAAUCUAUCAUGAACUUGAUAGGAAACUAAGGCAACACACAGUGUGUUGAGCAUCUUUAAUUCUGUCUGAUGCGAAAGCAAGUUGGUCAAGAUUAUAAGUUUGGUUGGACAGGAGGUCACGUUGACCUUCAUACCUGUAGGGAAAGCAUGUGGAGUUUAAAGAUUAGAGCACUAGAAUAAUAGCCUGCUGCCACAAGAGGAAUGAUUAAAUGAUACAGGGUAAUCAGUGCCCUUUAUACAGGGAAACCUUCAAGUAUAAAAAAAGAGAAUGACUCACACGGAACAACAAAUAAUUUAAACUAAAAUCACGGCAAGCAUUUUGGAACGGAGGGAGUAGUACUUAUGUGGCUUACUUAGUUUCAACCAUUGGUUGGCAGGACUGACACGGAACAAAUAUCAUACAGCCUUCUUAUUUCUACAUGCCUAAUGCAAACUUAUUGACAGAAAGGGUGAGUAUAGAUGGUACGAGAACUAGCAAAUACCCCAAUAACCUUUUUAUCAGAAAAGUAGAUACCAAUUCACCUCAGAACUCAACUAGGCUAGUUGCAAUCACACACAUGCUAACUAUAGGGUGUACAGAGAACACCUCCUUUUAGAACUCACUAUCAUUCGAAAACCAACAGUGUGAAGACACUCUGGAAUGAAAUGAUGGCUGAGCCGAGGAGCAGGUUGAAAGAGACGAAGCGAGAAGAAGGAAAAUGUCUUGGCAUCCUUAGUUUUACCGUAGCAACGUGCAAAGAGCCAUCGUGGCAAAUAUUGCCGUGCUUGAUAUUACACGGCAAUCCAGCAGACGUACAUGAAGCGCUAGUAGUAGACUUUUACCGAUUCAACCUACGUGAGCUUGCAACUUUUCUUCAGCUUUGAAUUCCACAAGCUGCAGCCAAACACAUGACUUCCAACAAGACUUGCAUGCGGUCCACUAUUUGUCUUAACCUCAAUCGAACAUAGAAACCAUCAAUAGAAUUCCAGCACGGAAUUUUCCACUAGUUUGUUUUACUAGUAAGAUCAAGCUAGGAUGAGCUCAGUUCUUCGCACCAACAAAAAAGGUAUCUUUCAUGACACUAAGCCUGAAAUACACGACUUAAGAGUUCAGAAAUAUGUUCAUAACGAUCUCAACAAUCUAGCCUCUCUCAAUUAGAUCAUGUGACAGGAUAAGAAAAAACCCGACUACUACAGAGCAUGGUAUAUUAGAAAUUGCAGAGAGAGAGGUAGGCAGGCACCUAACAUAAUACUCUGAACAAUCGUGUGAGUUCAGAGAACAGCUCUCGUUAUCACUUUCUAAUACAGAUUCAUCUUGUGCUUGCUUUCCAACCUAAACAUUCCAUCGAGAUUCAACGCAGACGGUGUGAUUGACAUGCUAUAUAAUAAUAGGAUGUACAACCACCAUACAGAGACAGAGAGUGGCUCACAUUAUUCCAAAACAAGUCUUCUUCUGCCUUCCUCAAUGCCUUCUCAGAUGUUCGAUGGAAUAUCGGAGGUUGAACAGUGGAUUUGCACCCUUUUGAUUACUCAUAAAUUAAAAAGGGGCAUACCAGGGAAUAUUGGCAUGUCGGAUGUUACACGGCAAUCAACAACGUGCAUGGGCCGGCAGACCUACCGAAAGCGCAGUGACCCAUUUGAGCUUGUAUUUUUGCUUCAGCUUGUGUGGUCAAGAUGCUGCCUGGUUGUAUAGGUUAUGAAUUCCACAGGACUUCGAACAAUAUAUACUUGCAUGGUUGUACAGAGCCACUCUGUCAUUUUCCUCGUACACAGGACUUCCAACAAGACUUGGCAUUUAUACUAACCACAAUUCAACACCCAAACCUCUAUUUUUACCACCAGCACAGAAUUUUCCCACAAUUUGUCGUUGUGUUGCUCCACCAGCCACGAUUCCGUGAGCUAAACAGUUUGUUCUAUGUACCAACUGAAAAGUGAAAAGGGAAAAUUUAACAUUGGUACCGUGGAGAAUAGCUUAACUGAAGCAGUUACAGUUUACAUGAUCAAAUAUACUAUCAAAACAACCACAGGAGAUAGAACAAACUCUACUGCAGUGUUAACUCAAAGUCCAUUCAGUGCAUAAGUUCUGGACGGAGGAGAACUGGGAAAGAUAUGAGUAGGCGUACUCCGUGGGUACCCUUCUAUCCCUGCCUUCAAUUGCUUUCUAGUAAUAAUUACCUUGUCAUUUUUCCACAGGCACAAGGAAAGAAAAAAAGAGGAAUAGAUGGCGACACUGAAGAAGGAAAAACUGUCUGCCCAGCAGCAGCUGCCAAAGGGAAGGAAACAGGGGCAGGGAUGGCAACACGCUGAAGAAUAGUCAUCCAGCAACAACUUCCACUCAACUGUUGUGUGUUGAUUGAUGACCUCACAACAACGGAAGACACACUAGUUAAAUAAUCAUCAACAGUAUGCACAGAAUCAUAUCCCCCGAGCAAACAAAGCAUGCAAACACUACGCAGAAAAAUGCCAUCAUGCUCAACACCAUUGUUGUACCUCUGCCUACUGCUGGUGGCGUGCCUUCUUCUCUUGGAAGAAGCACAUGCGGUGCACCAUGGAGGGAUCUCUCUGAGGUCUCAACGCAUGGCCCUCCUCCACUGGAAAGCUACACUUGCGAGCCCACCACUGCAGAUGAGCUCUUGGCAAGAAAACACCAGGCCCUGCAACUGGUCGGGCAUCAUGUGCACGGCUAUCCGCCAUGGCCGCGGCAUGCCCUGGGUGGUAACCAACAUAUCCCUGCCGGGUGCUGGCAUCCGUGGCCAGCUUGGUGAGCUCAACUUCUCGGCUCUUCCAUUCCUCGCAUAUAUUGACCUUCAGAACAACAGUCUCCACGGUGUACUACCCGCUAGUAUCAGCUCUCUAUCAUCACUAUCUUAUCUUGACCUUAGCUUCAACCAUCUCAAAGGGAAAAUUCCGUUUGAGUUUGGUGGCUUGCAGAGUCUCAUGCAGCUUGGUCUCUCAUCUAACAGACUCACAGGACAUAUCCCUGCGUCUCUUGGUAACCUAACAAUGUUAAAUUAUCUUGUCAUUCACCAGAACAUGGUAUCUGGUCCCAUUCCUAAGGAGAUUGGAAACCUUGUCAACCUACAAGGCCUACAGCUAAGCAACAACCCCUUAACCGGCAUGAUACCAAAAACCCUUGGAAAUCUGACCCAACUAAAUGAUUUGUACCUAUAUGGUAAUCAACUUUCAGGGCCUAUACCCCAAGAGCUAGGCAGACUGGUCCGUUUGCAAAGUCUUCAGCUUCUGUCAAAUGAUUUUUCAGGUCCAAUUCCAAUCUCCAUAACCAAUCUCACUAAGAUGAACACACUUUUUCUCUUUGAAAAUCAAAUCACAGGUUCAAUACCCCCAGAAAUAGGCAACCUCACUAUGCUCAAUGAACUUUCUCUCUAUACAAAUCAAAUCACAGGCCCAAUACCUUUUGAAUUGGGCUAUUUGCUGAAUCUCCAAAAUUUUGGGUUGUCCAACAACCAAAUAUCUGGCACUAUUCCUGAUAGCAUAGGAAAUAAUACCAAGCUAGUAGUACUAUCCCUCGAUCAAAAUCAGAUAACCGGCUCUAUCCCUAAAGGGAUUGGCAAUCUGCUAAACCUCAAAUAUUUAAACGUGUACCAGAACCAAAUUUCGGGAUCAAUACCUAAAACUUUUGGGAAGCUGCAAAACAUCCAAGAACUGUACAUCAACCAUAACAAAUUAUCAGGUUCUCUUCCUCAAGAAUUCGGAGACCUCAUAAACCUUGUUGCACUUGGGCUGGCUAACAACUCACUUUCAGGACCUUUACCUGCAAAUAUAUGUUCAGGGGGUAGGCUUCAAUAUCUAUAUCUCUUUUCUAAUAUGUUCAAUGGCCCCAUUCCAAGGAGUUUAAAGACAUGUACCAGUUUGGUUGAAAUUAGCCUUCAGAGGAACCAACUAACAGGAGAUGUAUCUCAGCACUUUGGUGUGUAUCCACAACUCAAAAGGAUGAGCUUUGCAUCGAAUAGAUUCUAUGGGCAGAUCCCACCAAAUCUAGAUGCAUGUACCAAAAUAACGAUACUACGUCUAGCACAAAAUAUGAUCACGGGUUCCAUACCUCCAAUCCUUUCUAAAUUGUUGAACCUAGAAGAACUAAGUCUCAAUUCUAAUCGCCUCAGCGGUGGGAUUCCACAAGAAAUCUGUAGUUUAGCAAAUUUAUAUAGACUGAACUUAUCAUCUAACCAAUUAUCUGGAUCCAUACCUACACACAUAGAAAAGCUAGGCAAUCUAGCAUACCUUGAUAUAUCUGGAAACAGACUGAGCGGGUCAGUACCUGAGGACCUAGGAGGCUGCAUGAAACUACUUUCCUUGAAGAUCAACAGCAACAGCUUCAAUGGGAGUUUGCCUGGUGUGAUUGGAAAUUUAGCAAGUCUGCAGAUCAUGUUAGAUGUAAGCAACAAUAACCUCAGUGGCGCAUUGCCGCAGCAACUUGGGAAGUUGGGGAUGCUGGAAUUUUGGAAUUUAUCCCAUAAUCAGUUCAGCGGCAUCAUUCCGUCCUCUUUUGCAAGCAUGGUGAGCCUUUCAACACUCGAUGUGUCCUACAACAACUUGGAAGGACCAAUCCCAACAACACGGCUACUCCAAAAUGCUUCAGCAAGUUGGUUUCUUCACAAUAAAGGUUUGUGUGGUAACCUAUCUGGCCUGCCAACUUGUUACUCAACUCCAGUAGCUGGUCAGCAUAAACGAAAGAUAAUUGGUUUUCUUUUGCCAAUUGUUCUUGUGAUGGGUUUUGGCAUUGUUGCUGCAAUUGUUGUCAUAAUAAUACUUACUCGUAAGAAGAGAAAACCACAGGAAAGUGUCACUUCUGAAGCAAGGGACCUAUUCUCUGUUUGGAAUUUUGAUGGAAGAUUAGCAUUUGACGAUAUUGUAAGGGCAACAGAAGACUUCGAUGAUAAGUACAUCACUGGAACAGGAGGAUACGGCAAAGUCUACAAGGCACAACUCCAAGACGGGCAGCUGGUUGCUGUGAAGAAGCUUCAUCAGACGGAAGAAGAGUUCGAUGGUGAAAGAAGAUUUCGUAGUGAAAUGGAAAUCUUAACACAGAUCCGACAACGAAGCAUCGUCAAAAUGUAUGGAUUCUGCUCCCAUCCAACAUAUAAAUUUCUCGUCUAUGACUACAUUCAGCAGGGAAGCCUCCACGGAAUAUUAGAAAAUCAGGAGCUAGCAAAGGAAUUAGAUUGGAAGAAGAGAAUUUCUCUUGCAACUGAUGUGGCUCAAGCAAUAUCUUAUUUGCACCACGAAUGCAGUCCAUCUAUAAUCCAUCGAGAUAUCACAAGCAACAACAUCUUACUUGAUACAUCCUUCAAGGCUUUUGUCUCGGAUUUCGGCACAGCAAGGAUUCUUAAGCCCGAUUCAUCAAACUGGAGUGCACUUGCAGGAACGUAUGGCUACAUAGCUCCUGGUAUGUACUAGUACUACUAUAACCUUUCUUCUCACGUCAGAAGGACUCAUCUGACGGAAGUCUAAUGAUUUUAUUUUGUGCAGAAUUGUCGUACACAUCUGUUGUGACAGAGAAAUGCGAUGUCUAUAGCUUUGGAGUGGUUGUGCUAGAGCUAGUGAUGGGGAAGCAUCCAAGGGAUCUAUUAGAUGGUACUAUGUCAAACGGAGAACAAGUCAUACUUGUGAAAGAUAUUCUGGACCAACGACUGACAACACCAACAACAGAAGAGAAUAGGUUAUCUCCUCUCAUCAAGCUGGCCUUUUCUUGCUUGGAAUCUUCUCCACAAGCAAGGCCAAGCAUGCAGGAGGCAUACCAAAUGCUCAUCAAGCGACCCUCAUCUAGUUCAUGUUCCGUGCCUUUCAGCACACUUACGUUACAGCAAGUAAGGAAGAGUUGAUGACUCAUUGUAUGUCUAUGUAUUUGUAGCCACUCUCCUGAUAUAGUAAAAGAUACCAUCAUGUGCCCGUGGUUUUUUCCCGCAAGGGUUUUCCACGUAAAAAUCGUCACGUGUUCUUAAUAUUUCUUUGUUUGCUUGCUUGCUGAUUUCUGACAAUGCGUAAAUAUAAUUUUGUUUUGUGGGGUGCUUGUAAAAUGUAUGCAGUGUCUAUGUUAUAUUUGUUUAGACAUAAUACCCACAUACGACACGUUGUUUCGGCUGUUCUCUACAUUCUACAAGGGUACUUGAUAUGGCGUAUUAAUAUUUCUACAUUUCUCUACUAACUGGAGUGAUAUCAGUGGUCACGCUUUAUUGUUCUCUAGGAACCAAGGUAAAAUACCUUGGACCAAGCAGGAAAAAUCACAAUGAUCAAGGGUCGAUGCGUAAACAGGAACAAAUGAAUGUAAACACGCAGAGCUAGGUGCGUAAAAAAACAUAAUUACCACAGUACUAUGUAAAAGGACUUACAGAGGAUUGUACGGAAGGAGUAUGAAGUUCUGGUCCUUGUGAUGGAGCAUUGUAUCCAGGAGUAUGUAAUCCUUGUCCCUAGGAUGGAACAACAAAUAAUUUACUACUACACUUAAAUUCAAGCAUUAGUUGGCGAAAUUGACAUGGAACAAAGAUGCAACCUAAGAUGAAAUUUCUCCAUGCCUAAUACAAGCUAAACAAAGGAUGAGAUGAGAUGAGAUGAAAAGCCCCAGGUGACAGUCGAUGGCGAGAGCUAAGCUAGUGCAAUCAUAGACAUGAAGAGUGCAAUCAGAGACAUACUAAGAACUAGAUGUACAAUCGUAUAGAGAAUAGCUCCAUUUACCAUUGUUCAACGACUUGCAGUGGUAUAUGAGGAAAGAUACAAUGAAUUUUUCCAUGCACAAACAAAGCGCCAACCAUGUACAUCAAGAUCAAACCUACACGAUAGUUUUUUUUUGUUAGUUUCAGAUAUGAAUUGAUGUGUGCGGCACUGCAGGCAGUCCUAGUUCAUCCUCCUGCACAAGCAGAGGAAAGCAAGCACAUCAAAUUAGUCUACUGGUUGAGACACAAGCAUAGACGUUCACUGAAACUGAAAUGAAGCAGAGUAUGUGCUGUGGUAUGAUAAGACCGAGACAACGGUAAUUGUUCCAAGAGCUCAGGAUCAAAUCCAUCAUAUAGCACAUGUUUGGCAUUAAAGUGAUUUGCAUGUCCUCCCAUGAGUUGUUUUUGCUAGUAAGCUAGGAUAAGCUCAGUUGUUCACACCAACAAUAAAGGUACUUGCCAUGAAAUUAAACCCAAAAUACACAAUUUAUAGGUUAGGAAUAGUUCCAUAUAUAAUGAUCGCAGGUAUCUAGCCUGUCAUUUAGAUCAUGUGACGAGAUAAAGAAACCCUUCUACAACUUCAUGCACAGUGAUUGCAUGGGAAAUGAUGCGAACCACUAUCUCAGAAAAUCAACAUCACAGAAACUAGUCAGUCUUGCAAUUGACAUAACUAGCUACCUGCUGACUAUUUGCCAUGACUGCUGCAUGACCACUUUGUGCAGCAGGUAAGUUAAGCUCGAAACAAGAUAUGUCUCCUUGUUUCGUUAGAGGUAUGAUGGGACUGAAUUUGAUUUAAAGUCCAUCAGCUUCCAAAGCAUCAAGCUCUGCAUUUUUCAACAUACAAAAUGAGUGCAGCAAACAGAGAACUGUCUUGUCUGUACAGGGCUUAUGACAAAAGUGCCAAAACGUUUCAGGUAAAUCAUGGACCUGAGAACUGAUAAAAACUGAGAGUUUGCUGGAUUGAAUUCAACUACAGAAUUUAAAUUGACGUGUGGUUCCUGGCUGGUUAUCACUGUAAGGCAAACUAUUUGAUUCAGUAACUUUAGGGUGAUAAUACCUAGUGUUAGAGUCAUCUAAGAAUGGCCAACUACAAAUAAGUUCCUCCUCAUCAAUGUCAUCUGGGACACUGUAGCUUCUACCAAGAGUUUCUUGUAUUUCAUUGCUCACAUCCAUAAGAUCCAUCAUCUCGUCUUGCAUGCUCUGCGCGUUAUAAAAAAAGGUAUGGAUUCAGUUGUAAUUUAAACAAAAAUAGACAGGAAAAAUAAGCAAGCAAAUGACGAGUCUGGUACACAACAGGGUGUUGCAUACAUCUAUAUCUUCAAUCCUGACAGUCUUCAUCAUCCCUUUCAGCUCUUUAUUGGCAGCCUUCAUUGCAGUCAUCUGUUAAAUGAAAGACACUUGAGCACAAGUCUAGGAGCUCGAAUCAGAAUCUACAUUGAACUAGAUAGGAAACUAAUUCAACGUACAGAAAGCAUGUGCAGUAUAAAGAUUAGAGACUAGAACUAGAUUAAUAUGUUGCUGCCACGAAAAGAAUGAUUAAUUCCUACAGGAUAAUGAGGUCCAUAUUUAACUAAAGCCAGGAGCAUGGAGCAGCAAUAGCAUUCCCACUUAUGUCUUGUCCAUGUGAAGAACUUGCUAGCGUUUGAAAUCAGCAGUUUCUAUUAUAGCAAGUAACUGAAACUACAGAAAAAAUACCUAUUAUUGUAAAGAAGUAAAAAAAAUCUAAAGGUGUAUGAGAGCACAUCAACCAGAUUCAGGCUAUACCUUCUGGGACAACCUUUUAGACGGUGACUUGUCAACAUUGAUGGGUGGCAGCGUGGACUGGCGAGCGCCCGCGGAGAAAGGAGAAGAAGACGUCGCUGCAGCGUGCUGCCUGCGGGCAUUUCAUCGAACAGGUGGUGUGCGGUAACUAAUCUCUAUGCCUCCGAAUCCUCUUCCUGCCCUGAAAUCGACUCUCAAACCACCAAAGUCAGCAGCAACAACCCGAUUCUCUUCAUACAUCGCAUAAAUCACCGAGAGAAGUUGAGAAGAGCACGCAGAGCUCGCAGGCGUGGUCGGUGGCGUUGUCGUGGUGCUAGCCGGCGAGCGGGCACGGCAGUCGCUGCAUUUGGCGCUGACGCGGCCCGAAGCUCGGUGGUGGGGGGUCGUGGCGCGGCGGGGACGCAGGUCGGGGUCGGGGUCGGCCGCCGGGAGCUCGGCCCGGCGCAGCUUGGAGGACGGACAACGGCGACGGGGCGGGCUGCUAGGGGCGAACCAAACCCAAAAACUGCCUGAGGGGCCAGUUAUUGUUUGCCGCUCACUGCUAUGGGCCCGGCCCAUUGCCAGUUUCCCCUGUUUUUAUUUGGUUUUGAAAGAAGUAUAGUUUUCACCCUCAAAUCCACUCCAUUGUCUCCAUAGCUCCCUAAAGUCAAUUUUGGUAUGAUUUAGACCCUAAAAACAAAAAUGCUAGACACACAGACAAAACCAACGGACCUUUACGGAUAAGCUGACUUGUCAUUUUCUAAUUAGGCUAAAUAACCCUGUCCACCUAAUUAAUCGCCCCCCCCUGAUUUUAACUGGUGGGGGUGGGCGCCAAGGCCUGUAAAGCCCCGUAAUCCUCCGUUUAUGUAGCAAAGCCGCCCUAAAAAUAUCAAUAACAGUUUAAUUAGACCUGAGCGGUUUAGUGUCAGAUCAAGAGUGGUUUUGCAUCUGGUUUUUGUUUAUUCAUCUAGGCGGCAAGGACAGCGACGCAAUUGUAGUUGGUGUGGACGGCUGCGCUGCAGCCCUUCCGGUUUCCUCUUUGCACUACGAAGACGAAUAGCCAACCACUUAUUUUCAGCGACCUGCUGCCACAUAAGCAUGUCAAGUCAGCGACAAAUCAGUGCCUAAUCACAAAACAAGAUGAAAAAUCACUCUUGAUGUGACACUAAACCGCUCAAGGCUAGAUUAAACUGGUAUUGACAUUUUUAGGGUCUAAAUCAGACCAAAUUUGACUGUGGGGUUAUGGAGACAUUGAGUGGAUUUGAGGGUGAAAGCUAUACUUUUUUCUUUGGUUUUUAUAAGUUUUUAUACUGAUUUCUUUUGGUUCAUUCAGGGUGGCUUUUUUGUUUUUAAUUUUUUGUUGUUCUCUUAUUUUUCCUUUUGUUUGAUUUUUUAUUUUAUUUAUAUUUUUGUCUUCAUUUAUAACUAUAACUCUGGUGUAUAUAUGAACAUUUCAAAAAAUAUUAUUACCUUUUUGUAAUAUUUUUAAAAUAUAUAUAAACUUUUUUAACAAUAUUUUUUAAAAUAAAUCCGUGCUCACCCAUUAGAACUCCUAACUAGGGGCUAAAUAGGGGCUAAAUAGGGUCUUUACAUGUAGGGAAAGCAUGUGGAGUAUCUCUACUCCUAAUAUCUCAGUUGGUAGGUCGCGUUCCGGAUUUUAUUUUCGUCCCACUAUUUUCGUCCGAUUUUUUUCGCUGGUUUUUUUCGCCCUCCCCGGCGCACUAAAAAAACCUACGCUCCUCUCGAUCCCGUGCCUUCGCCGUCGUCUUCGCGGAUCCGCAGCCGCAACCAUCGCCUCGUUCCCGUGCGCAGCCGUCGCUCCCUCUCCCAGCGCCCGAGCAUCCCCGUCGCUCCCUCUCCCAGCGCCGCCUCCGCCGCCAUGGCCCCUCCCCUUGCGCCCCGAACUGCCUCGCGCACUCGUCGCCCGUUAUACCACAGAGGAGGCGAAGACAGCGGCAGCGCGGCGACCGGCCUACUUCGCCGGUCGCCGCCUCGGCUGCACUCGGCGGGCGCCACGCCGUCUCCUCUCCAUGCGAGUGGCGGAUGGCAGCGAGGAAAGUGGAUCGACCUGGCCAUGGGGAUGGCACUACGACCCCUGCCAGCCUCCCGUGUCGCCGUGCCUCCCUGCAUCGUCGCCUCCGACCUCACCACGUAGGUAACCUCACCCAUGUCCCCUCCGCACCUCCUUCCACUCCAUCCUCGACCACCCCCUUCCUCUCACCUCAUGCCCAUUGUGGUGGCCUGCAGUUCCUUUGACGAGUAAUGGGGAUGGAAAUAUAUCAAUGAUGGGGUGUGGUUCGUUCCUGUCAGGAAGGCUGGAAGGCCAUGAAGCGCCGCUUCGAUGAGAUGACCAUGUGAGAGGCUCACUGCAGGCCUGAAUCUUGUAUGUACGACGUAAUUUUGUGCUAUCUAUCUUUUGGGAAGUAAUUUUGUGCUCUGUGCAUGAAUAUUUCAGGAACUUCCGAUGCGGUUGUUCACCAGUAACAGGUUCGUACUUCAUACCAGCAUGAUGGUGUAGUAUGUUUACUUCGCUUACUACUUGUUCGAUUAAAAUCAUACGGGUGCCGUUGUGUCCAGAAUACGAGUGAAAUUUUGUGCAUUGGGGCUCUUGGGCAUGAAAUAUGGGGCAGUUUAGGGACUACGUCCUGAAGAUUCCUUCAGGUUCACCGGAAAUGACUACCAACUUGUUUAAUUCUGCAGGUGCGGGUGUUGCUGGUUGAUGGUGGCCUAAGCAUUUGAGUCUAACUGAAAGUGAACCGGAGCGAUGUGCAGAAAAAGAUCUUAGCGCAGAGACUGAAUUUGUAUACUACUUAGAAUUUAUUAGGUAUACUCCCUACACUUGUAUAUCACUUCUGAAUACAAGUUCAGGUUAUUACGUAGUACUAUUGAAUUUUAGAAUUGAUACUUGAAGAUUUUAAAAGGUUACUGAAUUUUGUACCAAGUCUACUGUUAUGUAUAGGAAGAACAUGAUCUAAAAUAUUGAUAAUGCAUAUAAACGGUGAUUAUCUGCUCUUAUGAUGAAGACGUUCCUUGCUUCCCUGUUAAAUACAUGUGAACUAUAGGGAAUUAUUUUCUAACAUUCGUACUAGAAGAAACUAUUUUCAGUUUUCAGGUUAUGCCUUUCUUGCAAUGAUUGCAUCUGUGAAGUUGAUGCUUAAUUACUUCCUACAUUUAGAAGAUCGUAACUUUUGCUAUACAAACAUGCAUGGUGAGAUGGAGCGUUGAUGAGUGCUGUGCAUUUUGCAGAUCAGGUUAUAUUUCCUUGGUAGCAUGGCAGCAGCACCCAAUCAGACCACAACCGCGGCGGGCGUGCUCUGCGAUCUUGGCCACCGUCUCCAAGGCAGGUACGGCCUACGCCGCCACUGAGAGCUGCCCCUCCUCAUCACCAUCAACGCCGGUGAGCUCUCCCUCUGCUCUCGCCGCUACCCAGCUCCAUCCACUAUCUUCUACAAUAUUGUUGCUACUUUGUAAUGGCUAGCCCAAUUUUCUUUAUUGCUGUUAUGUCUUAUUUUGCGAGUCAACGAUUUUCUUUCAAAUCUACAAAUGGGUGCGUUUGUCUAACCAUUAAGUAAAUGGCUGGAAUCCAUAAUAUGUGAAAUUCCGGCACAGUUGCAUGAAAAAGUGAGUAUGUAUUGAGUAGGGAUGUAAUUCUUGCCGAUUCAAAUAUCAGAAUGUGUUCCUGAGACAUAAUAAAACCAUCCUGAAUCUUACGUUUUUAGCAUGCUGAGAUCUGUACUACCAUAUAUAUACUUCUAAAUUACAUGGUAUGGCGAUUUUGAAUAUUGGCACCUGAUCUUUUAUCUUAUAAUAGAUCAGAUGUUCCUGGUCAGCAUCAAGGAAUUGUUUUGAGACUUGUAUCCAUUUUUUCCCUGGUAAAAUGUAUGACAAUAUACCGUCCAUGUUGGUGACCUAUUGAUCUUCUAAUUUCUAUAUUCGCAAAAAAAGAUCUUCUAAUUUCUAAAGAUGUCUCUGACUUGCUCACAUGCCAAUAAAUAUAAGCUGCAUCAAGUGAGCUUUCCUGUCAAUAAGUAGCAAUCAACCAAAAGAAAAGAAUAAUGCUCAUCUGACUUGUUGGUUGUUUCUCACAGUUAUUUGAUUGCCUUAUAACCUUCAAGUUAACAUAGUGCUGCAGUUUGUGGCAAACUUAUGGACUGGUCAUACCUGUACUGGACGUUGCUACUGAACAACAAGUAGCUUCUCUUGUCUUCCUAUUACGCCAACGAGAGCAGCCAUCCUAUUACGUGAGAAACCACCCCAUGAUUCCCUCCGCUCUCUGACCAUUGCUAUGAUGGAAAGUUGAAAAUACAUCAGUGCAGAGUGCGCUCGCUGCCAUCAGAUGCACUAGGAGUCAAAGCCGUCAAUUGUGUUCUAGCCUCACAUGUAUGCAAGCUGUUUGACAAAAGGCUCCACCUACAAUCUUCUUGAAUUUUUAACGGUACAGAAAGAGUGAAUAAUGUACGUGUUGGGUGAAGUGCAGAUGCUAUGAACUCUUCCAGCUCUAUAAAUUCACAUAUUGUGUUAGUGCAUUCUAAUUUGUUUGGUACAUAUGCUGCAAUGAACUCGCAGCAACAAGCUUUCCUUCUUUCUUUAGCAUUGCUUUUCUACUACAAUUGAUGACAGAGCACUGGCAACCUCAGGAAGUUGGGCGCCAAGGUGGAGUCCCUGCAGAAGUUGUUCACCCGGAAGGUCGUCUUCUCCAAGGCGUCCCUAGCCUUCGAACAGGACCGCUCCAUCAAGGUAUCUACUCAUGUUUCCAAUUACCAAACUUAUCCUUUCACUUGGGCCGGAGGACAAUAGAUUUGUCUUAAUCAUUUGAAUCCAUUAAUAAAUCUUCUUCUUUGCUCGAGUUGAAUCUGUGAAGACUCCGAUGGAGUAAUGUCGUCUUCGCCGGGCUGCAAUUAUAUGCCUAGGGGUGGUCAAACUGAAAAGUUCAGGGAAGAUUCAGACUACAUGUGGUAGUGCUGAACAUUGUUUGGCCGUUCAUCGAAUGUGGUAGUGCUUAUAGGGUUAUAGCCCCGGGUUAAACUGAAAAUCUAUCUGGAAUUUGGUUUUACAGUGUCUAAGUGUUAAUGAUGUCUAGAAUUGCUGCAGAUUAAUUAGUUAUUGUGGAGGUUAUAAGACCAUGUAGUGGUACAUUGAUUAUCUGGCGCUGAGUAAUUAACUGAACAUUAUUUUGAUGUUCAUCGAUUGUGGCAUUGCGUAGGCUGUUACAGCUUCAGUUUAAACUGAAAAUUAUCUAAAAUUUGGAUUUAGAAUGUCUAACUGUGAAUGGUGGCUAGCUUCGGUUGCACCCGAAAUACCAAAGUUCACACUAAAAUCUUUUUUUUACAAAACCUCUCGUAGCUGAGUUGAAUUUCGUUUUUGUUGGUUUAGUAGACGGAAACUUAGCAUUGCCCCAAAAUUCUGAAAAGAUGGAGUAUAAUUUUUGUUUACUAAAAAAAUGAAGUGACUUUUAACAGCUGGGGGUUAUGUGAUAUGUUUUUCAAUCGUGUUAAUGUACACUUUUGGAAUGUAGAAUGGAACUAUAUCUGUUUGUUCAACUAGAGAGAGGAGCUGUUUUUCAACUGCAGUAGUGUAUACUUUCGGAACGAAAAAUGAAACUAUAUCUAUUUUUUAAACUUUUCCAAUAUUGGAAGAUGUAAAAUGUAUACUUUUGGCUGCACGGUGAUUUUUUCUGGCUAUCCUUGCAAUGUAUUGAACCUGAUCAUCUCUGAUUAGUGUUGUUCCUACUUCUUGAAGGGUAAACCAUUGAGUGGCAAUUCCACAUGUGUAUUCAUUGCAACUUGGAUGUACGGCGUAGUGAUUAGCAGCACGAAGUGCUGAGCACGUCGUGUGUGUGUGUGUGUGUGUGUGUGUGUGUGUGUGUGUGUGUUGUUGGUACAGUAUGCAUUUUUGGGCCUGUAUUGCGGAACUAACUUAGACUGCCUGGUUGUUGUUUUUAGUAUAGUAUACCUUUUGUGGGCCUGAAUUCUGAACCUUACUGAUUUUUUUCCUUGUGUGUUAGUAUACAGUUUUUUGGCCUAAUUUGUUAACCUUAUCUGGGUAUUGAUUUUCUGCAUUCAGUGAUGCACCCGCGGUCAUGCGUAUUUGUUAGUCUACUUUACUUAUAGAUUUAGUUGUUUUUAUCAGUAUCCACCCGUAGGUUAGUUAACUGAAAUUUUUGUUGGGAGUGGUUCAUUAUGUUCUUUAACUGCUAUACUGAAGCAGCGGAUCAAAAAAUUUAAAGACAAUUAGAUCUGUAGUAAUUAAUUAAGACUUGAUGGUUGUGUUAUUAUUAUAGUAUAUACAAUUCUGGGCUGAAUUGCAAAUAUGAUCAAAAUUUCCUGGUUUUGUGUUAUUAUUAUUAUGGUAUACUAUUAUGCUGGCGAGCUUUUUGUUAGUGCUUUUCUAACUGUCCUUGCUAAACUUUUGAUACUCUCCACAAUGAUGAAAUGUUUCUGCAUGUUAGUUAAGUACCAGGGCAACCAUAAAUGAUGUUCCUUCCUUUCGUUGAGCUACCUUACUGUUAUGCCGUCUACCUUUUUGUUAAUAUACACACUGGAAUUCUCUAUUCUGGAACCCAUGAACUCUUUGUCUCUUCGCUGUGACCUGUUUCUCAUCUACUUUUUCUUGUAAGAAACAUUAUAGUAUAUUACGUGCUAUCUAGGCAAAAUAUACAUAAUUGGUUCUCUUCUAUAUGCUUUCCUCAAUGAAUACACUUGAUUCACAAAAGCAUUGGGAUAAUUAGCUGAACAAGUUUUGCAAAUUUUUGUUUCUUGCAUCUCCCCUGAUUAUUUCCUGGUACUUGUGAAAUUGUUCAGAUUACUUAGCUUCGGUUUAUAUAUUAGAACGUGGCAAUGGCUCGGAAGACAUCAAAUCUGCCUUCUUGGCUCGGGGGGAGUCAUGGGCGGCGCAUGCCAAGUCCUCCCUUGAUGGCAGUAGCGGAUGGAACACGGGGAAGGGGAUCAAGGCCAAGAGUAGGGUGGUUGGUGAGGAACUCCUCCUUGGCAGUCCAUGGGGAAGUAUGGUGUGAAGGAGAGAGGGUGCCAUGCGAAGGUGAAGUGGGUGUCAUCCAGUUUUAAAGGAGAGGGCUCCAGCGAGAAAUGUCCAGGUACGACGGGAAAUUGAGCGGGAAGCGGAGGGUCCGACAGGAAAAGGGGAGGGUGCAUUGUGGGGUGGGGUUUUGUGUUGGGACUGCAUGCUGGAGAUAACAUGGCGGAUAGUCCGGACAAUCACAUUUCUUCCCACACAUGGGCUGGAUUUGGUGGAGCCCGGACUGUCGAGACGGGUGGAUUUUGGGGAGCCCGUUGGGCACAUGUUUGAUGUCAGAACAAGCCCGAACUUAUGGGGAAGAAAUGAGUUUCAACCUUGAAGACGAUCUUAGUCAUUUAUUUGAUUCAUUUAUUGUUAUUCUAGCCCACGGGCAUUGUACUAGUACAGAUUAGAGCAUGGGUCGGCUCCUUGGUGGGCAUUUCAUCGAACAUGUGGUGUGCGGGAACUUGGCCCUCCUCUGAAUCCUUUUCUUGCCCCUGAAAUCGGUGCAAAAUCAGCAGCAGACACCAAAUUCUCCUCAUCCGUGCCAUCAAUCACCACAAGUUGUAGGAUCCAUUAGAUCGGGAGAGCACGAGGCAGCACCUACUCACUAACCUGAGGCACGGUGAGCACUGGUGGUCGAUGUAGGUAGACCAGCGGGGGGAACGAGCACCUAGCAGAGCUCGCGAGGGGGAGGAGGACGCCGAGAGGUCGGUCGGUCGGCGCGGCUUGGGCUUGGAGUUGGACGCCGACGGGGACGCGUCGGUGGCCGGAGCACGGAGGCCGGCCGGCGGUGGGACGUGCCCAUGGCCGGACCCUGGCCCAAAAAGAAAGAGGAUAUUCCUCACUCAUGGGCCGCACUCCAAUUUCUUCUUGUGGCGCUCAAAAAACAAAAAACUUGUCGCUUGCGCUCAAGCCGGCUGGAGUUGGCCUGGAAUUCUUUUUUCAUGUUUUUCAUCUCCUUGUCUAUCGGCAGUACGUCGAUUUUUCUAGUUUCUUUGUCUUCUUCGACUCUUCUGGUCUGUUCUUUUCUUUAUUUAUUUUUUCCUUUUUUUCUUUGUGUCCGCUAUUUUUUCACCAUCUUCAAAGCUCAUAGUGCUGUUUUAGAAAUCCAUCCUUUUUUCUCAAAAUUGUUUAUCAUGUACUCCCUGUAAACUAAUAUAAAACCAUUUAGAUCACUAUUUUGCCGUGUAUCUAGAAAUUGUUCAUUGUAUAAAAAUAUUCACGGUGUUUCUAACAAAAUAUUAACAGGCUGACAUGGGUAGGCUGGUCGGGCGGAUACCUCCUGCACAUGAAUCUUGCCCGAUUUGACAGCAGGUGAGCAAAAGGAAGAUGUAUCACCCAGGAUAUUCGUGACGUGCUUUCACUUUUAACAAGGUACUAGAAGCGCUCGCGCGCUUUGCCACACUACUAGGGCUGUAUCGACUAUCUGACUUGUUAAUUUUAUAUUUUAUAUAUGUAUUAGGCAAAUUACUCGAUAUAAGAAGCAGUCGUGUUCACACACGUGAGCCGAAUUCUAUAACAAAUGACAGCGGGGUUGGUAUUUUAGAAAAACACAUUUCACAAACGCUUUUUGAAAAUUUCAAACAAUUUGAAAUGCCGCAAACAUAUUCUGAUAUUCUAAGCUUUUUUUCUAAAAAAAAUGUGAACAAUUUUUGUAAUCCUAAUUUAGAAAAAAGACAGAUAUUUUUUUGCAAAACCUAACAGUUUUGGAAAUAUUGAAAAUUUUCUGACAUUGUUACUUUUUGUAAAAUAAGAAACAUUUUCUGAAAUCCAUGAACAUUUUUUGACACACGAACAUUUUUCUGAACUUGUGAGCAAAUUUUGGAAAUGAGAACAUAUUUUUAAAUUCCUGUACAUUUUAUGAAUGAAAUUCUGAACAGAUUUUGAUAAAGAGAACAUUUUUCCGAAACAAGAUCAUAACAAAGAUUUGAAAUUUGGAAAAUUACUGAACAUUUUUUAAAACAUGACAUUUUUAUAAUUGCGAACAAAAUUUAAAACAAGAACAUUUUUUGAAAUUCCUGAAAGAAUUUUUGAAACACGAACAUUUUUUUAAUUGUGAACAAAAUUUGAUAACAGGAACAUUUUAUGAAAUGCCUGAACAUUUUUUCAAAACAUGAAAACAACAGAGAAUUGAAAACGAGAACAUUAUUCUGAAUUUACUGAACAUUUUUUUCAAACUUGAACAUUUUUUGAAAUUAUGAACAAAAUUUAAAGCAAGAUUUUUUUUUUUGAAAAUCCUGAAAGACUUUUUGAAACAAGAACAUCUUUUGAAAUUGUGAACAAAAUUUGAAAAGGAGAACAUUUUAUGAAAUUCGUUAAUAUUUUUUGAAAUUUAGAACAAAUUUCGAAAACAAGGACAUGUUGUAAAAUUCCGAAUAAAUAUUUGCAAUUAUCAAACAAAAGAAAUAUGAAAAAGGAAAAAACGAAAUAUCAAAGAAAACAAAACAAAACAAAAAAAGAAAAUAAAAAACUUAAACCAAAAAGAAAAACAAAUAUAAAAAGAAAAGAAGCAAAAAGGGAAAAGGAAGGAAAUAGAAAAAUAGGUUCAGGAACCUCCUAGAAGGUUCCCAAAACCAAAAAAACGGCAAGAAACCACCUAGAAGAAUCCGAAAACUGGAUUCGCACAAACAUUUGAACGGCCCGGCCCAUCCGAACGCUCGUCGAUCUGUCCCUGUGCGUCGCGUCGACUACUUGCCGAACGAGCGGCAAAUAGGAUUUCCCUUAAAUCAGAGCUAAAUCCUGCCCACUCACGGAAGGAAAAAAGAGAACACAUUUUUUCGCGCAACAAAAGCUAAGAAAGACCGGUGAAAAAUAAAAAAUAACCAAUCUAAAAAGCCAAAAACGUGUGCAAAAAAAACAAAUUCCGGAGGGAGUGCUCAAAACGCGACAAGUGGCGUGCUCUUAGCCCAUGCCGAAUGAUCGCUGGGAGGCUUUCAAAGGAGCGCUCCUCAAUUAGUUGCUUUCGGAGUUCUUUUCUUUUCCGAGGGUAAGUAUGCUUUUUCUCCUUCUGGAAUGCUAGUACAUCUAUUUUUCUCGUUUCUUUGUCUUCUUCGACUUUUCUGGUAUGUUCUAUUAUUUAUUUAUUUUCUUUUUGUCCAUUCUUUUUCAUUAUCUUCAAAAUUGCUCAUAGUGUUUUUUAUCAUGUGUUGUAGAAAUUAAUCCUUUUUCAAUAUUAUUUAUCAUGUAUUUAAGAACUAUUUGCCAUGUAUCUACAAAUUGUUCAUUGAAUAAAAAAUAUAUUCACGGGUGUUUCUGGAAAAAAAAAGUAUUAACAGGCUGACGUGGGCAGGCUGGUCAGGCGGAUACCUCCUGCACAUGAAUUUUGGCCGUUUUGACAACAGGUGAGCAGGAGGAAGAUGUGGCACUCGGGGAUAUUUGUCAUGUGCUUUCACUUCUAACAAUGUACUAGAAGCAGCAGUUCCCGCCCCUAGGGUUGUAUCGGUUAUCUGAUUUGUUAAUUCUAUGCCUUCUAUGUGUGUUAGGAAAAUCACUCGAUGUAAGAAGUAGCCAUGUCCACACACGUGAGCCGAAAAAGCAGAAGCAGCGGUCGGAGACCAUCGGAUAACGACAAUGCGACGACAGACAUGUCACACGUGUGAUCUGCUCGAAGACUAUCCAUGAAAACAGGUACAACACGCAUGUUGAACCUGAAUAGCCAAGGCGACGUGGCGUAUGUGCAACAUUGCCCCAAUGGUUGACAACAACGGCUCAUCAACGGGAUGCUGCAAAAAUGGUUCAUGAGCAUGGCCUUGCUGACGAUAGAGAUGCAGCAAGGCGGCAAGCUACGUGGAGCAAUACAGUGUGGCAUCAACGCGGAGAAGUAGUUUGGCAAGGAGCGAUGGGCACACAAUGAGGCUACGGCAAUGGCAUGGCCGCGUGCAACACCAUCGUCGCCCAUAGACGCGUACAUACAUCAUAUCACAAUGUUUUGUGAUACAUGAUGAAUUCUUCACUUGAACUCUUCUCUUGUAACCAUCUUCUCGGGAUGUUGAUCCUCCACGACUUAACUCACAAGCUAGAGCAAGACAACCUUUGAGUCGCACACAAGGAAUCCAUCAUCUUUCAUUUUCCUCUUCUUUCAACCUUCAAUCCAACAUAUGGUUUCAAAGCAUUGCCUAUGGAUAAACCUUCUAAUCCAUAGGGAUUGCGAGGGGGAGGAGGACGCCGAGAGGUCGGUCGGUCGGCGCGGCUUGGGCUUGGAGUUGGACGCCGACGGGGACACGUCGGUGGCCGGAGCACGGAGGCCGGCCGGCGGUGGCUGCCUGCCAGGGCCGGACCCGGCCCAAAAAGAAAUAUUCCUCGCUCAUGGGCCGCAGUCCAAUUUCUUCUAAUGCCGCUCAAAAAACAAAAAACUUGUCGCUUGUGCUCAAGCCGGCUGGAGUUGGCCUGGAAUUCUUUUUUCAUGUUUUUCAUCUUCUUUUUUAGGAAAGCCAUCAUGGCGAAUUUUAUUGAUCUGGAGUCACAGUUACAUCAUCGACUAGAACAACAUGAAUUUGAUGGUUUAGUCUAGCCAUGUCUGAUCACGUUGGCGGUUCUGAAUUUUUUUCACUUAGGCAAGUUUAAAGCCAGGACCAAGAUGGCUUGAGCUGAUCUGACCGGUGCUCACAGCGCCUCACCUCUUGUGAACUUCCUCCGUUCCCACCAUGCGUACAAGGAGGCUACAGCCACAAGAUCACACCUACGGAUGCCUGCCAUCAUAGGCACAUUGUUAGUGUCUAACAGUAGCUGUUUAAGGGGGGCAAUCUCAUCCACCUCCGCAAAACAAGCCUCCUCAACAAUUCUAUUCAUACCCAGGUGAGACCAGAUCUCCUUGUCAAACGCCAGUACGUCGAUUUUUCUAGUUUAUUUGUCUUCUUCGGCUUUUCUGGUUUGUUCUUUUCUUUGUUUGUUUUUCCCUUUUUUUCUUGUGUCUGUUAUUUUUUCACCGUCUUCAAAGCUCAUAGUGUUGUUUUAGAAAUCCAUCCUUUUCUCAAAAUUGUUUACCAUCUACUUCUUGUAAACUAAUAUAAAACCAUUUAGAUCACUAUUUACCGUGUAUCCAGAAAUUGUUCAUUGUAUAAAAAUAUUCACGGUGUUUCUAACAAAAUAUGAACAGACUGACAUGGAUAGGCUGGUCGGGCGGAUACCUCCUGCACAUGAAUCUUGCCCGAUUUGAUAGCAGGUGAGCCGAAGGAAGAUGUAGCCUCUGGAUAUUUGUGAUCUGCUUUCACUUUUAACAGGAUACUACAAUCGGUUGUGCGCUUUGCCGUGCCGCUAGGGUUGUAUCGAUUAUCUGAUUUGUUAAUUCUAUGUUUUCUAUAUGUGUUAAGCAAAUCACUCGAUAUAAGAAGUAGUCGUGUCCACACACGUGAGCCAAAAAAUAUAGGCAGCGAUCGGAGACCAUCGGACAACAAUAAUGCUACGAUAGAGAUGUCACACAUGUGAUUCACUCGAAGACUAUCCAUGAACACUAGUACAACACACAUGUCGAACCUGAAUAGCCAAGGCGACAUGGUGUACGCGCAACAUCGCCCCGAUGGUUGACAACAGCGGCUCAUCAACGAGAUGGUGCAAAAAUGGUUCAUGAGCAUGGCGAUGAUGAUGAUAGAGAUGUAGCGGGGCCGCAAGCUACAUGGAGCAAUACUGGCAUCAACGCGGAGACACUAGUAGAAAAAGGGUCUUUAGUCUCGGUUCUGGAACCGGGACUAAAGGAUCGGUACUAAAGCCUUUAGUCUCGGUUCUUAUACGAACCGGGACUAAAGGCCCUCCACGUGGCCGCUGCCUGGAGGUCCACCUUUAGUCCCGGUUGGUAACACCAACCGGUACUAAAGGAAAUUUUAUGAUUUUUUUUUAUUUUUUUUAUUUUUUUUGAAUUUCAAAUUUCUGAAUUAUUUUAACUUCUAAUCUCUAAUCACCCCUCAUCACUGCUCAAUUUAACCUUUAAUCUCUAAUCACCCCUCAUCAUUCCAAAUCAUCUAACUUCCCGAACAGUCACCCAUCCUCUCACUACUCCAGCCUAAGCACGCUUAACUUCCGGGUUCUAUUCUUCCUCGUUUCCAAGUCUGCACUUAUUGUUUUCCUGACAAUAGUAAGAUGUCAACCCUAUUAACCCUCAGGAUUUAGCUUGAGCAUGAAGUCACACAUUUCACUGUUUGAGUUUGAAACUAUUGUUUUAAAAAACAAUAAUUAUUUAGCAACACUAAUAUUUCUUGAAUAAGUAGUUUGACCAUAGUUUGACCCUAGUUUGACCACAGUUUGACCAUAGUUUGACCAAAAUUCAAAAAAAUUGAAAUAAUUAUUUAGUAACACUAAUAUUUCUUGAAUAAGUAGUUUGACCAUUGUUUGACCAUAGUUUGACCAUAUUUGACCAAAAUUCAAAAAAACUGAAAUAAUUAUUUAGUAACACUAAUAUUCUUGAAUAAUUAUUUAGUAACACUAAUACUUCUUGAAUAAGUAGUUUGACCAGAUUUAAUAAAAAUUAAAAAAAACUAAAAUUUGAGCAUAACUUUUUUUCCUUUUAGAAUUUGAGGAUUCUAAAAAUUUGCAAACAGGCUGUAGGCUGUCAAAAUCGGAAUCGGAUUUUCGUUCUGAACAUUUUGAUAUAUUAUACGUUUUUUUGCGACAUUGUAUGCAAAAGUUAUAGCCGUUUUACAUUUUCCAUAUAUUUUUUUGCAAAACAUGUCCAAAUUUAAGUUUUUAAAUUUUCCUAACUAGUAGAUGUAGUAAUAUAACUACCUCUCGAAGGAUUUUAUUUUUUGAAGUUUUUAUCAUUUUCGAAACAAAAAAGGAGAUCCACGAGGGGGGGGGGGGUAGAGUUUGAAAAUGGGACCUUUAGUCCCGGUUUGAGACACAAACCGGGACUAAAGGGCAUUGCACCCUUUAGUCUCGGUUUGUGUCUCAAACCACUAAAGGUCUAAAUCUUUAGUCCCGGUUUGAGACACGAACCGAGACUGAAGGGCAUCGCACCCUUUAGUCUCGGUUUGUGCCUCAAACCGGGACUAAAGGGCUCAGCUGAACCGGGACUAAUGCCUUAGCCGCACGAACCGGGACCAAUGCUCACAUUAGUCCCGGUUUGUGACUGAACCGGGACUAAUGGGCUGACCCGGCCUAGACCUUUGCCCCCUUUUCUACUAGUGAGAAGUGGUUUGGGAAGGAGCGGUGGGCACAUAGAGAGGCUACGACGAUGGCAUGGCCGCAAGCUACAUGGAGCAAUACGGUGUGGCAUCAACGCGAAGUAGUUUGGCAAUGAGCGGUAGGCACGUAGAGAGGCUACGACGAUGGCAUGGCCGCAAGCUACGUGGAGCAAUACAGUGUGGCAUCAAUGCGAAGUAGUUUGGCAAUGAGCGGUAGGCACAUAGAGAGGCUACGACGAUGGCAUGGCUGCGUACAACACCAUCGUCACCCAUAGAUGCAUACGUACAUUAUAUCACAAUGUUUUGCGAUACAUAAUGAUUCUUCACUUGAACUCUUCUCUUGUAAUCAUCUUCUCGGGAUCUUGAUCCUUCAUGACUUAACUCACAAGCUAGAGCAAAACAACCUUUGAGUCACACACAAGGACUCCAUCUUCUUUUAUUUUCCUCUCCUUUCAACCUUGAAUCCAACAUAUGGUCUUCAAGCAUUGCCUAUGGAUAAACCUUAAAGUAUAAUUCAAUACAAACACUAGUCCAUAAGGAUUGUCCUUACUUACCAAAAAAACACACAUGGGGGCACUGUUGGAAAUAUGCCCUAGAGGCAAUAAUAAAUUGAUUAUUAUUAUAUUUCCUUGUUCAUGAUAAUCGUUUAUUAUCCAUGCUGUAAUUGUAUUGAUAGGAAACUCAGAUACAUGUGUGGAUACAUAGACAACACCAUGUCCCUAGUAAGCCUCUAGUUGACUAGCUCGUUGAUCAAUAGAUGGUUAAGGUUUCCUGACCAUGGACAUUGGAUGUCAUUGAUAACGGGAUCACAUCAUUAGGAGAAUGAUGUGAUGGACAAGACCCAAUCCUAAGCAUAGCACUAGAUCGUGUAGUUCGUAUGCUAAAGCUUUUCUAAUGUCAAGUAUCAUUUCCUUAGACCAUGAGAUUGUGCAACUCCCGGAUACCGUAGGAGUGCUUUGGGUGUACCAAACGUCACAACAUAACUGGGUGACUAUAAAGGUGCACUACGGGUAUCUCCGAAAGUGUCUGUUGGGUUGGCACGAAUCGAGACUGGGAUUUGUCACUCCGUGUAAACGGAGAGGUAUCUCUGGGCCCACUCGGUAGGACAUCAUCAUAAUGUGCACAAUGUGAUCAAGGAGUUGAUCACGGGAUGAUGUGUUACGGAACGAGUAAAGAGACUUGCCGGUAACGAGAUUGAACAAGGUAUCGGGAUACCGACGAUCGAAUCUCGGGCAAGUGUCGUACCGAUAGACAAAGGGAAUUGUAUACGGGAUUGAUUAAGUCCUUGACAUCGUGGUUCAUCCGAUGAGAUCAUCGUGGAACAUGUGGGAGCCAACAUGGGUAUCCAGAUCCCGUUGUUGGUUAUUGACCGGAGAGUCAUCUCGGUCAUGUCUGCAUGUCUCCCGAACCCGUAGGGUCUACACACUUAAGGUUCGGUGACGCUAGGGUUAUUGAGAUAUUAGUAUGCGGUAACCCGAAAGUUGUUCGGAGUCCCGGAUGAGAUCCCGGACGUCACGAGGAGUUCCGUAAUGGUCCGGAGGUAAAUAAUUAUAUAUAGGAAGUGCUAUUUCGGCCAUCGGGACAAGUUUCGGGGUCACCGGUAUUGUACCGGGACCACCGGAAGGGUCCCGGGGGUCCACCGGGUGGGGCCACCUGCCCCAGGGGGCCACAUGGGCUGUAGGGGGUGCGCCUUGGCCUAUAUGGGCCAAGGGCACCAGCCCCAAGAGGCCCAUGCGCCAAGAGAAGAGGAAAAGGAAGAGUCCUAAAGGGGGAAGGCACCUCCAAGGUGCCUUGGGGAGGAGGGACUCCUCCCUGGCCGCACCCUUCCUUGGAGGAAGGGCCAAGGCUGCUCCCCCCUCUCCCUUGGCCCUAUAUAUAGUGGGGGAAAGGGAGGGCAACCUAACCUAAGCCCUGGCGCCUCCCUCUCCCUCCCAUGACACAUCUCCCUCCUCCCGCAGCGCUUGGCGAAGCCCUGUUGGAAUCCCGCUACUUUCACCAUCACGCCCUCGUGCUGCUGGAUCUCCAUCAACCUCUCCUUCCCCCUUGCUGGAUCAAGAAGGAGGAGACGUCACUGCUCCGUACGUGUGUUGAACGCGGAGGUGCCGUCCGUUCGGCGCUAGGAUCAUCGGUGAUUUGGAUCACGACGAGUACGACUCCAUCAACCCCGUUCUCUUGAACGCUUCCGCGCGCGAUCUAUAAGGGUAUGUAGAUCCACUCCUCCCUCGUUGCUAGAUGACUCCAUGGACAGAUCUUGGUGAUACAUAGGAAAAAUUUGAAUUUAUGCUACGUUCCCCAACAGGCACCAUGCAGUUUCAUGUUGAAACCUGCUGUCUUCGGAUUGGAGGAAGAAGUGAGACAGAAUGAUUGAGAACCAAAUUUGUGGUGGAGGCUCAAGGAGAAGAAUGUGAGCCCGAGGAACUUCAUGAUUACCAACACCUCUUCAAUGGUGAUUAGGUUUCUUAUCAGGAAGUAAACAUCGAGAUAAAUCUUCAUCUCCUCAUAUCUCGAUUAUCCAACUUAUCUACCCAUUAGGUGGCAUUACAUCAAGUGUUGCUGUGGGAUGAAAAAAUUCACAAAAAAACCGUAGCGCGCUGGUGGGGAAUUGACCUGGUAACGAGCCGUUGGUGAAUGUGUGUUCCUAGCCACUGGAGCUGACUAGCAUUAUUGAUUGUAAGGCAGCACAUAUCUUAUCGAACCAACCGGAGCCACAUGAUCAAACUGCGCCAUUAUAGAAAACCGAAAUCAAUCACUGUAGCGAAUUAGACCAUGCCAAUGUAGCGAACCGGAAUGAGUUACUGCAGCGGUGUAACACCCCAGAUAUGUUUUCCCAAUAUGUAAUCCAACUCUUGCCGUUUCCGGCGUUAAGUUAUUUUAUUUUCUCGGGUUCGGGUUUUUGUCUCCGUGUGUUGUUGUCGUUGUCAUGCAUCUCAUAUCAUGUCAUCAUGUGCAUUGUAUUUGCAUACGUGUUCAUCUCAUGCAUUCGAGCAUUUUCCCCGUUGUCCGUUUUGCAUUCCGGCGCUCCAUUCUCCUCCGGUGGUCAUUUCUACCUUUCUUUCAUGUGUGGGGAUUAAACAUUUCCGGAUUGGACCGAGACUUGCCAAGCGGCCUUGGUUUACUACCGGUAGACCGCCUGUCAAGUUUCGUACCAUUUGGACUUCGUUUGAUGCUCCAACGGUUAACCGAGGGACUGGAAAGGCCUCAUGUGUGUUGCAGCCCAACACCCCUCCAAGUUGGCCCAAAACCCACCAAAACCCUCUUCAUCAUCUAGAGCGUUCGAUCACGAUCGCGUGGCCAAAAACCGCACCUCAUUUGGACUCUCCUAGCUCCUCCUAUGCCUAUUUAAAGCCCCCUCCGAAAUCCUCCCCCCCCCGAAAACCCUAGAUCCGUCUCCAACCGCCGCCCGCCGGACAUUUUCCCGCCGACGGACGUGUCCGCCCGACGUGUCCGCCGCCACGUGGAGUCACCAGAUUCGCUCCACCAGGCGCCCACAUCGCCGCGCCGCCGAAGCCCGCGGUGGCCCGUGGCCGGCCCGCCCGNNNNNNNNNNNNNNNNNNNNNNNNNNNNNNNNNNNNNNNNNNNNNNNNNNNNNNNNNNNNNNNNNNNNNNNNNNNNNNNNNNNNNNNNNNNNNNNNNNNNNNNNNNNNNNNNNNNNNNNNNNNNNNNNNNNNNNNNNNNNNNNNNNNNNNNNNNNNNNNNNNNNNNNNNNNNNNNNNNNNNNNNNNNNNNNNNNNNNNNNNNNNNNNNNNNNNNNNNNNNNNNNNNNNNNNNNNNNNNNNNNNNNNNNNNNNNNNNNNNNNNNNNNNNNNNNNNNNNNNNNNNNNNNNNNNNNNNNNNNCGCCGACAUCGCCGCCCCGUUCCGGUCGCCGCCCGCGCCGGCGAGGGCCGCCCCGCUCCGGCCACUCCGUCCCGGUCUCCUUCCUCUACUCCGGCGAUCUUCCUCCCUCUGGUGAACAGUGAUCUUGGCGAUCCUCGUAAAGUGUGCCGGCCGGAUCUAGAUCUGGGAUUUAUCUCGGGUUGACUUUUCUGCCCGAAACCCUAAUUAUUUGCUCAUGUUCAUCAUGUCGUAACUCCUCAUCCAUAGCUCCGUUUUGGGCAUAUAGCAUAUCAAAAUGUUCGUCUCAGAGAGCACAUCAUUUCGUCUCAUUGCAUCAUUUUCAUUUGAGUUCAUAUUGAUGCCAGAAAUACUGUUAGAAGAAUGCUAUUUGAGAUAAUUGUCAGAUCUGCUGCUCCAUUUAGAUAUUUGUCAUUUUUGCCAUGAUUAAUAUGUGCAUGAUAUGCCCCUGAACUCUUCAUGAGUUUUGUUAUAUAUUUUUCCAUAUAUUCAGAGGUGCAACCCAUGUAUUUUUGUGAUGUGUGUGGUGACUAGCACAAGCUUGCAAAGUGGAGCCUUCGUUAAUGCUUAUUUCAGGGACUUAGCUUUCCACUAAGUUCUUGGACUGUUUAUUUCAAUAUGCCAUAUGUUCAUGGUGUUUCCUAGUGAUCCGUGCCUCUUUUGAGGAUGAUCAGUAAGGAUGUUUUGUUAACCUUGUAGUGCUCUAUCCAUCCAUGUCUUUUUUGCAAUUAUGGAGCACCCUAGCUUGAGUAAAUCGAGCUCUACUUUUGUCAUUUCGUGAAUCUGGGCAGAUUGUCUACUUGUUAGCGAUUUUGCCGAGGAUGUUGUAGUUGAUCCGUGCAUGCUAUGUUAUUGUUCUUGCCAUGUCUAGCUUGUAUUUUGUGUAUUCUUGAUGGGUGUAUGCUUAGCUUGUCAUGACUUGCUCUGUAGUGAGUGCAUCGAGCUCGUAAACAUGCCUACUUGAUAUUUGUUUCAGCAUGCUCCAGUUUUCACUAAGUCUGUGAUCUGAUUAUGUUUUUGCCAUGUUCACAUGCUUGCAAUUGUAUUUUAUGAUCCCUUUUGGAUCAAGGUCACUAAGGAAUUUUUGUUAAGCUCUUUAAGUAGCUCCAUGACAUGCUUUACUUUGCCAUGUUCAGGUCCUGUAGCAUAUUGUUUUCAUGCUCCAAAGAGUGCUAUCUGAUCUGAAAUUCCAGACAAGUGUUAAUUUCACUAAGUCUGAGAUCUGUUUACCAAACGCAUUUUUGCCAUGCUUGUUUGAACCUAUUAAUGGAUGAGUUGGCCGUAGCUCAGUGCUAGUCUUUUGUUAAGCAUCAUGAAUGGAUCCCUGCCAUGUAUUUGGAUGCCAUGUUUGGGUGUUGUAGCAUAUUCAUCUUAUUGCAUUUAGAUGGCUACUUGCUGUAAAUCGCAGAACGUGGUCAUAUUUGAAUUGCUUGCCAUUUCCAAACCGUAACUCCGAUUCCGGCGAUCUUUAUAUCGUUUUCAAGCGAUUUCAUCUCAUCUUUCCAGUGGCACACUUGGAUUUCCAAGAAGAUGCCAGGUUCAUGCAUUCCUUGUCAAAUCUUGCAUAUGCAUCACAUAUUGCAUCCCACAUAUCAUACCCUCUUUGCAUCAUGUUGUUUGAGCCUUGCACGUGGUUGAUUGUGUCCUUGUUGCUUGUUUGUCUUGUUUGGGUAGAGACGGGAGACGAGUUCGCUAACGAGGAUCCCGUUGAGUUUGCUUUCGAGGAUCCAGUCAACUCUGACAACUUUGCAGGCAAGAUGAUCAUACCCUCGAAAUCACUACUAUCUUUGCUAUGCUAGAUGCUCGCUCUUUUGCUAUGCCUAUGCUACGAUACCUACCACUUGCUUAUCAUGCCUCCCCAAAUUGCCAUGUCAAACCUCUAACCCACCAUGUCCUAGCAAACCCUUGAUUGGCUAUGUUACCGCUUUUGCUCAGCCCCUCUUAUAGCGUUGCUAGUUGCAGGUGAAGAUUGGAGACCGUUCCUUGUUGGAACAUUAUUUACUUGUUGGGAUAUCAUUAUAUUUCCAUGUUAUCUUAAUGCAUCUAUACACUUGGUAAAGGAUGGAAGGCUCGGCCUCUCGCCUAGUGUUUUGUUCCACUCUUGCCGCCCUAGUUUCCCUCAUAUCGGUGUUAUGUUCCCGGAUUUUGCGUUCCUUACGCGGUUGGGUUAUAAUGGGAACCCCUUGAUAGUUCACCUUGAUUAAAGCCUUUUCAGCAAUGCCCAACCUUGGUUUUACCAUUUGCCACCUAGCCUCUUUUUCCCUUGGGUUUCCGGAGCCCGAGGGUCAUCUUAUUUAACCCCCUGGACUAGUGCUCCUCUGAGUGUUGGUCCACCUUGUCAGCCGCCGGUGGCCACCAGGGGCAACUCUGGGCUGGCCUACCGGAAGUUUGGACAAUCUGAGUGUGCCUUGAGAACGAGAUAUGUGCAGCUCCUAUCGGGAUUUGUCGGCACAUUCGGGCGGUGUUGCUGGAUUUGUUUUAACUUGUCGAAGUGUCUUGAAGAACCGGGAUACCGAGUCUGAUCGGAAUGUCUCGGGAGGAGGUCUAUUCCUUCGUUGACCGUGAGAGCUUGUCAUGGGCUAAGUUUGGACUCCCCUGCAGGGAUUUGAACUUUUGAAAGCCGUGCCCGCGGUUAUGGGCAGAUGGGAAUUUGUUAAUGUCCGGUUGUAGAUAACUUGAACCUUAAUUUAAUUAAAAUGAAUCAACUGAGUGUGUUACCGUGAUGGUCUCUUCUCGGCGGAGUCCGGGAAGUGAACACGGUGUUGGAGUAAUGCUUGCGCAGAUUGUUCUCUAGUUAUCCGUUCGCGCUUUGCCUCCUCUUCUCGCUCUCUUUUGCGAAUAGGUUAGCCACCAUAUAUGCUAGUCGCUUGCUGCAGCUCCACAUAUUUUCCUUGCCUUACCCAUUAGCUUAAAUAGUCUUGAUCGCGAGGGUGCGAGAUUGUUGAGUCCCUGUGGCUCACAGAUUACUUCCAAACCAGAUGCAGGACCUGAUGAUUCCGCUCCAGAUGACGCGCUUGAGCUCAAGUGGGAGUUCGACAAGGACUCACGCCGAUACUACGUGUCUUUCCCUGAUGAUCAGUAGUGGUGCCUAGUUGGGGUGAUCGGGACCGUGUCGCAUGUUGGGUUGUUCUUUUAUUUGGGCGCCGUAGUCGGGCCAUGAGUGUUUGAAUGUUGUAAUGCUAUUUAUGUACCUUGAUUGACGUGGCGAGUGUAAGCCAACUAUGUAUCUCCCCUUUAUUAUCUAUAUUACAUGGGAUGUUGUGAAGAUUGCCUAACUUGCGACAUUGCCUUCAAUGCGAUUAUGCCUCUAAGUCGUGUCUCGACACGUGGGAGCUAUAGUCGCAUCGAGGGUGUUACAAGCCGUCAGUUUUAAAACAUAUUGAGAAACAUUUUUUAAAAGUGUAUAUUUUGAAAAAGUGCCAACAUUUUUUAAAUUGUGAAGAAAUGUUAAGAAACAAGAAACAUUUUUUGAAAAAUCGAAAUAACUUUUUUAAGCAUGGACAUUCUUUGAAUGUGUGAUUUUUUUUUUAAAAAUGCGCAAGCGAAUUUGUUGAAGUUGUGAACAUUUAUGAAAUUCCGAACAAUUUUUGAAGCCGUGAACAUUUUUUUGAGUAUGUGAAACAAAAAUUGAAAAUGUUAUGAAAUUAUGAACAGAAAAUUCGACUGCGAACCUUUUUUAAAUUCCUGGACAUUUUAUACACUUUUUACAUUGUUUUCUUACUUUUAGAUUUAUUUUUCUGAGUUAUUCAUAUCAUGUAGUAUAAACAAAAAAUGUCUAGAAGGCCGAAAAUAGCGCCCGUCGUCCCGCAGCACAAGGUUCCUGGCUGGGCCAUGUGAGCGAGGCGCUGCUCCAGCAGCUCUCGCGAGACUAGUAGGUAGCUAGGGUUUACACUCUCCUCUCCUCUCCUCCGAAUCAAAGAAGCGGCGGCUGUCUCACACUUCGGGAUGCGCUUCAUUGCGCACACCCCAUGCUUGAGUAAUCUCACACUUCGGUUGUGUCAUAAGGUGACUGAUGUUGGAUUGGCUGAACUGAGGCGUGCACAUAAGAUAGAGUCUUUGGUCAUUGAGUGUUGUUGUGAGGUCUCUCUGCAAGCUGCGCAGGGUGUCGCCAAGUCAGUUCACUACUCCAGCAACUAUUCAGUUGCCCUUAGGAAGAGAGCUGGUCUUGGCGGCUAUUGAUGAAGUGGUCUCCAAAAAUUUCACUACAAAUUUGCUGCUGAAGACAUUAAGUUGUUCAGUGUGCAUCAUUGGACAAGGUUUGUGCAUCAUCCGACCUAGAUUCAUUUGUGUGUACUUUCAAUUGCCUUCUACCUUUACUGUAUAAUUUUUCUGUAUGACAGUCUAAUAACGACCUGUGGUCGCGUGGCAAUUUUGGUAUGGAUCGUUGUAGUAAUAAUAUCAUGUCCAAUUUUCCAUGGACAUGUACAAAGGCGGCAUGCUUGUUUUGUUGGUAUCAAAUCAACCGGAGUAUGUCUUUGAUUGCUUCACAGAAGAAUAGUGCUAGUUGCUACUCCUUGUGUAAACUAAUGUAAGACGUUUUUGAAGUUUAAACUGAACUGUAGAAAUGUCUUGUUUUGGAUGUUUAGAUUCUAUAAUGAUCUGAAGUUAAGGAACAACUGAAACUUGAGCGACUACUGAAGGCAUAUAACAAAGCCGUCACAUCAUGUCUUUGCUCUGGACAUGCAGCACUAAAAACAUUUUGUUCUUACCUUUUUUAGGGUGGCAAGUUUCAGUUUUAUUUUUUGGGUUUGUUUUUUCUUUUCAGAUAUCAGCUUUAGUUGUAAAAAACCAGAGUUCUUCGUGCGGCAUGUGUGGCACUUAUCAUUUGCACACGUAUAACUCAUUACAAACAUUACUCCGUAGGGAUUGUCUUUACUUACCAAAAAACACACACACGCGGGGGCACCAUGCAGUUUCAUUGUGAAAGUUGCCAUUGUCGGAGUGGAGGAAGAAGCUAGACUGUUUAACAAUUGGGAACCAACUAUGUGGUGAAGGCUCAAGGAGAAGGAUGUGAGCCUUCAGUGGUGUUUCGAGGAACUUCGUUGAUAUCUGCACCUCUCCAACGGUGAUUAGGUUCCUUAUGAGGAAGUGACCAUCGAGAUAAACCUUCACCUCCACAUGUCUCAAUCAUCCCUAUGCCCAAAUUAUUUACCCAUUGGGCACCAUCAUAUCAAGGGAUACCGUGGGGCGAAAAAAAAUCGACCUGGUACCGAGCCACCGGUGAAUGUGGGUUCCUAGCCACCAGGCCUGACUAGCGUUGUUGAUUGUAAGGCAACGCAUACCUUAUUGAACCAACAGAAACCACAAAACGGACCCGCGCCACUAUAGCGAACCGGAAGCAGUCACUGUAGCGAAUCAGACCAUGCCAAUGUACGUAGCGAACGGGAACCAGUUACUGUAGAGGAUAUUUCUGAAACAAAUUGAGGGACAUUUUCUAAAAAAGCGUAUAUUUUGGAAAAGUGCAAAGUUUUUUGAAUUUUUUAAAAAAUGUUCAAGUACAGGAAACAUUUUUUGAAAACUCAAAAUAAAAUUUUAAAGCACGGACAUUCUUUCAAUGUGUGAAAAAUCUUUUAAAAAGAAGAGCAAAUAAAUUUGCUGGAGUCGUGAGCAUUUAUGAAAUCCCUAACAAUUUUUGAAACCGUGAACUUUUUUUGAAUUCGUGAAACAAAAAUUGAAAAAUGUUAUGAAAUCGCAAACAAAAAACUUCAACCGUGAACUUUUUUAAAAUUCCUGGACAUUUUAUACAUUUGUCUAUAUUGUUUUCUUACUUUUAUAUUUUCUUUCUGUGUUUUUCAUAUAUAUAAACAAAAAAAGGUGUAGAAGGCCGAAAAUAGCGCCCGUUGGCCCGCAGAGAUUCCAGAGACGGCGCUGCAGCCCACAUCUUCCUCCGCUCCGCUGGAAAUUACAGAGACCAACUAGAAAUGCGAGACUAGCUCCAGGGUUUACUGAUGCUCAAAAAAAAAAAAGCUCCAGGGUUUACUGCACCCUCAUCUCCUCUCCGGCGAGGUCGAGCGGCGGCGGCUCCGGUCUAUUCUCUAUCUCCUCCGACCGAAUCUACGGUCGUUCUCAAGGAAGGUACCGCCGUUUCUUGCUUCUACUCUCCUCUCCUGAGAGACUCCUCCCUCCUUGCGUUGGUUCCCCUUUCCUGAUUCGAUUUCUUGGUCUUGAUUGAUUUGAUAGGGGAACCAAACCGGUAGUAUCAUCCUCAUCCAUAAACUUAGUUGAUUAGUACUAGAAAGAAAGUAAAUACUACUCUAGUAUUCUCUAGUUGAACAGAUAGAUUGGCCCUGUGAACUCAGCUCAUCGUCUGUGGGAAAAUGGUUGAUAUCCCUACUUUCUUUCUUGCCCAACCGAGAGCUGCAAGUAGUAAUUUGCAUAUAUGCUCUGGUUUUCAUGUUCAGAUUCAGCAAUUACUAGUAAAUCUGCUUGCAGAAUUGUUUGCGUCAAUUGUUACGUAAUCAUGGCGGUACCUAGUUUUAUUUAAUGAUGUCACCUGGAGCGUCAUUUUUCUGAUAUUAUAUAAUAGAAGUGCUCAAAGUUCAUCAGUAGCUAGUUUAAUCUAAUGAUUUGGCCUGCCUGCAGCGUUAUUUUUUCCUUUCUAACAAUAUAGACACAGAUAAGGUGCUAGCUACUUGAUAAAUCUCCAUGCUUGUGAAGAACACACAAGUUUUGGACGGAUACAGAAAAUGCUCAAACUUUGUCAGUAACAUAUUCUUCGUAAUGAUUGUCUACCGUCAGUGAUAUAUUCUGAUGUAUCGUAAUGAAUGGUACAGCUGAAUUGUUCGAUGGAAGACCUACCGGAGGCUCUGCUGACUGAGAUUCUCAACAGGAUCACCACGACAAGUGAUCUCAAUUCUCUUUCCCUUGUGUCAAAGCAGCUCUACAAGAUAGAGGGGAAUCAAAGGGAUGCUAUCCGUGUUGGUUCCGGUCUUUGCAUUGCUACAAAAGAACUGACAUCAUUGUGCGCCCGCUUCCCAAAUCUGCGAAAAUUGGAAAUCGAUUACUCUGGUUGGAUACCUGGACAUGGAAAGCAGUUGGACAACAAAGGCCUUUUUGUGUUUUCAUCUCACUGUUCCUCGCUGAUUGAUCUCACAUUAAGCUUCUGCUCACAUAUCGAUGACUCUGGGCUUGCUUGUUUAGCUUAUUGUAAGACAUUGCUGUCUCUCACGCUCAACUCCACACCAAAAGUAACAUCAGUUGGGCUUUUCUCGGUUGCAGUUGGUUGCACAAGUCUAUCUGCUCUCCACCUUAUUGGUUGCGAGAAAAUUGACAGUGUAGAGUGGCUGGAAUACCUUGGUAGGGAUGGAUCGUUGGAAGAGCUUGUAGUGAAGAAUUGCCAAGGAAUCAAUCAUCAUGACUUCCUAAAGUUUGGUUCUGGAUGGAUGAAGCUCCAGAAGUUUGAGUUUGAGAGGAAAAGAGGAAAAUAUGAUCUUCUUGAUCCAGGUAAUGUGGUCUAUGACUCCUCGUACAAUGCUCACAGCAUGGAUGUAUACGAUUUCUGCUGUGAGAGUUUGAAGGAUUUAAGGUUGGCGCAUAUUGAAACUUGGCCAGAAGCAGGACUUCGAGUUCUCCUAGGGAAGUGUAAAGCAUUGGAGAAGCUUUGCCUUGAGUAUGUUCGUGCCCUAAAUGAUAAUGACAUUAUUGCAUUAUCUCGGAGCUGCAGCAACCUUAAAAGAAUAUCACUUUGGCUCAACCUGCAGCGCUACUCUAGUGAUAUCAACUAUUGUGAGACCAGGACGUCGCUUACUGAUAACAGCCUUUACGCUCUAGCCCUCAACUGUUGUAUGCUUCAGAUGAUAGACCUCAGCUUUACAGGAUGUGAUGCCGACUGGCCAUCAGAAAUAGGAUUCACACAAGAGGGUUUUCUGGUGCUCAUUCAGUCCUGCCCAAUUCGUGUUCUUGUGCUCAACAACGCCAACUUCUUUGAUGACGAGGGGAUGAAGGCCCUCUCAUCCUCGCCUCAUCUGGAGACACUCGAGCUUAUAUUGUGUCAUGCGGUAACUGAUGCCGGGAUGCGCUUCAUUGCGCACACCCCAUGCUUGAGUAAUCUCACACUUCGGAUGUGUCAUAACGUUACUGAUGUUGGAGUGGCUGAACUGGAAGGUGCACAGAAGUUAGAGUCUUUGGUCAUCGAGUGUUGUGGUGAGGUCUCUCUGCAAGCUGCGCAGCGUGUUGCCAAGUCAGUUCAGUACUCCAGCGAGUGUUCAAAUGCCCUUAUGAAGAAAAUUGGUCUUGGCGGCUAUUGAUGAAUUGGUCUCCAAAAAAUUUAGUAUGAAUUUGCUGCUGAAGCCAUUAAGUUGUUCAGUGUGCAUCAUUGGACAAGGCUGUGCAUCAUCCGACCUAGAUUCACUUGUCUGGACUUUCCAUUGCCUUCUACCUUUACUGUAUGAUUUUUCUGUAUGACACUCUAAUGAUGAUCUUUGGACGGCAUCUGGUGGAUGAAACUUUAAUAGUAGGCACCACUUGUGUAUUACUAUCAACCGUACAUAAUUCUGGUUACUUUAUUUCUACUGUCUGUAGCCGUUUCGAAACUGUACAUAAUUCUGGUUACUUUAUUUCUACUGUCUGUAGCCGUUUCGAAACCGGCAUAAGUAGGCCCCAAGAUUCCCUGUUUUUGCUGUGGAGGCACUAUAUGACGGGUUGGUGUUAUUUAUCUUAUUUAAGCAAAUGUUCUGGACCCCUUGUUUUAUUGUGCAAGUGAUUUUGAAGACAUAUAUAUCUGCCUGCUAUGUUCGUGUGGCACUAUGUGAUUCAUUGUAGUAAUAAUAUUAUGUCCAAGUUUCACUGGACAUGUACAAAGGCGACGCGCUUGUUUUGUUGACAUCGACUCAAUUGGAAGAUGCCUUUGAUUGCUUCUCAAAAGAAUGGUGCUAGUUACUAGUAGCAUAAUUGUGGAUGUUUAGAUUCCAAAAUGACCUGAAGUUGUGGAACAACUGAAACUACUGAAGGCCUACAACAUAACUGUGUGCUAAUUACAGGUAGGUAGUCACAUCAUGUCUUUGCUCUGGGCGUCCAGCACUCAACAACAUUUUCUUCUUACCUUUUUGAGGGUGUCUACCUAUCAAUAGUAUAUACGGCGGGUGUAUGAAAAUAGCAGAAAUUAAGAGACCAUUUGAGGGAUGAGAUAUCGAGAUUCUUGUGUUUGCUUGGUUCAUCAGUCUAGUACAAAGAUCCUGAAAUUGCAAAUCUUUUGUUUUAGUAACAAGACAGCUCGUUACAUCAUCAGUUCAGCUCGUAGGAACAACAUUUGCCUUGUAUUUGUAGCUCCUCAAGAUGCCAACUUUGCUGGAUACUUUAUUAGCUCAUGUACUUUGUACUUUGUGUUGUACUACUUGAUAAGUACUUGAGCUAAAAUGAAAUAUGCGCCCUUUCCCUUGUUAAAAAAGGGAGAAUAGUUUAUUUAUUUUUUACAUUAUUAGCUCAUGCACGCCCUGAUCGUGGAAUAUUUACUAGUACAAAACAAACACUAGCAAAGAGAGGUUGAAAGAGAGGAAGCAAGAAGUUAAUGAGCCACAGGAAGCGACACACAAAGCGCUUUAUGCAGCUAAACACACAAAUUUCAUCGUGGCUAGCUUAACUGAAUUAAAGAACAAUUACAUUGUUCACUAGCUGGCCAAGUAAAAACCCCGGAGGUUCAUUAGUCCAACUAUCGUCACUCUUAUUACAAAAACUGAAUUUUGCUAGCUCACGAGCUACAGAGUUUGCAUCACUGUCUAGGAAAAAUUUCACAGGAGAAAAUUAAUCUGUCAUUUUUCCACGGGAUAAAAUAGAGGAUAGAUGGCGACACUGAAGAAGAAAAAUUUGGCGUGUCGGAUGUUAAACGGCAACCGACACAUACGCAGGCUGGUAGACGUACAGAAAGCGCCGGUAACCCACUUGAGUUUGUAUUUUCUUUAGUUUGUGUGGUCAAGAUGCUGCUUGGCUGCACAGGCUUUGAGUUCCAGAAGUUGCAGCCAUAGCCUCAUAUUCCCUCGGACACACGACUUCCAACAAGACUUAUGGUCCAGGAUUUGUAUUAAACAGAAUUCAACGCUAAAACCUUUAUUUCUACAACAGCUGGUGGAUAGAAUUCAAGCACGGAAUUUCCCCGCAAUUUGUAGGUGCAUUGCAUUGCACCACCAGUCAUGAGUCCUUGAUCUAAAUGUUUGGUCUAUGUAUCAGCUGAAAAGCGAAAAGAGAAACAUUUUUUAGGAUAGCUUAAGACAUAUAUACUGAAGCAGUUUUACAUGAUCAAAUAAACAAGGAAAUACUACCCAAAAAAUCACAGGGGAUACCAUCAAAGAAAAACUGUACUGCAAUGUUAACUCAAGUCCAUUCAGUGCAUGAGUUGUUGACGGAUGAGAACUGGGUAUUGCUUUCUACUCCCUCUGUAAAGAAAUAGUAUAAGAGCGUUUAGAUCAUUACUUUAGUGAUCUAAAUGCUGUGUGUCAUUUUUCCAUAGAAAUGAGGACAGAAAAUAGAGGAAGAGAUGGCGACACUGCAUAAGGAAAACAGGCGCCCAGCAGCUGCUGCUUAAGGGAUGUGCCAGCGUCCCAACAAAGAGCUCGGAACUUCCAGCAGGCAGAGAUGGCGAAAAAGGUUUGCAGUCCUAUGUGAUUUCUUUUACUAGUAAGAUCAAGCCAGGAUAAUGCACUGCUAUAAGUAGGAUUAAUAACUUGCACAGUUUUAGUUAUUCAUAAAUUACAAAGGGCGCACCUGUGCUGGGAAUGUUGUCGUACAUGGCAAUCAACACGUACAUGGCCAGACGUACAGAGAGCGACCGGUACUAGAAUUUUACCGAUUCAACCCAUUUGAGCCUGAAACUUCUCUUCAGUUUGUGUGGCCAAGAUGCUGCUGCUUGCUUCUACAGGCCUUGAAUUCUCUCCACAAGAUGCAGCCAAACACACGACUUCCUACACAAGACUUGCGGUCCUGGAUUUGCGCCAACCAAAAUUCAGCACAGAAACCUUUUAUCCUUACCAUCGACAGAAUUUCCAGCACGGAAUUUUUCCCACAGUGAUAUUUUGUUCUACUACUAUGUACGUAGCAUCUGAAAAGCGAAAAGGGGAACAUAAGUACUGCAGAGAAUAGCAUAAGACAAAACAUAAUUUCCACCAUACUUGCUUUCCCAUGAUGACUGAUGACUUGUUUCACCUAGGUUAGGUGCGUGCCAACAUCUCUCUUCGGGAAAUUAAGCAGAAAACAUAACAGUCUGAACAAUUGUCGAGUUCAGAGAACAGCUUCCUUUAUCCCUUCCUAAUAGAGAAGCACAUAAAAGAAGUGGAUACCAGUUCUGAGUUCAGAGUUCAGAAACCAUUUCCAACAUAAGACAAACAUGUAAAGAUGUCAUGUGGAAUCCAACCUCGAAAAUCCAUCGUAAUUCAGCUCAGCUAGUGAGGAACUGAGGAUGUACAGUCACCAUAUGGCGAGCAUUAUCACUCGCCUUCCUAAAUAAAUAUCCUUCUACCUUGCUCAGUGCCUUCUCAGAUUUUCGACGGAUGAUCGGAGGUUGACAAGUAGAUUUGCACCCUUUUGAUUACUCAUAAAUUACAAAUUAAGGGGCAUACCUAGGAGUAUUGACCGGUGGCCGCCGGAGUUGGAGCCGAUGCCCGAAACCCUAGACGAUGCCCGGUGACCUGCUGCUUCUUUUCCUGGGACCUCAUGUCCUCACAAGGCCAUGUCUCGGCGAGGAAGUGCAAGUGGUUGCGUGGCACAUCUGGCCAUCGCCAUUGGCGUCGCUCUGCUGGAUCUCCCUCUCCUUCUGGCACCGAAGAAGGAGGAGGAAGGAGGCGAAGGUCAGGGGGCUGCGGUGGGAGAGAAGGCCCCCGGAUUUGGAGGAGAUGCCGAGGUGCGAGGCCAGUGGUGGCGGUGGGUGAGGAAGGGCAUCGCGGGUGGGAGGGAGAAGGGGAAUUAAGAGAGUGUGGGUUCGGGUUUGGGCCUCCGCGCGCUAUGUGUACACAUGUGUUGGUGGGUUUAUAGCAGUGGCGCCGGGUUUAUACCCCACGCUACUACUAUGGCCUAUCCCGAGGGUACGGUAGAGACCACUUAGUAGUAGCGAGGGGUUUAUACCCCUCGCUACUACUAUCAACUUAGUAGUAAACCUCUCGCUACUACUAUCAACUUAGUGGUAGUGAGGGAUUUAUACCCCUCGAUACUACUAUGGCCAGUCCCAGGGGCACGGUGGAGACCACUUAGCAGCAGUGUGGGGUUUAUACCCCUCGCUACUACUAUCAACUUAGUAGUAGCGUGGGUUCUAUACCCCUCGCUACUAAUAAUUACCAGCAGUGUGGCCCAUAUACCCCUCGCUACUGCUAAGCAUCUAUCUAUAAGGUAUUUUCUAGUAGUGCAUGGAUGGCGGCGAAAUCAGUCUUUCUGCUUCUUUUCCCUACUAGCUCUGUGACGUCCAGAACAAGUUUACGGUCAUCAGGUGCAAUGCCCUUGCCUUCGUGAGCGACAUGAUGACAUGGGAACGGGCUUCCAAGCCUAUGGUGUCGCAUCGUGUCGCGGUCUGCUAGACUUAGUGGACGGAUGCUACUCCAAUAUCGGUUGAUCCCAUACUACGAUGCCAAGGAAGACACGCAACUAUUAUAUAUAUUUCUUCAAGUCGGUCAACACAAGUAAAAUCUGGGAGUUCAACCGGUGCAGCUAUGCAAUGCUAAUGGAGAAAACACAAUUCAACUUUAGCACUUCACACAUAAGCAACACCACGUUCAAUAGCACACACCUUAGAGUGUACCUAUGGUGGUUGAUUGGGCUAUAAGAAAUGUGAGUCCAUGUGAAGAUGCCAAACAUAAUAACAUGGCUAAUUACACAUGCAGUGGCAGCAGCAACAAGUGCGUGAAUUCCACAAAAUGAUCUAGGGUACACAUGCAACUAUGUCCUUGAGUAUGACAACAACCUUUAUCUUCUAGACAAAUGCAUGGUAUGCUACUAAUUUAUUUGCUACAAAUUCCAAUGAAUUGUGUCCUUUACUUUGUACAUACCCAGUUAUGAUAUUUGAUUUUGCUAAUACAAUGUAGCCUUCAAUUUAAACCAAGUUUUGCAUCCAUUAAUUAUGUUAGGUUCAUAUGACUUCACUACAUAAAAUAGGUAGAUAAUGCAUAAGACUAAGAUUGUAGCUAGGGAUGAAAAUCUAAAUACGACAUGAAUCUAACAAUUACGAGUAAUGUCUUUGUGACAAGAACUUUCUUUGUCUUUUAUUCCCAUGUUUGAACUAGUAUAGGUCGGGGUUACACAUUAUGGUGCACAUCACUUUAUUUAUCAUCGUUACAUUGAACGCUCAUUGACUAAACAACGAUGAUCCAUCCAUCUUGUAUUGUAGGUCUUCAUUUCAUUGGCCACCGAUGCUUGUAAGACUAGUCUCAUAUGGUUGUUGUUGUGGAUAUGGUUGUUGAGGUUGGUGUGGUUGCUGGGGUUGCUGGGAAAUUGUUUGUUCUGGUUGCUGGGAUAAUUGUUGUUGGGGCUGUAGAAAUGGUUGUUGUGGUUGUUGGGGUAAUGGUUGUUGUGGUUGCAGGAUGGAUGGUUGUUGGGGUUGCUGGGGUUGGGGCUGGGGAAAUGAUUGUUGUGAUUGUUGGGGUUGCUGGGGAAAUGGUUGUUGCGGUCCUAGGAGGAAUGAUUAUUGUGGUUGUUGGGGGAAUGGUUGUUGNNNNNNNNNNNNNNNNNNNNNNNNNNNNNNNNNNNNNNNNNNNNNNNNNNNNNNNNNNNNNNNNNNNNNNNNNNNNNNNNNNNNNNNNNNNNNNNNNNNNNNNNNNNNNNNNNNNNNNNNNNNNNNNNNNNNNNNNNNNNNNNNNNNNNNNNNNNNNNNNNNNNNNNNNNNNNNNNNNNNNNNNNNNNNNNNNNNNNNNNNNNNNNNNNNNNNNNNNNNNNNNNNNNNNNNNNNNNNNNNNNNNNNNNNNNNNNNNNNNNNNNNNNNNNNNNNNNNNNNNNNNNNNNNNNNNNNNNNNNNNNNNNNNNNNNNNNNNNNNNNNNNNNNNNNNNNNNNNNNNNNNNNNNNNNNNNNNNNNNNNNNNNNNNNNNNNNNNNNNNNNNNNNNNNNNNNNNNNNNNNNNNNNNNNNNNNNNNNNNNNNNNNNNNNNNNNNNNNNNNNNNNNNNNNNNNUGCAGGGGGAAUGGUUGUUGGGGAAUUAUUUGUUCUGGUUGCUGGGGGAAUGGUAGUUGGGGCCGGGGAAAUGGUUGUUGGGGUUGCUGGGGGAAUGGCUGUUGUGGUUGCAGAGGGAAUGAUUGUUGGGUCUGGGGAAAUGGUUGUUGUGAUUGCUGGGAAAAUUGUUGUUGGGGUGUGGGAAAUGGUUGUUGCGAUGGAUAUGGUUGCUGUGAUGGAUAUGGUUGUUGUGGAUAUGGCUGUUGUAGAAAUGGUUGUUGUUGAUAGGAAAAUGAUUGUUGAGGUGAUUGUAAUUCUUUGUUGCUAGGGUUUAGCUGCCUAGCGGCAGUGGCGAUGUUCAUCGCCAUGGCAAGGAGGACAAAGAUGAGGAAGGUCUUCAUGUUGGAUUUGUGGUUACUACUGCUUGCUUGCUUUUGAUGCUUGUGGUCUAGGUGUGUGAAGUUUGGAUGAUGAAAUGUGGUCUUGGUGGUGCAUGUGUAUUUAUAGUUUUCAUGGCAUGGCUUGCUUUCUUCUUCCCACUCGCUUUUUGAAAAAGUGCACCAAUGCUUAUCCAACUAAUCAUUUGAUUUGUUGUGUUUGGUGCAACUACUUACUAGCAAGAUUUUGGAUUUUCAUGAUAGUUGCUUUUUGUUGAAAUCAUCUGGUUGUAAGGAAUGUUGGAUAAUGACCAAUGACUCAUCUUCUUCACUUUACACUGCAAACAUUGAUCUAAAUUAUAUCCUUUUUUGAAAUUUAGUUUGUGAAGCUCUACAUGUUGUUAGGCUUAUCUAUAUUGGCAUAGCUUGAGUGGAAUUAAGUUUGUAAGCUUGUGAGCGUCAUUAUGAUGGAUCACACUAUUAAUGUGAUGAUUGUACUACAAAUUAUCUUUCCAAAACUAAUUUUAUGUUUUUUCCCAAUAUGAUUCUAAGACGGAUAACCAGACAUGACUCAUCAAAUAACAAGAUAAACCGAGUAGCAAAUUGGGGUUAUAAGUUAUAACAUGGACUUUUCUCUAAGAUACACUAUCUUGUCUUGCAUGCUCUGUGAAUUUGAAAAGCAUCUACUAAUUUAUAUGCAAUUGAAACAAAAGUAGACCAGAAAGAUAAGCAAUGAAAUGAGAAUACUAUUAUGUGAAGCUCUACAUGUUUGGCAAGCAAUAAGAUACUGGAUACAUCUAUAUCUUCAAUCCUGACAAUUUUUCUCAUCCCUAUCAACUCUUUAUUGGCUGCCUUUACUGUAGUCAUCCCUUAAAUAAAAAUCACUUAAAGAUAAGUUUGGGAGCUAGUACCAGCAUCUAUCAUGUACAAGAUAAAAAACUAAGGCACAUAUAGUAGUCUAUUGACUAUAUUUAAUUUCAUGUGAUGUGAAAGCAUGUGGAGUAUAAGUUGGUUAAAUAUAAAAUUGUCCUUCAUACCAGUAGGGAAAGAAUAUGCAGUAUAAAGAUUAGAGCAUUAUUAAUAUGCUAUUAAAUGCUACAGGAUAAUCGAUAGUUCAAGUUAAGAACAACAAUAGCAUUCCAACUUUUGUUUUGUGCAAGUUAAGAACAUGCUAACAAAGUAACCUAAGCAAAUAAGUGCAACACCUUCACCUAUAAGGAAAUUUUGAAACUACACAAAAUGACCUAUUGUAAAGAAGGAAAAAAAUCUAAAGGUGAAUGAAAAGCAUGUUAAGUACAUUCAGGAUUCGGUUAUGCCUUCAUGGAUAACCUUUUAGAUGGUGACUUGUCAACCUUGAUGUGUGUCGGCAUGGAACGAGGACAAGAAGACAUCGUUACGUCGUACUUUGGGAAUUUCAUCAAACUGGUUGUGUGCGGGAACAAAUAUUUGUCGCCUCCCUGCUCAAAUCUCUCUUCAUGUCACUAAAUCCGACACUCCACCUACCAAAAUCAGCUGCAAGCCAGGGACAAUCAACAGGUUUCUCCGCCCGUAGCAUCUAUCACCAAAAGAAGUUCAGACUAUAGUCUUGUAGUUUAAAAUUUUGUAAUAACAAGCACUACUAGGUUGCUCUUGUUUGUACGUCUUCAUUAUGUACAACCCAUGGAACUUAAAAUGCAUGGGUCAUUCUUCGGUAUAUACAACCAAUGCAACCAAACAUGCAUUGGGCUUUUCUUUGUACAUCUUCAGGUUCUACAACCAAUGCAACAAAAAAUCCAUUGGGCAGUCUUCCAUUCUAGUCGGGCACCAAUAGUUAAACGAGGAGCUAAACAGUGUUGGAGUCUAAAACUACAUACAAUCAUGAAGCAGAGAGAUGCGACUUGGAAGUUGUGCUCCUGUGAGCUCGUAUUUUUGAAGAAAAAAGUAAUAUUUGUAUUUUGAAGUGGGAAAAAGUCCUAAAAAGGGAUGUUUUGCGGGUUAUAACUUACUAUUUUUGAGUCCUGGGCUGCAGGAAGGUCGUAAAAAAUCAAUGUGUUUUCCCAUUCAUGCAUGUUUCUUGGGUUAUAGGUCACGCUUUUGGUGUCCUAGGGAGAUCACUUCCCCAGUUGGGAACAUUAGGUGAUGAUUUUUAGCAAAACUCAUUGUUUUAGCCUAACUAGUUUCGAGGAUUGGUGGACAAGAUUAUCAUGGAACAAAGUGACAACCUUCCUUUUCUUCAUGCCUAAUAUAAACUUAGCAGUCAACUAAAAGUAACUAGCGAUAUCACAGAAUGUUUUUUUGUCAAAAGUAGAUACCACUUCAGGAUUCAACUCGGUUAGUUCAAUCAUAGACAUGUUAAGAGCAGGAUUUACAACUAACUGCAUAGGGAACAUCUCCUUUUAUCGCCCACUAUCUGUCUAUGCACUUUGGUUUUCCCGUAGCAGCACACAAAGCACUUUGUUAGUACCAAUAAUGUGCUCCAACUCUACACAUUAAUCAUCUUGAAUUCUUCUACUGAUGUCGAACAAUGUUAUAUCUUGAAUUCUUCUAACGAGUUCAGAUUAUACUACAUGGGCAAUUUAUCUGGUCCCUGAGAUGCAAGGUCGAUGAACAAUCGCUUCGUCUGAUGAUGAGGGAUUGUUUUUGCCUAAGAAACCAAUACAUGUAACUUCGACGCCAGAUUAAUAAUUGGUAAAACCCAAAUAAAUUAGAUCACGAGCUAAACCAUUUAAUUUUGUAUGCAUUUAAACUUUUGAUACAUAUGAGCUUGUUAAGAUGUUCGCAUAAACACCAUGGUGAUUUGAAGCAAGACAAAGUAAACUUGAACCGCUUGAGCCACUGACUUAAUAAGAACCUCCUUUCCCGUGGCAGAGAUCGUUUUUAAUACAUCCACUCACUUUGGUUCUCUUAUGAAAUCUAGAUUCCUUCGCUAAGGCUAUUGCUCCAGUAUUGUCACAAAAGAUUUUUGUUGGACCCGAUGCACUAGGUAUGACACCUAGAUCGGAUAUGAACUCCUUCAUCCCGACUCCUUCAUUUGCUACUUCCGAAGCAGCUAUGUACUCCUCUUCACAUGUAGAUCCCUCCACGACGCUUUGCUUGAAACUGCACCAACUGACAGCUCCACCAUUCAAUAUAAAUACGUAUCCGGUUUGUGACUUAGAGUCAUCCAGAUCAGUGUCAAAGCUUGCAUCAACGUAACCAUUUACAACGAGCUCUUUGUCACCUCCAUAAAUGAGAAACAUAUCCUUAGUCCUUUUCAGGUAUUUCAAGAUGUUCUUGACCGCUAUCCUAUGAUCCACUCCUGGAUUACUUUGGUACCUCCCUGCUAAACUGAUAGCAAGGCACACAUCUGGUCUGGUACAUAGCAUUGCAUACAUGAUAGAACCUAUUGCUGAAGCAUAGGGAAUGACUUUCAUUUUCUCUCUAUCUUCUGCAUUGGUCGGGCAUUGAGUCUAACUCAACUUCACACCUUGUAACACAGGCAAGAACCCUUUCUUUCCUUGAUCCAUUUUGAACUUCUUCAAAACUUUAUCAAGGUAUGUGCUUUGUGAAUGUCUAAUUAACCGUCUUGACCUAUCUUUAUAGAUCUUGAUGCCCAAUAUAUAAGCAGCUUCACCGAGGUCUUUCAUUGAAAAAUUCUUAUUCAAGUAUCCUUUUAUGCUAUCCAGAAAUUUCGUAUCAUUUUCGAUCAACAAUAUGUCAUCCACAUAUAAUAUCAGAAAUGCUACAAAGCUCCCACUCACUUUAUAAAGGCUUCUCCAAAAGUCUGUAUAAAACCAUAUGAUUUGAUCACACUAUCAAAAUGUAUAUUCCAACUCUGAGAGGCUUGCACCAAUCCAUAAAUGGAUCACUGGGCUUGCACACUUUGUUAACACCUUUUGGAUCGACAAAACCUUUUGGUUGCAUCAUAUACAACUCUUCUUUAAGAUAUCCAUUAAGAAAUGCAGUUUUGACAUCCAUUUGCCAAAUUUCAUAAUCAUAAAAUGCGGCAAUUGCUAACAUGAUUUGGACAGACUUAAGCAUCGCUACGGGUGAGAAGGUCUCAUCAUAAUCAACUCCUUGAACUUGUCGAAAACCUUUCGCAAAAAGUCGAGAUUUGUAGACAGUAACAUUACCAUCAUCGUCAGUCUUCUUCUUGAAGAUCCAUUUAUUCUCUAUGGCUUGCCGAUCAUCGGGAAAGUCAACCAAAGUCCACACUUUGUUCUCAUACAUGGAUCCCAUCUCAGAUUUCAUGGCCUCAAGCCAUUUCGAGGAAUCUGGGCUCAUCAUUGCUUCCUCAUAGUUUGUAGGUUCAUCAUGGUUGAGUAACAUGACCUCCAGAACAGGAUUACCAUACCACUCUUGUUGGGAAUAUGACUACCAGGUAUGACCCGCCCAGGAGGGGCCGGGUCAAUCCUAAUGGCGGGUUACUAAAAGAAGCUCAGUGAAUAUACAAGGCGAUAGUUUAUUAUAAGACUUGUAGUAGGACCAAGCCCAAAGGCGGGUUAAGGCCCAUAAUUGUAAACCGCCAUGUAUAAGAAAGAAUUGUAAAGAAAGGCAUGUAAGAGAAGUCACCGAGCCGGGCACGUUAUAUGAGCCGGCUGGGACUCUGUAGGCCGCCAGGCGUCAACCCGUGUAUAUAAGGGGACGACCCGGUGGCGGCUUAGGGCAAGUAACAUCAAAUCGAGAGCCAUGCAUAGCGUAUUUGCUCCCUGGUCAUCGAAACCUAGCAAUACCACAUCAACUGGACUAGGCUUUACCUUCACCGUAGGGGGCCGAACCAGUAUAAACCUUUCGUGUCCUUUGUCCCGAUUAACCCCUUUAAGCUUCCUAGUUGCGAUGGCUCCACGACUAAGUCCUUUCAGUAGGACAUCUGCCGUGACAAUUCCACGACAGUUGGCGCCCACCGUGGGGCCAUCGCACGAUGGAUUUGAGUUCUUGAAGGGCAGCUUCCAAGGGCUCAAGGGAUACGCUGUGGGCCGGAUAACCAAAAGUUGUCACAGCAAGCUCUACAUCGACGACGCAGGCUGGGGCCCCGAGGCUGGCUCAAUCGAGUACGGGUACCGGGUCCCCUUCGGCGGAAUCCACGUCUUCAUCGGCCGGAUCGGCGAGCCGGGCCCUGAGUCGGACAUCUGCACCGACCUCAUCGAGAUGGCUCAGCGAGUGAGACCUGCCCGGGCUCAACCUGCCGUGAGGCGUGCCUUCGUGGGUUGCAUCCAUGGAGGGGAAUUUUCUGAAGGAUCGAUGGACGGUGGUGAGACAGUCGUUUGCUCUAGCAGUGAGUCGUCCAUAGGCGAGACAGAUUCUUUGUAUCAGCUACAAGAUGGCGGGCUUGGGGGCUGUUCCGAUGGCAGUAGUAUUCCGGACCCCUCUGAGCCGCCGAAUCGAGCCGGAGUCUUCAUGGCUGGCACUCAACCUGGUUAGAAUUCUAUGGCUGCGGCAGCAAUAACCACUGGGUCAGCAGGGGCCGGGUCAGGAGACCCCGCGCGCCCACCGGCUCAGGUACUAAUGGACCUCAUGGAUAGGAUGACGGCCCUGUUGACUGCUGUGGUUGAGCCGGCAGAUAAGGCUCAGCAUGACGCAGAGGUAGCACAGCUACACAGAGAGGUAGCACAGGCCAAGGAAAAUUUAGUGGCGGAAGAUGUCAGGAUGGCCGCGGAACGGGCGGCUCUGGAUGCACGGGCUCGGCAGCUUCAAGCGAAGACUUUCUGGCUCUCGGUGGAUCUGAACGCAUCAAACGAGGUCACGAGGAGAAGGCACCAGAAGGCUCAAUCAUGUCUGCCUCUGACUUACGAUCCUAGGAACCUUUUUCACACACCCGGGACUGGUCCCAGUAACCCGCUGAAGGCAAACCGGAUCACAACACCCGGGACCGGGACGCCGGUUCAACCGCGGGCCAUGGAACCACCGCGUGUGAAUACUGCUCUGCCUCACUACACAGCGAUACCACCGGGUCACUUCUCUAACCCCUUGGAGAACCUUAUUGCUGCGUCGGCUCAUCUGGCGGCUCUCCCGAUGGAAGGUGACUCUUCGACGGCGAUCGAGACACGACGGGUCAGAGAACUUCUUCAGACGGCUCUGGCACAGCAGGAUGCAUAUUCUUAUAGUUGAGAUAGAAUCCAUUCAACCCCUCGCCCAAGCCGGAGCCCAAGCUAUAGCAGGCAUAUGGACUCGGCGGCCAUGUCAAGCAACACCCAGCGCCGUAACCAUCCACGUGGGCGUGACCCGGCCCCGGGCGGAGCUUGUAACUUGGUAGACCAGGAGAGGAUCCGUCAAGAGGCUGAACGGGUGGUUCAACAGGCGGCUGAGCAAGCGGCUCACCAAGCUUUUCCAAUUUAUACAGUGACCUCUGUUGAAGCAGGGGUGGCCACAAGGACAGGAGGAGUCCCUUGUCUUGUGCAGUCUCUGCGUAAUGAGCGUUUACCAAAGGACUUUAAGGGGCCUCGUAAGGUGCCCAAUUACACAGCCGACCUGCAGCCCGGAGCAUGGAUUGAAAGUUACGAGAUGGCCAUGGAGUUAUUAUAAGUCAGUGACGCAGCAAUGGCCAAAUACUUCACCAUGAUGUUGGAUGGAACAGCUCGUACUUGGUUAAAGGGGUUACCGCCCAACUCCAUCGGCUCAUGGGCGGAGUUGAAGGCACGGUUCAUUCAGAACUUUAAAGAUACCUGUAAACAGCCCAUGUCAAUCGUGGACUUGACUAACUGCAAGCAAGAGGAAGGCAAAUCCAUGACCCAUUGGGUGCGCCGGGUCAAGGAAAUAAUACAUUCAUCUGAUAAGAUGGAUGCCAGCUCCACGGUCUUAAUGUUGGAGAAAAAUUACCGUUUUGAACCUCUGAAACAGAAGCUGGGGCGGCUCAAGCAUGAUUGUAAUGACAUGGGCCAGUUGAUGGCGGCUCUGGUCAAAUAUGCUGACUCUGACAGUACCAAGGAUCCCAUGUCUGACGAAGAGAAGACGAGGAAGGGAAAGAAGAACGGCAACGGCAAGGGUCACCAGCAUAACCCGACAAAUCAAGGAGGUAAUAAACGCAAGGCUGACGAGUUUGUGGCUAACACCAAUGCACAUGGCAACAACCAAUGGCGCAAGGGGAGGCCACCUCCUCGGUCAGGCGGAUCAGGUCCCACCCUCGAGCAACUACUAAAUGAACCCUGUCCGGGACAUGGCACCCGGGAGAAGCCGGCUACCCAUCUGUGGAAGGAUUGUACGAUCAUGAAGGCUUUUAAGAAUUCUAACAUGUUUGAUGGUAACCACGGGCCUGCUGGCGGCUCAGGCGGUGGCGGUUUUCAUGGCCAAGGCCAUCCGGGUAGUCAAGGCGAUUAUAGUCAGCAAUCCGGCCAGGGCAGUCAGCAACAGCAGCAACAGCCCGUGUAUCAGAGUAACCCAAAACAGCUGAACAGUGGACAGUACCAUGUGUUUACCACCAGUUUGUGCAAGAGGGACCAGAAGCUUCAGAAGAGGGAUGUAAAUGCUAUUGAGCCGGCGGUUCCACGUUAUUUGAGAUGGUCUGAACAACCUAUUCUGUGGAGUAGGGAAGAUCACCCACCCCGGGUUGAUAAUCCGGGUCAUCUGGCUUUGGUGGUGGCGCCUCAGGUUGGUGGAUAUAAGUUCACUAAAGUGCUCAUGGACGGAGGCAGUAGCAUCAACGUCCUCUAUUAUGAGACGUUCUGUCGCAUGGGGUUGACUGAUAAGAGUCUUAAAACAUCCAACACUGUUUUUAUGGGGUAGUGCCUGGUAAGUCGGCGUACCCAGUUGGUAAAAUUGAGCUGGAAGUGGCCUUUGGAGAUGAGUAUGAUUCUAGGGCUGAGAAGCUAACUUUUGAAGUGGUUAAAAUCAAGAGCCCAUAUCACGCUCUGUUUGGACGGCCGGCUUAUGCUAAGUUCAUGGCCCGGCCGUGUUAUGUGUAUUUGCAGCUCAAAAUGUUGGGUUAUAAAGGCACUAUCAUAGUACAUGGAAGCCGGAAAAUAGCCCUGGAAUGUGAAGAAGGUGAUGCUGCAUAUGCCGAGUCUGUUUGUGCAACAGAGGAAUUGAAGUUUUAUAAGGAUAAUGUUGACCCGGCAAACAUGGCGUCUUUGAAGAAGCCAACUACGGAGCAUGAGCCGGCAUUGAAAUUCAAGUCCGCUGAUGACACCAAGAUGAUUGAUUUCGUGUCUGGCGACUCAUCCAGACACUUCAUUAUCAGUGCUAACUUGGAUCCAAAAUAGGAAAGCGUGCUCAUCGAGUUCAUCCAUGAGAACCGGGACAUCAUUGCAUGGAAGCCUUCUGACAUGCCGGGUGUUCCGAGAGAACUCGUUGAGCACACUCUCAAUAUUCAUCCAAAGUUUAAGAUGGUCGGGCAAUUUCUUCGGCGGUUUAACGAGGAAAGGUGCAAGGCCAUUGGAGAAGAGGUGGCCCGGCUCUUGGCGGCCGGGUUCAUUGUUGAAGUUUUUCACCCAGAGUGGUUGGCUAACUCGGUGCUUGUGCUUAAAAAGAACGGCACCUGGCGCAUGUGUGUGGAUUACACAAAUUUAAACAAGGCUCGUCCAGCUGAUCCUUUUGCUCUCCCUCGUAUUGAUCAAAUCAUUGAUGCUACGGAGGGUUGUGAGCGUUUGAGUUUUCUGGAUGCUUAUUCGGGUUAUCAUCAGAUCAAGAUGGCAGUUAAGGACCAGGAGAAAACAGCUUUCAUCACUCCGUUUGGAGCCUUCUGCUAUGUGUCUAUGCCUUUUGGGCUCAAGAGUGCCCACGCGACUUAUCAGCGGUGUGUACAAAAUUGCCUUCAUAAUCAGAUUGGGUGUAAUGUUCAUGCUUAUGUGGAUGAUAUAGUGGUGAAAUCCAGAGAGAAGGAAACCUUAGUAGCUGAUCUAAAGGAAACCUUUGGUAACCUCCGGGUCUACAAGAUGAUGCUUAACCCGGCCAAGUGUGUUUUUGGAGUCCCAGCUGGCAAGCUCUUGGGUUUUUUGGUGUCUAAUGGAGGCAUUGAGGCUAACUCGGAGAAAAUAAAGGCAACCACGUCUUUGGCUAAACCGGCAUGCAUCAAUGACGUUCAGCGGCUGGCGGGCCGUGUCGCAGCUUUAAGCCGGUUUAUAAGUCGGUUGGGCGAGAAGGCUAUGCCAUUGUAUCAAAUGAUGAAAAAGGUGGAUGACUUUGUAUGGAGUGACGCUGCUGAUUCCGCUUUUGAAGGUUUGAAAAGACAGCUUGCUGGGCCACCUAUUCUUGCUGCCCCCGUUGAGAAGGAGCCGCUAUUGUUAUAUGUGGCUGCUAACUCACAAGCCGUCGGCAUGGCCAUUAUUGUGGAGCGCAAGGAGGUUGGCAAGGAACAUCCAGUUCAAUGGCCGGUUUACUACGUCAGUGAGGUGCUCAUUGGAUCCAAGAAAAGAUACCCACAUUAGCAAAAACUUGUUUAUGGGGUGUUCAUGGCAAGCCGGAAGCUUAAGCAUUACUUCCAGGGUCAUCCUAUCACUGUGGUUAGCUCUGCUCCUUUAGGAGAUAUUAUUUAGAACAGAGAAGCCACAGGACGAGUCGCCAAGUGGGCCAUUGAGCUUGGGGUCUCAUAAUAUAAAGUAUGUGCCACGUACGGCUAUUAAGUCUCAAGCACUGGUGGACUUCAUUAAUGAUUGGACGGAGUUACAGACACCUGAAGAGAAGCCAGACAACACAUAUUGGACGAUUCAUUUCGAUGGGUCCAGGCAGUUGGAAGGCUCGGGGGCUGGAGUUGUGUUAACUUCUCCUCGAGGUGACAAGUUUUGUUAUGUGUUGCGAUUGAUGUUUCCUUGUACUAACAAUGCAGCAGAAUAUGGGGCCUUGCUCCAUGGUCUUCGAAUGGCUAAAGAGAUGAGUUUAAGACGGGUACGGUGCCUUGGCGACUCAGAUUUGGUGGCUCGGCAGGUGUCAGGCAAGUGGGAUUCCAAGGACCCUCUCAUGGCGGCUUAUCGCCGGGAAGUUGAUGAUGUUGUUGGACAUUUCAAAGGUUAUCAGGUGGAGCACAUUGACCGCAGAAAAAACAAAGCGGCUGAUGCUUUAAGCCGGUUGGGAUCACAGCGUAAGCUGGUGCCACCUAACACUUUUCUAGAUGUUCUUCAAAACCCUUCUGUCAAACUGCCUACAGAGGAAGAUUUGGUCAUUCCAGACCCGGAGGCACAGUUAGUAGCGGCUCUUCAUGUUAUUCCAGAUUGGACAUUACCGUAUUUGGCUUACAUGACCCGGGGUGAGUUGCCAGAGGAUGAGACCUUGGCUCGACAGAUAACCCGACGGUCUAAGUCAAUGACAAUUUCCAAUGGUGAGUUGUAUCAUCGCAGCGUCACUGGAGUGUUUCAACGUUGUGUCUCUCCCGAAGAAGGUCAAGAAAUUCUUCGUGAGAUCCAUGAAGGGGAUUGUGGUCAUCACGCUGGUUCAAAGUCUCUUGUGGCUAAAGCUUUUCGUCAUUGUUUUUACUGGCUAACGGCUCACGCUGAUGCAGAGGAUCUGGUCAGUAGGUGUGAUGGGUGUCAAAAAUUUGCACGACGAGCGCACGUGCCGGCUUAAGAAUUGCGGAUGAUUCCAAUCACUUGGCCGUUUGCAGUCUGGGGGCUUGACAUGGUUGGACCUUUUAAAAGAUCCAAGGAUAAAAAGACACAUCUUUUGGUGGUAGUUCACAAAUUUACAAAAUGGGUUGAGGCAGAGCCGGUUAGUAAGUGUGAUGCAGCCACGAUGGUUCAGUUCAUGAAAAAGGUGAUCUUUCGUUUUGGCUUUCCACAUAGCAUUAUAACUGACAAUGGUACUAAUCUGUCCAAAGGCAACAUGGAGGAGUUUUGUCAAUGUGAGCAUAUCCGGCUUGAUGUUUUGUCUGUAGCUCACCCCCAAUCCAAUGGUCAAGCUGAGAGAGCAAAUCAGGAAAUCCUAAAAGGUCUCAAGCCCGACUUAUGGUUCGUUUACAACGGACGCCGGGUUGUUGGGUGGAGGAAUUACCCUCGGUGCUGUGGAGUAUCAAUACCACUCCUAACAGAUCUACAGGUUAUACACCUUUCUUCAUGGUUUAUGGAGCAGAAGCAGUUCUGCCUAGUGACAUCCGUCAUGACUCACCUCGCGUGGCGGCCUAUGUUGAAGCUGAUAAUGAACAAGCCCGACAGGAUGCACUUGACUUGUUAGAUGAGGAGAGAGAUUUGGCAGUGGCUCAAUCAGCAAUUUAUCAACAAGACUUGCGCCGUUAUCACAGCCGCCGGGUUAAGUCCAGAACCUUUCAAGAAGGUGACCUAGUGCUCCGGCUCAUCCAGGAUCUGUCUGAUGCACACAAGCUAUCCCCGCCUUGGGAAGGACCCUUUGUGGUCAACAAGAACUUAAACAAUGGGUCAUAUUACCUCAUUGAUGUUCGAGAGCACAAAGACCCACGUAAGUCGGAGGAGGAGACCCGCCGGCCGUGGAACAUCGCUCAGCUUCGGCCAUACUACACUUAAACCAUCGGCUCUCAUCAUGUACAUACUUUGACGUUGUAUAUAAUAUGAUAAGUAAUAAAGCAGGACCUCUGUCCUUUUUCCCCUUCAAUGAUCAUAUAUCUUUAUUAUUUUCAUUAUUUAAAAUGACCAUUAGGGGGCUGAUCGUAUCCGAAUCUAGCUUAACCCUUUUGGUCCGGCUCAUGAUCGUAUUCGAAUCUAGCCGUAAAACUCAUGGUCACUUGGGGGCUUCCUGUUCAAACAUAGGUCGUAUUCGAACCAAAGAGAACAUAGCUGUCGUAACCCUCUUGAUCGGCUCAAAGCCAAACUCACUAGGGGGCUUCUUGAUCGUAUCUGAAUCAUAGCUUAACCCCUUUUUGGGUCCAACUUGGAUCGUAUUCGAAUCAGGGUCGUUAAAAACCUCUCAAGGUCAUUUGGGGGCUUCCUAUUCAAACAUAGGUCGUAUUCGAACCAAAGAGAACAUAGCUGUCGGUACCCUCUUGAUCGGCGCAACGCCAAAGCCACUGGGGGCUAUAUGAUCGUAUCCGAAUCUUAGCUUAACCCCUUUGGUCCGGUUUACUGAUCGUAUUCGAAUUAGAAGCCUCCAGUUUUUAUUUAAAUGUUUGAUUUACAUUGUCUGAAGCCUAGUGUUUUAUCUUACUAUUUUUAUCGUCUCAAAUCUAACUGUUAGUAUGGUUUCAAAUUAAACCGGCUUGGCUAUUUGACAAUGUGUCGCCAAGGCAUAACAGUCAUCAGACAUAUGGAAGUAUUGACUUCUAAAAAAGAUUGGGUUAUCAACCUCAUCAUCCGGGUCAUGUAAACCGACAGUCCAUGUUCAAAAACCACAGGUAUGACAGUGUCAUUCAUGAACAGACUUCCCUGGGUUUUUCGUCAGUCAAAGGAUUUUUCAGCCUUGUUUAUCUUACAUCUGGUUCUAUUUUUUCCACUAUGAUAAUUUCAUAAUCAUGUACCGGGUGUUUUGACCCGUCCGGUGCUAAGCCACCGGGACAGUUUUUUUCAUCUUUUACAGGAACAGAGUUAAAACAUUACAGAUGUAACCACGAUGUAAUGCAUAUAUAUAUUGACAUCAUGGGCAAAGAGUCAUAUGAAACAUCUUAUGCACGAUGGCAUAGGCAAAAUAUGCAAUUUUCAAACUAACCUAUUACAAGGCAUUGAGAGCCCAAAAGGUUAAACGGUUUUCUCUCUUAAGCAGGUCUUAAGCUAAAAACUGGAUUGUUCAGAUGGUUAUGACUCCUCCCUGGCCGUUUCACCUCCCUCCACUGGUUGGAAGCUGGGAUUGGACCAGUCAAAGCCGUUCAGAGCAAUGAACUCAGCCUCAUCGUCAAUUAGGCCGGCCGGGUCAAUUUGCAGGGCAAAAGUGUGUUGACGAACCGGCGGGAUAAGAUCCAUCACUUUAUAAGAGGGAGUCGCCAUCUUUUUAUUCUCCAUAUCAAAACCCGACUGAUAUUUUUCGAUGUUGGUCUCCUCACCAAGAAUGGUAGCCUGAGGACGAACUCCCCUCACACAAGCAAUAAAGUCAUCUUGCUCAAACGGAGUCCCGUCUUCCUUCAUGGUAGGGUACCCCUUAGCCACGUCCACCGGGUGUAAAUCGGGCACCCAGGCUUUGGAGCGGCUCAGGGCAGUCAGGGCUCCGACUCUGGCACAAGAUCGUUUGACCUCUUGAAAUCUGGCGGGUAAGAUCGAUAACUUCUUCAAAACAUCACUUAAACGGUUGGGUCCUUGGUUGGCAGGGGAUAUAUAUAGUAGAAAGUGCUCGUUGAGCACCAGUGUACAGUUGCUCCACCAAGGUAUAAACCGCCUUCAGUUUUGUCACACUAUCUUGACUCAGAUAUUUUACUUCGUGGACCUGUGAGUACUUUUUAACAAAGGCUCAGCAGGCGGCUUAUAUUUCUGGUUAAAAUAAAGUAUAAGUGACUAAUGCAAAUGACUUACCAAAGAUGGCGGAGACCAUUUGAUACACACGGUUUUUUAAGCCGGUGAGCUCCAUGGUAACCUCCUCAAGAGUCGCCUCUGCUGUCUUGGCACGUUGUGUCAGCAAGGUCUUCUCAUCGGCCCAGGAUUUCUUCUUCUCAGUCACACUGGUCUUCAAUUUUUCAGUUUUAGAGAGACUCAAUUGGAGUUUGGAGUUAGCAGUCUUUAUCUCCGCUUCUUGAUCCGCCAGCCGGGUCUUUGCAUCCGUCAAUUGAGAUCCCAAUUCAGUUAGGGCGGUCUACAAACAUGCAUAGGUGUGUCAAAAUUUAAACACAAGUUAUAUUGAUUAAAGUCGCGAGUGCUUUGCAACGCAACACCACUUGGCACUUGGGGGCUAAUGUCUGCCAAAGCAAUUUUAUGCAAAAUGACUCUUCUAUGUUUCAAGUCCCAAGUGUUUUACAAAGUAACAACGCUUGGCACUUGGGGGCUAAUGCAUGAUAUUCAGAAAGUUUUUCAAGAUGAGCCGGAUCACACUACUUAUUUGGACUAAUCUAAGACAGUUAUGAAGUUAAGUACCGGGUCAUUUAUGAUAAAUUGAGCCGGCCCUUGGGGACUACAUGUGAAGUUUAUACUAAUCCGUUGAACUUAGGAAAAAUCUAAAGACAAGGUAUCAACCUAUAUCAUAAGUCUACAGAUCAUUCAGGUUCAUCAUAAUCUGAAGACUUGGGGGCUGGCAGAGUAUAUAUAAACCGGAGAACGUACCUCAUAUUCUGUAACAUCCCAAAUUUUCAAUUUGGAAUGUUACACGUUAGGUCAUCAUGCAUAUCAUAUUUUAUUUUUCUUUUGGUUUUGAUCCUAGAAAAUCCUAAGCAACUCAAGGACCCACGGAGAGAGUUGGGGAUUUCAUUAUUUACAUAUUUGAGUUUUCUCAAAUUAUGUAAACAGGAUCAUUUGAUUUUAUUUAUUCUAUCAUCAAUUAUUUCUAUUACAAAAAUAUGAGAGAGGGAAUAAAAUGACUUUUCCAAAAUAUAGAAAUAUUGAGGAUUUAAUAAAAAAUCAAAUAAGUUUUAUUUCGGAGUUUUUUGGUAUUUUUAUUUGAAUUUAGGAAAAAUGCGCGUUUUUCAAAUUGUAGUUUGGGCCCAGAUAAAUGUUCACUUUAUCGGGCUUGAUUUUAGGAACCCGGCAAAAUUUAUUUCGUGAUUUUUGGAGUCCGUUUAGUAUUUCUUUUUAUUUUUCUUCCGAGCGGAUUUAAAAAAAAACUAGAACCGACUCCGUGCCGUAACCGGCCAGGAAACCUCCGCCCGGGGCCUUUAUAUAGCGCCCGAACCGGCCGAGAGAGAGAGAGAGGCCCGAAGCCAGCUAACCCUAACCCUAGCUAAGCCGCCGCCGCCUCCCAGCCGUCGCCGCCCGCCGCUGCCGACUCGCCGGAGCGCGCGCCUUUCGAGGUUCGCCGCCGCCUCGUUUUCCGUGAAGUUUUUUUUUAAAAAAAAAAUCUGUUCGUCGUUUUUCUUUUUCGUCGGAUUUUCCGCGGUUAUUUUCUGAUCGCGAUUUCUGAUCCGGUUUUCGUUUUAGUAUAACUUUUCGCUCGUUUAUCGGAAUCAGGCGAUUCAAGCGCCUGGAGUUUCGUCUCGAAACCCUCUUUCCGAAUAAUCAACUUAAACAAGUUUUUGCUACUGUAAAAUUUGCCCUAGAUCCAGAUUACUAGAAGGAAGUUGUUUUUUUUGCCGUUUGAUUUCUUUCGCUUCGUUCGAUUUGAUUCUUUUGCCAACCAGGGUUCUUAAGUUGAACUUUCUGGUUAGAUCUUCUAUUUGAGUUUUACUUGUGCAUUAGAUGAGUACUUAUUGUAUGCUUGAUGUUUGUCUGUGAUAGAAUACCCGGAGUGCGCCGCCUGUUACUUCGAAUCUCUAGGUUUCGCGGAUCAUCAGCAAGGCAAGUAACACUUUGAUCAUACCUUUUCUACAACCCAGUUUUAUUGCAUUAGAUCAAUCCUCACACAUUGCAUGAUUAGGAUCUAAUUAAAUUGUGGGAUGGGAAGUAGAUGAGGUAGUACCUAUUACCUGUUUAUUAUCAAACCUUUGGGAGUUACUUCUACGUUUGCUUAUGCCAUGUUAUGCCGGUAGACGUGGAUUGGGUGAGUGAUAUCCAUGACAGAUGUGAGAUUUAUAAUUAAGGGUUAUCUAAGGUGGCAACCUAACACACAUCUGGGUGGAUUGAGGCACCUGGGGUUACCAGGACUUGCCUGUUUUCUUUUGGACCGCCACCCAGGCCCAAAGGGAUCAUGAGAUUUUUCAUACUAGAAACUUCCGUGUGCAGCCACAAGCCAUUAUGGGCUCUGGCAUAGUUGACUAAGUUGUGCGAACUCUUACAGUGGUAGACUAGCAGAUGUAGGGGAAAGUAGGUGUACCGGUCUACCCGUCGUAAGGUGCUAGCGCUUCUGAAAGACUGUGUCUCGGUCAUCCGUUUCUCAAACACCUUGUAGUGCGAGAAACCAAACGGAGGUGAUCGAGUCUUGUGGGGAAAAGUGCGCAAACCUCUGCAGAGUGUAACAAACUAAUCAUGGUUAGCCGUGUCCCUGAUUAUGGACAUCUUGAGUAUCUAUUACCUGGAUUAUCAUGUGAAUCUCAACAUGUUACUCUAAAAUUAAUUUUGUGGGAUUUUAAUGAUGUUACUUAAUUGGGAUUGAGGAUGCUGUCAACCAUUCUCAAUGUUUAACAACCACCAUGAUAGUAAUUAAUUUUAUUCCUUUGAAGUAGGGAAAAAUUGGCUUUACGCAAAAACUGUAACCAUAGAGCUUUCCACCAGCCAAAUAUGCAUAUAGUAUAGUUGUUGCAUUCCAUUACUCUCUAUGUGUUACCUUGCCAGCAUAUUCCAUGUGCUGACCCGUUUCGGGCUGCAACGUUAAUGUUGCAGACUUUUCAGAUGACGAUUGAGGAAUUUUAGGUCGUGGUUCUAUACUCAGUGAUGCCGUUGGAGUUGAUGGACUCACUUAUCUUCCAAGCCUUCCGCUGUUAUCGUUAUUAGAUGGCCUUAAGCCAUAUUUAUUGUAAUAAGUUCUCUUUUGAGACACUCGAUGUAAUAAGUGUGUGAUUGCUACUCUGCUAUAAAUCCUCCGAGUACUGUGUGGUGUCAGCAUUACUGAUCCAAGGAUGACAUCGGAGCACAGAGAUCAGACUGUUUAAGGUCUGGUCGCUACAUAUUCCAGUUGCAAUUGCUUGACCAUCUCAAUUUCCGAGUCACGGCUGGAAUGCACAGGACUGAGAUAGCCGGACAGCAUGUCACUAACAUUCAGAUGAGCAUAGUGAGAGAUAUCAAAUUGUACUUUCUGUCUUUCCAAGGCCUCCUGUUUAGCAGAAUGCCUGGCCAGCACAGUCGGAUUACCCGGCGCAACAAAUCUGCUGCCAGUGAUCAAAACGUCAUGGUCAGAAGAUGCUGGCAGGUUAGCUGAACCGGACGGUCUGACGGUGGAUGGAUCGACAAUGGUUUCGUCAGCUGACGGCUCAGGAGGGUCCAAUUGAGCAUGGACAGCUAAAUCUUCUGGCGCUUCAGAUUGAGUGGGAGGAGUUGAUGUUGCCAGUUCAGGUGCAGGAUUUUUUGGGUCCUCUGCCGGUUUAAUCACCUUGGCUUUCUUGGACUUUGCUUGACCGCUAAGAAAGAUUUUUAUGAAAUAGUUAGUAUAAUGAUGCAGUUUUAAAAAUGUAGAGGAAAGAUGAUUUUCCUUACCCAUGGGCAGUCUUGAAAGCCGGAAAUUGAGUUUGGGAUGAGUCGCCAGAAGAGCGAGAGACCUCCUGCAAAGGUAAAAUAAAGUUAAGAAUAUAAGGAAAUAAAUUCAUGGAUAAAAACAAAGGACAAAGGUGAAAGAAACCUCAUUCUGGCGUUUUUGAGGAGUUUUUUCUAAGUCGAAAGGUGGUUCAUCAUCAUCAUUAGUCCGGGCCAGAUGGCGGCUCUCAUGUUGCUGCUUUUUCAAAAGAAAAUGAGGGUCCAAAUAAGCCAAAGGGUGCAAAAACCUUACUUUCCGGGUUACCAGUCGAAGUUUCUGUCUCGGCAAAGGGGCUGAGUCGUAGGAAAUAGUUACCUCUUCUUCCGCGGCCUGGCUGGCCCCCGUGUCAUCCUGGCAAUAGUCAGUGUCAAUAAGAUAGUUGAAAAUUUGGCCAAGGGAGAAAGGGCUACCUCCGACUCAGAAACAUCAUCAAGCUGGAAGAUGUCAGAUGCAGUCUUCUUCUUGGGCUUCCGGGUCGUUCUCUUGGCGGCUACGGCAGCGGAUCUAGCCUUCUUGGUAGCUUCAUGAUCAUACUUGGCCUUCCAGAAGUCAGAUUUGUCCUGUAAACAAAUAAAGAGGUUAAAAGGUCAUGCAAGUAUUUAAACUACUGAGGUAAACACAAAAAGAGAAAAAGGUCAAGAAGUUACCUCUGGUGUCGGGUUAAGUUUGCAGAAGGGGUUUAAUCCAACCUUGCUGUAGUCCUCGUAUUUGCCAUUCACGAGGAUGGUAGACAUUGCAACAAUGUCUUCUUCAGUUAAUUGUACAGAGCUAUAACGCAGAGAAUCAUUUGGGCCUCCGCCAUACUUAUACAUCAACUUGGAUCGGCGGCUUAGAGGGAUGACCCGCCAUGAGAUCCAGCAAUGGAUCAGGUCAACUCCGGUUAAGCCAUUUCCCAAUAAAGCUUGAAUCCUUUUGACAGAUGGGAUAAGCUUCUUGCGUUCAGCAGUAGUAAGCUUGUCAGGGAGCACAAACUUGGAAUCAAGACGCUCUUCACGAUAACCCGGCAGUGGUUUUUCAUCAGCCGGUGAUGUAUCUUGGCAGUAGAACCAGGUUUGCUUCCAGUCUUUGGGAUGGCUCGGUAAGACCACUAAAGGAAAAACGGCACCUUGUCAGCGUUGAAUUGAAAUUCUGCCAAGUUCCAAGCUAAGGCCGUUGGUGCACUCAUUCUGGCGGUUCAAGUAAAAGUACUCUCUAAAGAGCUCCACAGUUGGUUCUUCUUGAAGAUAUACCUCACAAAGAACUUGAAAAUUGCAGAUGUUGGAUAUAGGGUUGGGUCCAAUAUCUUGUGGAUGAAGCUUGAAAAAAUGCAGGACAUCUUGGACGAACUUUGAGCCGGGUGGUGAGAAGCCCCGGUUCAUGUGAUCUGUGAAAACGAUAACUUCGCCGUCUUUGGACUAAGGUCGUUCUUCGUCCGGGUCAGGAGCACGAUAAGACAUAACGCUUUUCUCUGGCAAAAAUCCAAUGGUGACAAAUUAUUUCAAGGUAUCUUCAGUAACUGUGGAAGGCACCCGGUUGCAGACAGUUGGCGCUUUUGACGGCAUGAUGAAGAAAGGGCAAGCUGAAAAGAAAGUAAUUUGCCGGUUCAAUUUAUUGGUGGAGUUACAGGUUCAUGAUUAUAGUACAGAUGAGUAAUGGCGGCUUAAGUAAGGGCUAAUGACAUGUAAAGGAAAAAUAAGCCGGAGUCAUAAGCCGCCAUGACUAAAAAGUAUUUGAAGGUUGCCAGAAUCAAAAUUGACUAAAGUGUUGAGACAAACAGGUUUCCCAAGUUGUGGCUAUUAUUAUGGAUCAAAAUGGUUCAGAAAAUAAAAAUAAAGUUAGACCUAGAAAACGAGCACAGAGGAGUUUGUCAGCUCUAAAGAGGCAUUUAUACAGGAGAAGGGGAUCUGUUAGCUUCAAAAAUGGAUGAGAAAUAGCUACCUCAUAAGUUUUGUACUACUUUUAGAUCAAAAGAGGGUGCGGUAAGAGAAGUUGCAACGAAUCUAUGACGAACAACGAAGAACACAAGAAGGAAACCUCCCGAACCCUAAUGCAGAUCUAUGGGGGUGAGAAGGUGAGAGCUUACAGGUGCGGAGCUGCUGCGGAGGAUCGCCACCGUUCUCUGGAUAGACUCAGGGUGAUGCUGCGGCCAGAGUUGAGGACGACGGUGCGCUACGGUGGCGACGGAGCUCGAGCGGCAAAGAAGGUGCGAGAGGAAGAAGAAAGAGGAAGGACUGGCCGAGCCUAUUUAUAAGGGGGUAAGUGAACGGGCAGACGCAAAAAUUGAGGAAGACCAAAGUAAUGAUUAUCCAGCUAAAUGGACGCCUCGAUCUUCGGAAAACAUUUAAGAUAAGGAUCCGUUGAAGAUGAAAUCGUGGUGUUUUUCCAAAUUUUUUCAAUCCUAAUGGUUGGUUAAUAAAAUAAGCUCAGUGAAUAUACAAGGCGAUAGUUUAUUAUAAGACUUGUAGUAGGCCCAAGCCCAAAGGCGGUUUAAGGCCCAUAAUUGUAAACCGCCAUGUAUAAGAAAGACUUGUAAAGAAAGGCAUGUAAGAGAAGUCACCGAGCCGAACACGUUAUAUGAGCCGGCCGGGACUCUGUAGGCUGCCAGGCGUCAACCCAUGUAUAUAAGGGGAUGACCCGGUGGCUGCUUAGGACAAGUAACAUCAAAUCAAGAGCCAUGCAUAGCGUAUUUGCUCCCUGAUCAUCGAAACCUAGCAAUAUCACAUCAACUGGACUAGGCUUUACCUUCACCGUAAGGGGCCGAACCAGUAUAAACCUUUCGUGUCCUUUGUCCCGAUUAACCCCUUUAAGCUUCCUAGUUGCGAUGGCUCCACGGCUAAGUCCUUUCACUAGGACAUCAUCCGUGACAAUUCCACGACAACUCUGGUGCGGAUCUUACUAUGGUUGACCUACGAGGUUCAGCGGUAACUUGAUCUGAAGUUUCAUGAUCAUCAUCAUUAGCUUCCUCACUAAUUGGUGUAGGAAUCACUGGAACUAAUUUCUGUGAUGAACUACUUACCAAUUCGGGAGCAGGUACAAUUGCCUCAUCAAGUUCUACUUUCCUCCCACUCACUUCUUUCGAGAGAAAGUCCUUCUCUAGAAAGGAUCCUUUCUUAGCAACGAAUAUAUUGCCUUCGGAUCUGUGAUAGAAGGUGUACCCAACAGUCUCCUUUGGGUAUCCUAUGAAGACACAUUUCUAUGAUUUGGGUUCGAGCUUAUCAGGUUGAAGCUUUUUCACAUAAGCAUCACAGCCCCAAACUUUAAGAAACGACAACUUAGGUUUCUUGCCAAACCACAGUUCAUAUGGUAUCAUCUCAACGGAUUUAGAUGGUGCCCUAUUUAAAGUGAAUGCAGUCUGAAAGUGCGUUAUAUCGACUAGAGGGGGGGUGAAUAGGCGAUUUUUAUGAAAGUCUUCAAAACAUGGAAGUUUCGAAGACAAACGAUAGAAAUAAACCUAUUACCAUGCAGUGGAAGUUAGACUACACUAGAUAAACCGUAGUCAUGUAUUCAAUGAAGUGAAAGGACAAUGACUAAUAGUAGCUAGGUAGUAAGGAUCAGGCAGGAAGAUAUUAAGAAGCCAAACGGAUCACACAGUCACUCAGUGAAGACAAAAGAUAGAGAAAACAUACAAUGACUUCACACAGAGUAACAGUAAGUAAAGAGAAGGGAAGGAUGAAACCAGUGACUCGUUGAAGACAAAGAUUUGUUGGACCAGUUCCAGUUGCUGUGACAACUGUACGUCUGGUUAGGGCGGCUAGGUAUUUAAACCAAAGGACACACAGUCCCGGACACCCAGUCCUGAACACGCAGCUCAGGACAUCCAGUCCUCACCGUAUUCCCCUUGAGCUAAGGUCACACAGACCUCGCCCAAUCACUCUGGUAAGUCUUCAAGGUAGACUCCCAAACCUUCACAGACUUCGUUCACCGGCAAUCCACAAUGUCUCUUGGAUGCUCAGAACGCGAUGCCUAACCAGCUGGAGGAUGCACAGUCCUCAAGUGUAAUAAGUCUUCAGAUCACUCAGACAAGAAGACUUAAGUGAUGCCUAAUUCUCUUUCGCUCUGGGUGGUUAGGGCUUUAUCCUCGCAAGGAAUUCUCUCUCAAAGGCUUCGAGGUGGGUUGCUCUCAAACGACAAAAGCCGUACUUUGAAUCUGAGUAGCCAACCGUUUAUGGUUGUAGGGGGUGGGCUAUUUAUAGCCACUAGGCAACCCGACCUGAUUUGUCCGAAAUGACCCUGGGUCACUAAGGAACUAACAUGUGUUCCAACGGUCAAAUUUCAAACUCACACGGAAACUUUACUUGGGCUACAAGCAAAGCUGACUUGUCCGACUCUGGACAAGAUUUUCUCUCAUAGUCUUCACUCGAAGACAUAGGUUUUUGUUUAAGCAUCACUUUAGUCAUUCUGACUGGCUCUCUUGGACCCCACUUAACAGUAUGUUGGUUCCUAUGACUCAACACAGAAGAAAAAGAACUACGAAAAAUCUAAGUGUUCAAGCUCCAUAGGCUUCAUGCGGUGUCUUCUCUUGUCAUAGUCUUCAAUGUGAAUAUCUUCAUAUACCACCUUUGACAUCAAUGUCUUCAUACACUUUUAGGGGUCAUCUCUGGUGGGAAAACCGAAUCAAUGAGGUACUUCUACCUGUGUUAUCCUGCAAUUCUCACAAACACAUUAGUCCCUCAACUAGGUUUGUCGUCAAUACUCCAAAACCAACUAGGGGUGGCACUAGAUGCACUUACAAUCUCCCCCCUUUUGGUGAUUGAUGACAAACUAGUUGAAGUUUUCAACGGGGAAUAUAAUGUGUGAAAUUGUAAAGGAUAAGGAAUUGUCUUCAUAAGUUACAAGGGCUCCCCCUGAAGAUGUGCAUAUAAGUAAUUUGCUUUUGGAAUGCAAAUGCACAUGGCAGGUUGUGCUUGUGGAGAUCCACUUCAACUUAUGAUGACAAUCCACUAUGCAUGUGAAAGUAUGUGAAGAUAAUGACAUGCAUAAUGGAAAAUGGAUGUCUGCAGAAUGAUCUAAGUGCGGAAUCUAUCAUCGCACAUGCGGAAUUUAUCAUCACAACACAAGGUAGCAAAUAGGUAGCAGACGACCAUCAAGUUUAAGUGUUACAACUCAAAGAACCAAAUGUUUCAAAACGAGAGUUGUAAGCACGAAGCAAAAUAUAAAACACCCGCCCAUAUGGACCCAUUUGAAGACUAUCAAACUCAUAUGCUUCUCCCCCUUUUGACAGUAAGGACCAAAAAGGUUUGAAGACAUAGAGCCUCUACUCGUUCCCAUGAGGAGUAGGUGAAGCAGCAGGAUCGUUGAUGGUGUUUGGCAGUGCAGACGAGCUUGGAGCAGUGUCGACGUGUGCUGAAGGAGGCGGCGAAGAAGUAGCAUCGUCUUCAUCCUCGAUCACUCUGGCAUUCACGGUUGCAGUAGAGGAAGAGAACUCAGGGUCUUCAAGUGAUGGAGUUCGUCGCAGCACAGCCCUGCGAGGAGGUGUGGAGUCAAACUUGAAGCGCUCAGUGAAGCCAUCCUCUUGCAGAUCAUCUUCAGAACACAGCAGCGUCAGCCCUUUCCAUGUGCGUCGAGAUGUUUCAUGAGCAACAAAGGCGUUCUUGGUGGCAAGAUUGUGAAUGCGAUUAACAUCCACCAAGAGGCUUUGCAUUUGACGCUUUAGCCAGUCAUGAUGCCUAUCCUGUUUCUGAUGAAGGGCCACCAGAAGCUCUCGGUCAUUGAGGACACGAGUGCGCUUCUUGGGUCGUUGAGCAAUGGUGCUAUCAGUGGCUUCAGUAAGAGCAGGAUGCGGGGCACGGGUAGUGCCAGCCAAAGGAUACACACGUGUUACUGCUUCAAUGCCUUCAACGUUCCGAGAGAAACUUUGAUGCUCUGCAUUCUGAAGACUUAGAGGUUCCUUGGCAGGCUCAGGAUAUAUGGCUUCAAUAGACAUAUCCACAUCAGGCAAAAAGAUCCGAUGAUUGCGGGCAGAUGGCUGAUAUGAGAUAGCAGAGUGAAGUUUGAUCAGCCGCAUCACCCAAGGGGCGUAGAACUUCAACCCAAAUAGAUCAGAGCCAGAUGCAGCAAGUUGGCGAAUGAAGAAAUCCUAUGUAUUGAAGCAUUUUCCAUGAAGAAUAUAGAAGACCAAAGUCUUCAUUGCACCUUCCAGCUGGGCAUGGGGAGAAUGUCCUUUGAUUGGCCAGAGAGUUCGCCUUAUGAUAUGAUAAAUGGUCCUUGGCAGAUACUCAAGGUCUUCAACAAAGAACUCCGUGGGAUAAGCAGCAUCUUGGGGCAAUGGCUUCAUCAUACUGAGCAUCUGACUCAUAUUGGGUUCAGUCUUCUGAAAGAUGCUCUCAACAGCUUCAAUGUGAAGCUGACAGCCAUGCUCAUAGAGAUCGCCAGGAGUGGGCAAGCCAGUGAGCUCAAUGAUGUCAAAGACUUUGGCUUCGUGAUGAACAUUUCCAGUCAUCCACUCUAGGACCCAAGUCUUUGGAUCUCUGUUAUACCCGCGGAUGUGAAGUGUGGCAUAGAACUGGAGCAGCAACUCUUCAUUCCAAUGCUCUUGGUCAGUGACGAAUGGUAGCAGCCCAACUUCAUUGAAGCAAUCCAAAGCUUCUUCCAGACAGGCAGACCAGCUAUAGCUUCAAUGUCAAGGCGCUUGUGUGGGAAGAUGCGACCUUUGUUGUAAAGAAUGCAUGAGUAAUAGCUUCGCUGCUGAUAGCUCCAGAACCGAUCAGAUGAUAUUCUUUCCCUGGAGUAGGGGUUCCUGGAGCUAUUGAAGAAUGUGUUGUCUGCUCUGAAGCCAUUGAUGUUAAAGGAGCCAGGUGCUAAUGCAGGACCUGGGAACCUGGGCAAUCUUGGGAUUGGCUUCUGGACCUGAGGCCUGUGCUCAACAUGAUAGUCGAAUUGGGGACCGGCAGCAGACGCAGGAACAGGAGCAGCAGGAUUAGUGGCUUCGCUGACUUCUGGUGCUGUUGGGGGUGAGGGCUCCACAUUAGCUUCAGCCAUGACGGUGUCAGUGGCUUCAGUGGUGUUGGUGGUGGCAGCCUCUAGAUUUUCAACCUCCACUUGACGAGCUGGAGGGUCGGUCAUGAUCACGUUCUCCUCGAGAACCGCUUCUUGGUGGGGCAGGGGAGUAGCAGCUUGUGGAACUUCUUCUUCCGUGGCUGAUGCAGCUAGAUUGUCUUCAGCAGAGACUUGAGGCCUUGGACCUUUGUGAAGCCUGCGCAACGCGGGCGAUGCCUGUGGAGCUGGAGUGGGCUGGGCCUCAUAGUCUUCUUCCUCUUGUUGGCGAUCCGCCCAUGAAGCAUCCUGUGCCAUUGGCGUCAGUGGACGACCAAUGCUGAUGAGUUCGUUGUUUUCAAGCUGAGGAAGAACUGCACCAUCUUCUACAUGGUCAUGUUGACCAAUGUCUUCAGCAGUGAUGGGAUCAGCUGUUGGAAAGUCUUUAGCUUUAUGAGCCUCUGUGGAAGCAGGCUCAUGGAUUGUCAGUUGGCGUUCAGCUUCAGGAUAGACCAUUGAAAUAGGUUCAACUAUCAAAGGCUCUGUGGGAGCAGCCUGUUCCUUCUUGGUCUUUCGUUUCUUCUUGGAGGGGGCAGUAGGAGAGGCUUCAGGAUGUUUCCUCUUCCUGGCUUCAGCCUCAGCAGUCCUUGUCUUCUUGAGCUCUGAAGCGGUUGACCGGCUUUUUGGCUUCAAGCCAGUCAGUCUAGUUGGGAAGACAAUCGGAACUGCUUCCUGCCUUGGUGCGUCGGAUUCAGCCGUAGCAGUCUUCUUCUUCUUCUUUGCGGCCAUCCUAGGGUCAAUGCCAGGACGCCCAAGGGCCUUGCGCUUCUCAGCCUCAUUGUAGGCUUGCACACAUCUGUCAGCCAGAGCCUUCAUGCGCUCACGUGAAUCCCGAGCUUCUGCACAUUUCUUCAGAAAGGCUUCCUUGAGCUCGUGCAUCAUGAUCUUGAAGUUCUUCACUUCUUGCACACUGAGCUUGGCCAUAUGCUUCUUGAACUGAGCCUUUUCAUAGUCAAUCUUCUGCUUUAGUUCAACAACGUGUCGGGCGAUGGCUAGCUCUGAAGCAAUGGCGCCUUGGAAGGCGACACUGAGGCCAAUGGGUAGCUGCAGAUCAUCAAAGCUGAUGUUUGGCAUAUCAAACCACUCGUCAAUGAAGUUGUGGAUGAUGGUUACAUCAAAGAGAGGCAGAUCAUUGAAGAUUUCGGCUUCUUCUUUGCUCUUGAUGAGUUGCUCAAGAGCGUCAUCUGCAAGAUCUUCAUCACUUGACAGAUCAAUGUCAUCAUUGCGCAGAAUGGCAGCAGCUGUUAGCUCUUGGCCGGUGUGUGGCAGAGGCAUCUUGGCCUUCUAGGGCUUGGAGAUGCGUGAUAAAUCUUCGGACUGCACACUGUCUUCAGGAGAUGCAGUUGCCAGUGGCUUCGCCCUUGAGAUUUUUGGUGAAGGGGCAGGCUUUGAAGCUUUGGGCUUCUUCAACUUCUUUGGUGUUGGCGCUGCAGGCGCUUCAUCUGAUUCAGCGUUAGCUGCAGGCUCAUUCACGGUUGUCCCUUGAACCAAGAUAUGGGUGAUGAGUCCUGCAAGGUUGUAGAAAGGACCGACGACAUUGGGUUCCGCAUCGCGUGUGCCGUCAGCCCUUGGAGCAGAAGGACCAGGGUUGAAGUCUAAUCCAAAAGACUUCUUGUUCUGCUUUGCUGAGUUCUUGGCAAACUGGAAGUUGCGCUUGAAUAGAUUGUCGUCACGGCACCAUAGUAGUGACGAUGGGUGUGCAUCUGCAGGCUGUGGCCCACGCACCAUGCAGGGAUAGAAGCCUUGUUCAAUGGCUUCUUCUCUGGACCUGGGUUGAAGAUUCUUGUAUAGGAUGUCUCCCCAUGGUCUCUUGAUGGCAUUUCUCUCAGCAUAUUCCUGGGUCACAAACCGGUAUUUGAACCAUUGUUCUGCCCAAUAUCUUCGAAUCCAUUGGAUUCGGGUCUUGCGCUGAUUAUAAUCCUGUUCAGGAUCUGUCUUGUAAAGCUCUGAGAGGUCAUCAGGAAAAUCUCUUGAUGUCCCCCCACGACGCUGUCUGCCACCCUUCCUUACUGAUUUCUCUGCAGCCAUGAACUUCAAACUGAAAGGCUUCAAAACGUUCAAAGGCUUCAAAGGUUUUCGCUUGCUGGACAAACAGGAACUGGCUUCGGGAGAAUUUAUAUGAUGCUGUAAGAAUUCUGCAAAUGAAUGCAGACUAUGAGAACCAAGGGAUUCUCCCAUGGACAUGUACCUGUGACAACAUUAAGGUGCAAGGGAAGGGGAAGAGGUCAUAUGCAUUCUCAGGAGAUUUUGAAGAUAAAUCAGUUUAGAAGACAUUGACCUCAUCGUGCGAAGACAUUCACUCAUAGAUAAGGAGUUGGUUCCAGAUUUGUACGAAUCCAGUGAUCAGUACAAGUGAGGAAUCUAACUACUUGUGAAGCAUAAGUGAAUAUACUAGGCAUGUUAUGAGAUGCAGUAGGAAAGAGAUCCAACUUGUGUGAAUAGAAACUUCUUAUGGUAGAAAGUGACAAAGCCAUAGGAUCAAAAGGGGCCGUAAAAAGAAGUUUUAUUUACCACACUUGGAACUGCUAGAUGGAGUGGAAGAGGAGGCCGAGCAGUUCGAUCUUCUGUGCCCUAACUUGGCGACGAAGGACACCUACGGCGACGGCGGAGAGGACGAUGUCCGCGGUCGGUGUGAAGACGGCGUCGGAGAGGUUGCGGCAGUGAAGCGCUUCGUCGCCGGCGUCGUCGAGGGCUAGCAGUGGCACUAGGGUUCGUGCGAGGGUGGAAGAAGAGAUGAUGACCGCUGUGAAGGGUGUAUUUAUAGGUACAGGGGCGGCACUGCGUUAUUACACAGGUGCCCCUGGCGAUUCACAUCUGAGGAACACGUGGCCAUCAUGCAGUAUAUUGGGGUUUGUUCCACGUCUCACGCACGCCUAGAUUGUCGGGUGGUCGUUCCUACUUCUCCGGGUUUCAUGUGGAGGAAUGGGCAUUGAAAACGGACUUAAUGUUUGUCUCUGUAUGUUCUGCUGACAAGGACGCAGAGAAGACAUUCGACAGUUUCAAUAGAAUGCAUAUGAUUUGGAGAGAUAGAGUUUGAGAUAGAGAGCACAGAGAGGUUAGGGUCCGAUCACAUUCACUUAGAUCAAAAGAUUCAACAAGAAGACAUAGCUAUAAGUGAAUACUGUAGAGGACAGAACACUAGUAUAUAUAUAUAUAUAUAAUCAACAUAGUGAAGAUAAUCAUGAAAACAUGUUGAGAUUGAAACCAAACCAAAUGUGAAGUCAUAGCAAGGUAAUGCCAUGAGUGAAACACUUCAAAUAGAACAUUUGGUGGUGGCGUUACCCACCGUAUAGGAAGUAUUAGACCCAGACACGGCGCACAAUUAUCGUGGCGCUCCGAAGUCAAAUUCCACAUUAAUGUAUUCACACUUAGAAUGUAUGUCUUCAUUGAUUGAAGAUAUACUUUACUUCGUGUGUUGCACAUCUAAGUCAUCAAUAUGCAUAAGGGUUAGGAUGUGUGCCUGAUCACAGGACAUUUGAGGAUUCCAGGAUAUUUAGCUCACAUCGUAACUUGCAAAAUCUCUUCUCAUCCAAGGGCUUGGUGAAGAUAUCUGCCAAUUGCUCUUCAGUGUUGACGUGUAUGAUAUCAAUAUCUUCCUUCACAACAUGAUCUCUGAGAAAGUGAUGACGAAUUUCAAUGUGCUUUGUCUUCGAGUGCUGAACAGGGUUGUUGGCAAUCUUGAUGGCGCUUUCGUUGUCACAGUAGAGUGGCACUUGCUUCAGAUGAAUGCCAUAGUCCUUGAGGGUUUGCUUCAUCCACAGAAGCUGAGCGCAGCAAGAUCCAGCAGCAAUGUAUUCAGAUUCAGCAGUGGAGAGAGAUACACAGUUCUGCUUCUUUGAAGACCAACAUACAGGUGAUCGUCCCAGAAAAUGACAUGUGCCUGAUGUAGACUUGCGAUCCACCUUGUCACCAGCAUAAUCAGCAUCCGAGAAUCCAACCAGAUCAAACUCUGAGCCCUUUGGAUACCAUAAUCCUAGAGUUGGGGUGUGAGCCAAAUAUCGAAGAAUUCGCUUCACAGCUAGGUGAUGCGACUCCUUUGGUGCCGCUUGAAAUCGAGCACACAUGCAAACACUAAGCAUAAUAUCUGGCCUAGAUGCACAUAGAUAAAGCAAAGAACCAAUCAUGGAGCGGUAUACCUUUUGAUCGAACUCUUUACCAUUGUCGUCAGGACCCAGAUGAUGCUUGGCUGGUAUUGGCGUCGUGAACCCUUUGCAGUCUUGCAUACCGAACUUCUUAAGGCAAUCCUUGAGAUGCUUCUCUUGAGAUAUGAAGAUGCCGUUGCGUUGCUGUCGUAUUUGAAUACCGAGGAAAAACUUCAGCUCUCCAUCAUGGACAUCUGAUAUUGCUCUUGCAUCAUAUAUCCAAACUCUUCACUGUACUUCUGAUUGGUGCAGCCGAAGAUAAUGUCAUCCACAUAUAUUUGGCACACAAACAGUUAACCAUCAUAUGUCUUCGUGAAGAGAGUGGGGUCGAGGGAACCAGGUAUGAAGCCUUUGCUCUUCAGGAAGUAUUUGAGUGUGUCAUACCAGGCCCGAGGGGCUUGUUUGAGGCCAUAUAGUGCCUUGUUGAGCUUGUAUACCGUAUCAGGAUGUUUUAGAUCUUCAGAGCCAGGUGGUUGUGCAACAUACACUUCUUCUUCAAUCUUUCCAUUGAGAAAGGCGCUCUUCACAUCCAUUUGAUAAAGAAGUAUGUUGUGAUGAUUUGCAUAGGCCAGCAGUAUGCGUAUGGCUUCAAGUCUAGCCACAGGAGCAAAUGUUUCAUUGAAGUCAAUGCCUUCCACUUGAGUAUAUCCUUGAGCAACUAGACGAGCUUUGUUUCUGACAACUUGACCAUGCUCAUCUUGCUUGUUGCGGUAUAUCCAUUUUGUGCCUAUUAUGUUGUGCUUCCGAGGAUCAGGACGCUUAACCAGUUCCCAUACAUUAUUCAGCUCAAACCGUUGAAGCUCUUCUUGCAUAGCUUGAAUCCAUUCAGGUUCCAUGAAGGCUUCUUCCACUUUCUUGGGUUCUGUUAUUGAGACGAAUGCGAAGUGCCCACAGAAAUUUGCCAGCUGGGUUGCCCUUGAUCGACUGAGCGGACCAGGUGCAUUGAUGCUGUCAAUUAUUCUCUCAAUUUGCACUUCAUUGGCAACACGAGGAUGUACAGGGCGAAGACUUUGCUCUUGCUGAUCAUUGUCGUUGUUGGAGGGAUUGUCUUCAGGUUGAGCAUUGUCUUCAGGUUGAUCUGGUGCAGAGAUGAUGAGUUCCUCUUCAGGAUGAGCUUUAGAAGGUAUGAUUUCUCCAGUUCCCAUUAGCUUGAUUGAUUCACUGGAUGGAACUUCAUCUAGCACAUUUGGCAGGUGCUCUCUUUGUGAACCGUUAGUCUCAUCGAACCGCACAUCCACGGUUUCAACCACUUUAUAAUGAAAGAGGUUGAAGACUCUGUAGGAGUGCGAAUCCUUUCCAUAUCCAAGCAUAAAACCCUCAUGUGCUUUUGGGGCAAACUUUGAAGUGUGAUGUGGGUCCUUGAUCCAGCACCUUGCGCCAAAUACUCUGAAGUAACUGGCAUUUGGCUUCUUGCCAGUGAGGAGCUCAUACGAUGUCUUGUUCAGAAGCUUGUGAAGAUAAACACGAUUGAUUGUAUGGCAUGCAGUAUCAAUGGCUUCAGGCCAGAAUUUUCUUGGAGUCUUGUAUUCAUCUAGCAUUGUUCUGGCCAUCUCAAUGAGUGUUCUGUUCUUGCAUUCGACGACGCCAUUCUGCUGUGGCGUGUACGGGGCUGAGAAUUCAUGUGUGAUGCCCAAGGUAUCAAGAUAUGUAUCAAGGCCAGUGUUCUUGAAUUCAGUGCCAUUGUCACUUUUGAUGUGCUUUAUCUUGGCACCAUAGUUGUUCAUUGCUCGAUUGGCGAAGCGUUUGAAGACAUCCUGCACUUCAGUCUUGUAAAGGAUUAUAUGCACCCAAGUGUAUCUAGAAUAAUCAUCAAUAAUGAAGAAGCCAUAGAGACAAGCAGUAGUAGUAAGAGUUGAGUAAUGAGUGGGACCGAAAAGAUCCAUGUGAAGCAGCUCGAAGGGUCGAGUAGUAGUCAUGAUUGUCUUCGAGGGAUGCUUGGCCCUCGUCAUCUUUCCUGCUUCACAGGCACCGCAUAAGUGAUCUUUCUUGAACUUGACGCCCUCAAUGCCUAUGACAUGCUUCUUCUUUGCCAGGGUGUGGAGGUUCCUCAUGCCAGCAUGCCCAAGCCUCCGAUGCCAGAGCCAGCAUUCUGAAGCUUUUGCUAGAAGACAUACGGCAAGUUGUGGUCCUGCUGAGAAAUCUACCACGUACAGAUCGUCUUUCCGAUACCCUUCAAACACUAGAGACUUGUCAGAUUCCAUUAGAACAAGGCAACAAUAUUUUCCAAAUAUUACGAUCAUGUUCAAAUCGCAUAGCAUUGAGACAGACAUUAAGUUGAAGCCAAGGGAUUCAACAAGCAUGACUUUAUCCAUGUGUUGAUCCUUUGAGAUUGCAACUCUACCUAGACCCAAUACCUUACUUUUACCAGUGUCAGCAAAUGUGAUGUGGCUCUUGUCGGAAGGACGUAAGGUUGAGUCCAUCAGAAGGCUUCUUUUGCCAGUCAUGUGAUUUGUACACCCACUAUCAGUAAUCCAUUCUGUAUACGCUGGUGUCGUACCCUACAGUGCAGUUAGGGGGAUAGGCUUCACGAAGAGAGUUGUGAAGCAAAAACAUUUGACGAACCAGUGGGUUAUGAAAGCUUAGAUCCAGAUUAGUACUGAUAGGGAGAGUAGCAAGCGAUUCAGGAACGAAGUACAUAGUAAGACCAUUCGGCAUUUGAUCUUGCGCCCUACAAGAUGUUUAAGGUCCCCAGCGAUAGCGUCAGAAGAUUUUGGUUUUCUGCUGGAGACCUUUCCCUGCAAAAGAGAGUUAAGCCUUCUUAACAACCCACAUCUUCAAGGGUGGCUUAGAAGCGAUAAGUCUAAGUGCAGAGUCUGAAAACUUUGGCUUUGGGGCUCUAGCAAAAAGUCUUGCAGGUGGACAAUAAUACUCAUAAGAAUAAGCAGAAUAGUUUUUGGUCUUAUGAACAUGGCGGUUCGAUGAACCGCGCUCAUAUUCAUAGGCCUGAGUAUGGUUUCCCUGCAAAACAUUUGCAUUAGUCCGACUCAGGUGAGUCCUCUGUCUGUAUGAAGCCUUUGGGCCAUAUGAAGCCUGUGGUCUGGGGUUUGUCUUCUUCAUCUAUGGUGUCAUGAUGACAUUCACAGGAAGAUUUUCCAAACACCUUUUGGGCACCCAGACCUUCUUCAUAGGCGGUCCAUUCCUGCAGUUAGUACCAAUGUACCUGGCAAAAACUUCACCAUUCUGAUUCUUAAAUAGUUUAUAGUUUGCAUCAAAGGAUUCAUCAAUGACAAUGGGGUUAGCACAAGUGAAGCCAGAUAGACUGGAUGGAUUUGCUGAAGGUUCCUUUGCAGCAACCCAUGUGGUUUUGGGAUACUGCUCGGGUUUCUAGUAAGAGCCAUCAGCAUUCAUUUUCCUUAUGAACCCAACACCCUCUUUCCUCGGGUUUCGGUUCAGAAUCUGCCUUUUGAGGACAUCACAUAGUGUCUGAUGCCCUUUAAGACUUUUGUACAUCCCUGUUUCAAGCAAUGUCUUCAACCUAGCAUUCUCAUCAGCAAUCGCAGUAGUAUCCUCAGUAGAGGGGUUAGUUACCACAUCAACAGUUGAAGAUAUUGCAACAGUAGCAGUAGUAGAACAUUCAGCAACAGAAGCAGCAUUAUCACGCUCAAUGCAUUUAAGACAUGGUGGUUCAAAUCCUUCCUGAGCGGAACUGAUCUGUUCGGCGCGAAGUGACUCGUUUUCCUUUUGAAGAUCUUCAUGAGCCGCUCUCAAUUUCUCAAGAUCUUGCUUCCUUUGAAGAUAAUCAUAGGAAAGCUUUUCAUGAGUUGUUGAGAGCGUUUCAUGACAACUUUCAAGUUCCUCAUAUUUAACGUGAAGAUUUUUUAUGUCUUGAAUUAAGGAUUCAGAUCGAGUCAUUUCAACGCCCAACAAAUCAUCGCUUUUGUCUAACAGUUUUUGAAUAUGUUCCAUGGCUUUCUGUUGUUCAGUUGCAAUUUUAGCAAGUGUUUUGUAGCUGGGUCUUGAAUCACAAUCAGAGUCAUCAUCACUAGAUGUUUGAUAGUGAGUAGUGCGUGUGUUUACCUUGGCACCGUGUGCCAUGAAGCAGUAGGUAGGAGCAGAGUCGUCCUUGUCAUUUGCAUCGGCGUCGGUGGUGAAGUCAUUGUCUUCAGUGUUGAAGAUGGACUUGGCAACGUAUGCUGUAGCCAGACUUGCAACACCAGAAUCGGACUCCUCCUCAGACUCCACCUCCGCCUCCUCAGACGCGGACUCCUCCUCUGAAUCCAUUUCCUUGCCAACAAACGCACGUGCCUUGCCAGAUGAGCUCUUCUUGUGUGAUGAAGACUUUGAGGAAGACUUGGAAGAAGACUUUGAGUAUUUCUUCUUCUUCUUGUCGUCAGAGUCAUAUUCCUUGCUCUUCUUCUUCUUUCUAUUCUCAUUGUCCCACUGCGGACACUCAGAGAUGAAGUGGCUAGUUUUCUUGCACUUGUGACAUGUUUUCUUCUUGUAGUCAUGAGCAGAAGCUUCAUCAUUCCUUGAGCUUGAUCGUGAAGACUUUCUGAAGCCUUUCUUCUUGGGGAAUCUUUGGAACUUCUUUACAAGCAUAGCAAGUUCCUUUCCAAUGUCUUCAGGAUCGUCAGAACUGCUGUCAGAUUCUUCUUCAGAUGAGGAGACAACUUUUGCCUUCAGGGCACGAGUUCGCCCAUAGUUUGGACCGUAGAUAUCUCUUUUCUCAGAAAGCUGAAACUCAUGUGUGUUGAGCCUCUCAAGUAUGUCGGACGGAUCGAGUAUCUUGAAAUCAGGUCGUUCUUGAAUCAUCAGGGCUAGGGUGUCAAACAAACUGUCAAGUGAUCUCAGUAGUGUCUUGACGACUUCAUGCUUGGUGAUCUCAGUGGCGCCGAGCGCUUGAAGCUCAUUUGUGAUGUCAGUGAGUCGGUCAAAUGUGAGCUGGACAUUCUCAUUGUCAUUUCGCUUGAAGCGGUUAAAGAGGUUGCGAAGAACGCUGAUUCUCUGAUCUCUCUGGGUUGAGACGCCUUCGUUGACCUUGGAGAGCUAGUCCCAGACCAGCUUCGAUGUUUCCAAAGUGCUCACACGGCCAUACUGUCCUUUGGUCAGAUGACCACAGAUAAUGUUCUUGGCAGUAGAGUCCAGUUGAACGAACUUCUUGACAUCAGCAACAGUGACACCUUCUCCAGCCUUGGGAACGCCGUUCUUGACGACAUACCAUAGGUCGACGUCAAUGGCUUCAAGAUGCAUGCGCAUCUUAUUCUUCCAGUAGGGAUAUUCAGUUCCAUCGAAGACGGGGCACGCAACGGAGACUUUAAUUAUCCCUGCAGUCGACAUAGCUAAAACUCCAGGUGGUUAAACCGAAUCACACAGAACAAGGGAGCACCUUGCUCUCAUACCAAUUGAAAGUGCAUUAUAUCGACUAGAGGGGGUGACUAGGCGAUUUUUAUGAAAGUCUUAAAAACAUGGAAGUUUCGAAGACAAAUGAUAGAAAUAAACCUAUUACCAUGCAGCGGAAGUUAGACUACACUAGAUAAACCAUAGUCAUGUAUUCAAUGAAGUGAAAGGACAAUGACUAAUAGUAGCUAGGUAGUAAGGAUCAGGCAGGAAGAUAUUAAGAAGCCAAACGGAUCACACAGUCACUCAGUGAAGACAAAAGAUAGAGCAAACAUACAAUGACUUCACACAGAGUAACAGUAAGUAAAGAGAAGGGAAGGAUGAAACCAGUGACUCGUUGAAGACAAAUAUUUGUUGGACCAGUUCCAGUUGCUGUGACAACUGUACGUCUGGUUAGGGCGGCUAGGUAUUUAAACCAAAGGACACAUAGUCCCGGACACCCAGUCCUGAACACGCAGCUCAGGACACCCAGUCCUCACAGUAUUCCCCUUGAGCUAAGGUCACACAGACCUCGCCCAAUCACUCUGGUAAGUCUUCAAGGUAGACUCCCAAACCUUCACAGACUUCGUUCACCGGCAAUCCACAAUGUCUCUUGGAUGCUAUAACGCGACGCCUAACUGGCUGGAGGAUGCACAGUCCUCAAGUGUAAUAAGUCUUCAUAUCACUCAGACAAGAAGACUUAAGUGAUGCCUAAUUCUCUUUGGCUCUGGGUGGUUAGGGCUUUAUCCUCGCAAGGAAUUCUCUCUCAAAGGCUUCGAGGUGGGUUGCUCUCAAACGACAAAAGCCGUACUCUGAAUCCGAGCAGCCAACCGUUUAUGGUUGUAGGGGGUGGGCUAUUUAUAGCCACUAGGCAACCCGACAUGAUUUGUCCGAAAUGACCCUGGGUCACUAAGGAACUGACACGUGUUCCAACGGUCAGAUUUCAAACUCACACGGCAACUUUACUUGGGCUACAAGCAAAGCUGACUUGUCCGACUCUGGACAAGAUUUGCUCUCAUAGUCUUCACUCGAAGACAUAGGUUUUUGUUUAAGCAUCACUUCAGUCAUUCUGACUGGUUCUCUUGGACCCCACUUAACAGUGCGGUGGUUCCUAUGACUCAACACAGAAGAAAAAGAACUACGAAAGAUCUAAGUCUUCGAGCUCCAUAGGCUUCAUGCAGUGUCUUCUCUUGUCAUAGUCUUCAAUGUGAAUAUCUUCAUAUACCACCUUUGACAUCAAUGUCUUCAUACAUUUUUAGGGGUCAUCUCUGGUGGGAAAACCAAAUCAAUGAGGUACUUCUACCUGUGUUAUCCUGCAAUUCUCAUAAACACAUUAGUCCCUCAACUAGGUUUGUCGUCAAUACUCCAAAACCAACUAGGGGUGGCACUAGAUGCACUUACACAGUCGUCUCUAAAGCAUAACCCCAAAAUGAUAGCAGUAAAUUAGUAAGAGACAUCAUAGAUCGCACCAUAUCUAAUAAAGUGCGGUUACGAUGUUCGGACACACCAUUAUGUUGUGGUGUUCCGUGUGGCGUGAGUUGCGAAACUGUUCUGCAUUGUUUCAAAUGAAGACCAAACACGUAACUCAAAUAUUCACCUCCACGAUCAGAUUGUAGAAACUUUAUUUUCUUGUUACGAUAUUUUUCCUCUUCACUCUGAAUUUUUUUGAACUUUUCAAAUGUUUCAGACUUAUGUUUCAUCAAGUAGAUAUACCCAUAUCUGCUCAAAUCAUCUGUGAAGGUCAGAAAAUAACAAUACCCGCCGCGAGCCUCAACACUCAUCGGACCGCAUACAUCCGUAUGUAUUAUUUCCAACAAGUCUAUUGCUCACUCCAUUGUUCCGGAGAAUGGAGUCUUAGUCAUCUUGCCCAUGAGGCAUGGUUCGCAAGCAUCAAGUGAUUCAUAAUCAAGUGAUUCCAAAAGUCCAUCAGCAUGGAGUUUCUUCAUGCGCUUUACACCAAUAUGACCUAAACGGCAGUGCCACAAAUAAGUUGCACUAUCAUUAUUAACCUUGCAUCUUUUGGCUUCAAUAUUAUGAAUAUGUGUGUCACUAUUGUCGAGAUUCAAUAAAAAUAGAUCACUCAUCAAGGGUGCAUGACCAUAAAAGAUAUUACUCAUAUAAAUAGAACAACCAUUAUUCUCUGAUUUAAAUGAAUAUCCGUCUCGCAUCAAACAAGAUCCAGAUAUAAUGUUCAUGCUUAACGUUGGCACCAAAUAACAAUUAUUCAGGUCUAAAACUAAUCCCGAUGGUAGAUGUAGAGGUAGCAUGCUGACGGCGAUCACAUCGACUUUGGAACCAUUUCCCACGCGCAUCGUCACCUCGUCCUUAGCCAAUCUUCGCUUAAUCCGUAGCCCAUGUUUCGAGUUGCAAAUAUGAGCAACAGAACCAGUAUCAAAUACCUAGGCGCUACUACGAGCAUUAGUAAGGUACACAUUAAUAACAUGUAUAUCAAAUAUACCUUUCACUUUGCCAUCCUUCUUAUCCAUCAAAUACUUGGGGUAGUUCCGCUUCCAAUGACCAGUCCCUUUGUAGUAGAAGCAUUCAGUCUCCGGCUUAGGUCCAGACUUGGGCUUCUUCACUUGAGCAACAACUUGCUUGUCAUUCUUCUUGAAGUUCCCCUUCUUCCCUUUGCCCUUUUUCUUGAUACUGGUGGUCUUGUUGACCAUCAACACUUGAUGCUCCUUCUUGAUUUCUACCUCUACAGCCUUUAGCAUUGCGAAGAGCUCGGGAAUUGUCUUAUCCAUCCCUUGCAUAUUAUAGUUCAUCAUGAAGCUUUUGUAGCUUGGUGGCAGUGAUUGAAGAACUCUGUCAAUGACACUAUCAUCAGGAAGAUUAACUCCUAGUUGAGUCAAGUGGUUGUGGUACCUGGACAUUUUGAGUAUAUGUUCACUAACAAAACUAUUCUCCUCCAUCUUACAGCUGUAGAACUUAUUGGAGACUUCAUAUCUCUCAAUCCGGGCAUUUGCUUGAAAAUUUUACUUCGACUCCUGGAACAUCUCAUAUGCUCCAUGAUGUUCAAAACGUUGUUGAAGUCCCGAUUCUAAGCCGUAAAGCAUGGCACACUAAACUAUCGAGUAGUCAUCGGCUUUGCUCUACCAGACGUUCAUAAUGUCCGGUGUUGCUUGAUACGUCUCCGUCGUAUCUACUUUUCCAAACACUUUUGUCCUUGUUUUGGACUCUAACUUGCAUGAUUUGAAUGGAACUAACCCGGACUGACGCUGUUUUCAGCAGAAUUACCAUGGUGUUAUUUAUGUGUAGAAAUAAAAGUUCUCGGAAUGACCUGAAACUUCAGGGAACGUCUUUUUGGAAAUAAUAAAAAAUCCUUGCAAAAGAUGAAGACCAGGGGGCCCACACCCUAGCCACGAGGGUGGGGGCGCGCCUGCCCCCCUAGGCGCGACCCCUACCUUGUGGGCCCCCUGGAGCUCCUCCGACCUCAACUCCAACUCUAUAUAUUUGCUUUCAGGGAGAAAAAAAUUAGAGAGAAGGAUUCAUCGCGUUUUACAAUACAGAGCCGCCGCCAAGCCCUAAAACCUCUCAGGAGGGCUGAUCUGGAGUCCGUUCGGGGCUCCGGAGAGGGGAAUCCGUCGCCAUCGUCAUCAUCAACCUUCCUCCAUCACCAAUUUCAUGAUGCUCACCGCCGUGCGUGAGUAAUUCCAUCAUAGGCUUGCUGGACGGUGAUGGGUUGGAUGAUAUUUAUCAUGUAAUCGAGUUAGUUUUGUUAGGGUUUGAUCCCUAGUAUCCACUAUGUUGUGAGAUUGAUGUUGCUAUGACUUUGCUAUGCUUAAUGCUUGUCACUAGGGCCCGAGUGCCAUGAUUUCAGAUCUGAACCUAUUAUGUUUUCAUCAAUAUAUGAGUGUUCUUGAUCCUAUCUUGCAAGUCUAUAGUCACCUACUAUGUGUUAUGAUCUGGCAACCCCGAGGUGACAAUAAUAGGGACCACUCCCGGUGAUGACCGUAGUUUGAGGAGUUCAUGUAUUCAUUAUGUGUUAAUGCUUUGGUCUGGUACUCUAUUAAAAGGAGGCCUUAAUAUCCCUUAGUUUCCGCUAGGACCCCGCUGCCACGGGAGGGUAGGACAAAAGAUGUCAUGCAAGUUCUUUUCCAUAAGCACGUAUGACUAUAUUCGAAAUACAUGCCUACAUUACAUUGAUGAAUUGGAGCUAGUUUUGUGUCACCCUAGGUUAUGACUGUUACAUGAUGAACCGCAUCCGGCGUAAUUCUCUAUCACCGAUCCAUUGCCUACGAGCUUUCCAUAUAUUGUUCUUCACUUAUUUACUUUUCCGUUGCUAUUGCUAUCAUCACUACAAAAUACCAAAAACAUUAAUUUUGCUAUCGUUACCUUUUGCUACCGUUACCACUACUAUCAUAUUACGUUGCUACUAAACACUUUACUACAGAUAUUAAGUUUCUAGGUGUGGUUGAAUUGACAACUCAACUUUCAACUGCUAAUACUUGAUAAUAUUCUUUGGCUCCCCUUGUGUCGAAUCAAUAAAUUUGGGUUGAAUACUCUACCCUCGAAAACUGUUGCGAUCCCCUAUACUUGUGGGUUAUCAAGACUAUUUUCUGGCGUCGUUGCCGGGGAGCAUAGCUCUAUUCUUUGAGUCACUUGGGAUUUAUAUCUGUUUAUCAUUAUGAAGAACUUGAGAGAUCCAAAAACCAAGAUUUAUCUCUCAACUACGAGGGGAGGUAAGGAACUGCCAUCUAGCUCUGCACUUGAUUCACCUUCUAUUUUGAGUAAGCUUGCGACACCUAAACCUGCUUCUGCUAUUCAUUCUGAUAUGUCGCAUGUUAUUAAUGAUGCCACUUGUGCUAUGCAUGAUACUUAUGAUGAAACUACUUCUAUGCUUGAUACUACUGUGCCACUUGGUGAAUUUCUUGAUGAACAACUUGCUAGGGUUAGAGAGAAUGAAAUUAUUGAAACUGAUAAUAUAUAUAUAUAUAUUUGAAUAUAUACUGUAGGGUAAAACCCCCACAGCCCUUUAUUGCAGUCUCAAAAAACAAACUGUACAGUGAAAGAAAGAGAUGACAAGCCUAAACGAAAAGUUAAGAAGAACUUACAAUUACAUGAGGGAGUUAACUCAAUCUACAAGCCUAGACUUAGAGCUAUCCUUAAACCUAUGUGACAGGAGAAGAAUGUCAUGUACAAAACUGCCCCUCCAGGCAACAAAAGUAGCCCGUAGUCCCCUGAAAGUUCUUCCAUUUCUCAGAAUCCAUAUAUUCCAAGCAGCUGUGAGCAUAACUUCAAAGAAGAAAGGAUACCCAAAUCGCUGCCUUGCUUGAGAUAUACAUUGCUGAAUAGAAGAACCAUGUGACCAAUCGAUCUGCAGGUAUUUCCAAACCCUGGCACUGAAAUUACAACCAAAGAAUAGGUGAGCCCUGUCCUCCCAAACAAAGGCAUUACAGAUGACACAUAGAUGAUCAGCCGUAGGGGACCUCCGGUGGCUGCGGACCAGCACGUCCUUUGUGUUGAGUCUGUCAAAGAAUAGGAGCCAGCCAAAAACCUUAAUUUUCAUAGUACAUAUGCUCUGCCAAAGCCACCUGCAGGGUUUAAUAGUUGGGAGGUGUGUAUGCAUGAUGUCAUAGAAGCUCUUUGCAGAAAACUGUCCAGAUUUACCAGGCCAAAUCCAAACAUCAGGCAAUGUUGGAUCUCUCUGGAGAUUGAACAUCCUUCCUUCCAAGGAUUCCAAUUCUGCUGCUGCCUGCUGAGAAAUUGGCAGAUGAAACAUUGAGAACAAAUCCUGGGUUUGCAAAAACUCCCUGACAGAAACCUUAUCAUCCAAAACAAAAGAGAAAAGCCUUGGUAAUCUGAGGCUUAGUGGCCUUGAAGAGCCACCUACAUGGCAAGCAUCCAGCCAAAAGAGAGCAGAAUCACCCAUAUUAACUGGCACUGAAGCAAUUGACCUAUAAGUGUCAGCAAGCUUGAGAAUGUCCUUCCACCAAAAGGAGCCAGUUAGGACUGUUGCAUGGGGCACCACUCCAUCAUAAUAACUAUCCCAAAUCAACUGGACCCAAGGAAUCUGCUGUUUGUUGUAGAACUUAUGCAUUUGUUUGAGAAGCAGACCUUGAUUUUGAACAUUGAGGUUGAGAAUGCCAAGUCCUCCCUUAUCCUUUGGUCUGCAAACUAAAUCACAGGCAGCUAGGGAUUGCUUAGGCACAUCAGAAUUUCCUCUCCACAAACACUGCCUGAAAAUCCUAUCCAACUGUUUGAUAAUACCAGGUGGGAUAUGCAAGCUGCAGAGGAAGUAUAUGGGCAUUGAAGUAAGCACAGAUGUGAGAAAUUGUAACCUGGAUCCUUGGUUGAGCAUGGCAGAGCUAACAGACAGUCUUCUUUCAAGACUAUCCACUAAAGGCAUGAAAUCAAUGAUUCUAGGUCUUGUUGUACCAAGAGGCAAACCCAGAUAUGUGAAAGGUAACUGCUCCGGUUUACAUCCCAGGAUGGAAGACAACCUCUGUGCCUCUGUGGGAUCAACAUUUAGUGGCACCAUUGAAGACUUUCCAAAAUUUACCUUUAGGCCAGUAGACUGUUGGAAAAUAUGGAGCAUGUUCUUGAGAGCCACCAACUGGUCCUGUACUGCAGAAAGGAUAAUUAUUGUGUCAUCUGCAUACUGAAUGAUAGGAAAUUCAGGGUCCUAAGAUGGGAUUGGAAGUGUUAGAACUCCCUUAGCCAGCAUGUUAUUGACCAUUGUUUGAAGAAGAUCGGCAGCUAUGACAAAUAAAAGAGGGGAUAGGGGAUCCCCCUGCCUGACCCCACAUUUAUAUUUGAACUGUUUGCCAGGCACCCCAUUAAGCAAAACAGAUGAUGAUCCUGAGGAGAGAAUCUCUUUAAUCCAAGAAAUCCAUUUGGCAUCAAAACCUUUGUGCUGUAGAACUUGCAAGAUGAAGUCAUGCUCCACAGUGUCAAAAGCUUUGGCAAAAUCCAAUUUCAAAAUGAUGGUUGGCCUUUUGGAUUGAUUGCAUUGAUGUAUAUAUUCAAAAGCCCAAGCCAGGCAGUCCUGAAUGGCUCUGCUCUUCAAAAACCCAUAUUGAUUCUUAUGGAUGCAUUGCAGAAUGACCUUUUGAAGCCUAUUUCCCAAAAGCUUAGUAAGGAACUUGAGGCAUGUGUUAGUAAGAGAGAUUGGUCUAAAAUCCUCAAGUCCUUCAGGAGACAACAUCUUUGGAAUUAAGGUGAUAAGGGAUCCAUUAAUAUUUUCCAAAGAUAGCCUCCCAUCAUAAAACCCCUGAAUGAGAGCCAAGAAAUCCUUCUCAAUGAUGGGCCAACACUUCUUAACAAAAAGACCAUUAAAACCGUGAAAGUGAUGAUGAAGAUUCUCCCCCUAAUAAAUAUGAAUUGCCUGUUGUGCCUGAGGGCUAUGUUAUGGAUGAAGAAAUUGCUAAAGCUAUUUUUGUUUGCAAAGAUAGAUAUGAUCUUAAGAAGUUAUUAGCUAAAUGGAAGCAGCAAUCUCUUAAUGCUAGAAUGAAACCUGACCCUGCUUUUGCUACUUCACCUAUCUGUGUUACUGAUAAGGAUUAUGAAUUCUCUGUUGAUCCUGAUAUAAUUACUUUGGUUGAAUCUGAUCCUUUUCAUGGCUAUGAGUCUAAAACUGUUGUGGCACAUCUUACUAAAUUAAAUGAUAUAGCCACCCUAUUCACUAAUGAUGAGAGAACUCGUUACUUUUAUAUCCUUAAAAUAUUCCUGUUCUCAUUAAAGGGUGAUGCUAAGAUAUGGUUUAAUUCUCUUGAUCCUGGUUGUGUGCGUAGUCCCCAGGAUAUGAUUUAUUACUUCUCUGCUAAAUAUUUCACUGCUCAUAAGAAACAAGCUGCUUUGAGGGAUAUAUAUAAUUUUGUGCAAAUUGAAGAAGAGAGUCUCCCACAAGCUUGGGGGAGGCUUCUCCAAUUACUUAAUGCUUUGCCUGAUCAUCCUCUUAAGAAAAAUGAAAUAUUGGAUAUAUUUUAUAAUGGACUAAGUGAUGCUUCCAGAGAUUACCUGGAUAGUUGUGUUGGUUCUGUUUUCAAGGAAAGAACACCGGAUGAAGCUGAAAUUCUAUUGAAUAAUAUGUUGACAAAAGAAAAUAAUUGGACACUUCCUGAGCCAGCUCCUGAGCCUAUUCCUAAACCAACUCCGAAGAAGAGGGGUAUUCUAUUUCUCAGUCCUGAAGAUAUGCAAGAGGCAAAGAAAUCCAUGAAAGAAAAGGGUAUUAAAGCUGAAGAUGUUAAGAAUUUACCUCCUAUUGAAGAAAUACACGGUCUUAAUUUACCGCCUGUUGAAGAAACAUAUGAUCUUAAUCCAUUACCUAUUGAAGAAAUACAUGGUCUUGAUAACCCGACACAAGUAGUAAAGGUAAACUCUCUCUAUAGAUAUGAUAAAAUUGAAAUCCCUCUUACUAAGUUUGCUAGCCAAUGCUUAGAUGAGUUUGAUAAUUUUAUGGUGAAGCAAGAAGAUUUUAAUUCUUAUUUUGGUAGACAAUUGAAAUACAAUUCAAAUAUGCUUGAACACUUGGGUGAUUAUAUGGCUAAUGUUAAAGGUGAAAUUAAACUUAUUAGCAAACAUGCUUCUAUGGUUACCACUCAAGUAGAACAAGUACUUAAAGCUCAAAAUGAUUUGCUCAAUGAACUGAAUAGUAAGAAUAAUGAUAAUGCUGUUAGAGUUAUGACUAGAGGUGGUAAAAUGACUCAAGAACCUUUGUAUCCUGAAGGCCAUCAUAAGAGAAUUGAGCAAGAUUCUCGGAGAAAUAAUAUAGAUGCACCUAGUUCUUCUAAAAGGAAGAAAAAGAAAAAUGAUAGGACUUUGCAUGCUUCUAGUGAACCUAUUGAUGAAACACCUGAGAAUCCAAAUGAUAUUUCUAUUUCUGAUGCUGAAACACAAUCUGGUAAUGAACCUGAAACUAGUGAUAAUAUUAAUGAUAAUGUUCAUGUUGAUGCUCAACCUAGCAAUGAUAAUGAUAUAGAAAUUGAACCUGUUGUUGAUCUUGAUAACCCACAAUCAAAGAAUCAACGUUAUGAUAAGAGAGACUUUGUUGCUAGGAAACAUGGUAAGGAAAGAGAGCCUUGGGUUCAGAAACCCAUGCCUUUUCCUCCCAAACCAUCCAAGAAAAAGGAUGAUGAGGAUUUUGAGCACUUUGCUGAAAUGAUUAGACCUACCUUUUUGCGUAUGCGAUUAACUGAUAUGCUUAAAAUGAAUCCUUAUGCUAAGUACAUGAAAGAAAUUGUUACUAAUAAAAGAAAGAUACCGGAAGCUGAAAUUUCCACCAUGCUUGCUAAUUAUACUUUUAAAGGUGGAAUACCUAAGAAACUAGGAGAUCCCGGAGUACCAACUAUACCAUGCUCCAUUAAAAGAAAUUAUGUUAAAAUUGCUUUAUGUGAUCUUGGAGUCGGUGUUAGUGUUAUGCCUCUCUCUUUAUAUCAUAGACUUGAUUUGAAUAAGUUGACACCUACUAAAAUAUCUUUGCAAAUGGCUGAUAAAUCAACUGCUAUACCUAUCGGUAUUUGUGAGGAUGUGCCUGCUGUGGUUGCAAACGUUACUAUUUUAAUGGACUUUGUUAUUCUUGAUAUUCCCGAGGACGAUAGUAUGUCUAUUAUUCUUGGAAGACCCUUUUUGAAUACUGCAGGGGCUGUUAUUGAUUGCAACAAAGGCAAUGUCACUUUUCAUGUUAAUGGUAAUGAGCAUACGGUACACUUUCCGAGGAAACAACCUCAAGUCCACAGUAUCAAUUCUAUUGGAAAAAUUCAAUCGAUUAUUUUUGAAGGUUUUGAAUUUCCUCUUCCUACUGUCAAAAGAAAUAUGAUAUUCUUAUUAUUGGGGAUGUGCAUAUCCCCGUUGAGGUAACAUAGUGUUAUUCGAAAUUCCUCCGGUUCCAUGUUAUUCGGAAUGAGUUUGCUAACAAGACUUGAUCAACCAUGUUAACGGAUUCCUUUUGAUGAGCAUGAGAUGGAUGAAACUAGAAGGCACAACUCUCCGUACCCUCCUUUUACUUUCUGUUAUUUAUAUUAAAUAAAAUUAAAAGAAGUAUUUUCCGUCUGUUAUCUGAUUUAUCCGUGCAAUAUAAAAUACCCCGAAAAUAAAAGUUCUCCAAAUGCCUUGAAAUUUAAAUAUGAUUUUUUCUGGAAUAUUUGAGAAUAUUUGGCACUAAGAACACAACACAGGGGGCAUCCACCUGGCCACGAGAGUGGAGGGCGCGCCCUACCCCCCCUGUGCGUGCCCCUUGCCUCGUGGGCCCACGGUGGCCCUCCUCCACUUAUUCCUGCACCCACACACUCCUUCCUCCCAUAAACACGAUUAUCCAGUUCGAACCCAAGUCCAAGCUCAUUUUGCUGCUAUUUUCGAUCUCCUUGCUCAAAGCACCUCUCACAAAACUGCUUGGGGGGAUUGUUCCUUGGUAUGCGACUCCUCCAUUGGUCCAAUUAGUUUUUGUUCUAGUGCUUUAUUCAUUGCAAAUUUAUGUUGUCUAGGUGCCCAUGUUCCUGAGCUUGCAUGUCAAAUUUAUGUGGUUCCAACUAGUUUUGAUGCAUGAUAUAGGCUCUAGGCACUUGUAGGAGUUGUUGCUAUCAAUUUUGUUGAGCUUGGCUCACUUUUAUUUGAAGUUACUAAAAAUUUCAGAAUUUUUCAGAAAAUAAUGAAGAGAUUUUUGAGGGGCUCAUCAAGCCGAAGCUCGAAGGAAAAGCAAAAUGAAAAAGCAGAGAGGCCCGAAUAUAAUCUGCCUCGCACCGCAGAGGUUCGGCCGUGUGAAUGGCCUUCCAAUGAUUUCUUGAGAGCAGUCGGGAUUUAUGAUGAUUUUUAUGAAUUGGCUGAGAAUGUAGGCCUCACCGCCUUCCUCCAUGACCAACGCGAACAAUAUCUCUUACUCACCAAUAUCUUUGUGCAAAACUUUCAUUUCCAUGCUAGGAGCUCACCACCUACGGUGGAGUUUUAUUUGUAUGAUGAGCACAAGGAGAUGUCACUUUACGAUUUCUGUCGGGUUUGAUUGAUCCCUUUCGAGGGCACAAUAGAGGAACCACACCGCGGUGAUGUGGAUGGGUUUAUAGAUACCAUCACUGUAGGGGAAACGAGGAAGGUUUCCGAUGCACGAAUCACUAGCAUACAUUUUCCUGUUUUACGCUACUUUGCAAUAUUUGCUAGUCGUUGCUUAAUUGGUCGCGAAAACUGUGGAAACCUUAGUGUUCCUGAUAUUAUUAUUUUGUUCCACGGUUUAUUCUGUGAUAAAUCUGUUAGUAUGGGCGGUAUUAUUGCUAAACGGUUAAGUCUCAACUGUACAAAGGGCCCCAUCUUUGGAGGCAUCUAUGCUUCACGCCUAACUGCGCAUUUUAACAUACCUAUUAAGCAUUAUGAGAAGGAAGAAAAAUUGCUGCCCCUGUUUAUUUAGAUUAUAAGAGUAUGGUGGCACACGAUUUUAUUGUUAAGAAUAGGAAAGGGGAGCUUAAAUACAAAUUGUUCUUUGAUAAACAUCAUCCUGAGACUAUUACCCUGCCUACUCCUUCCUUGUUUGAUUUAUCUCCAGGCAAGUACCUUGUUCCGUUAGAGGCUAUUCACGCCUACCGGAACAUUGCAUCAGCCACAGAGCCAGAGUCGGAACCACUAGUUGAUCCUCCACGACAGUCUAAUUACCAUUGGGAUCCAGAAAUGAUAGCCACCAGUGGAAAUCAGAGUCUUCUUCGCAGUACGACCCCAACUAUUACUAUGGAUAUCCGCCAGGCCAGCCGUGGCCAUAGACCAACUUAGGUCAAAAGCCUAAACUUGGGGGAGUACGUAUUUCCCGCCGACAUUACAUUCAUGUUCGCACACUCAUUGCUAGAUGUCGGUGCUCAUACUUUUUCAUUGUAUCAUCCAUGCUAGUUCAUUUCCUUUUUAAGCUUUCUUCUUGUGUGUUUAAUAAACCUUAAGAAAAACCAAAAAAACUAGUUGUAGCUUUUAGCUAGUUUUAAUUUCCAUGCUUGUAGUAGUAAUUAAAAAGAAAACCCAAAAAAAGAUUUCUUGUUCUUGUUUUGCUCGUUGGGAGCUUUCCCGUGUAAAUAGUUUUAUUUCUUUUCUUUGGGGGUCGAUAGGAGAAUACCAUGAUUAAAUUGUUGAAGUGGCUCUUAUAUAUAUUUUUUAUCUGACAAAAGAGCCCAUAUUGCCUUGUCUUCUCCAGUUUAUUGAAUGCUUGCAGAUUCCAGCUUAGUCCAAUGCACGCGCACUAUUAUUAUUAUCCACAUCGUUCGGUCGUGCAAGUGAAAGGCAAUUAUGACAAUAUAUGAUGGACUGACUGAGAUGAGAAAAGCUGGUAUAAACUCAACCUCUCUUGUUUUUGUAAAUAUGAUUAGUUCAUCGUUCCUGAUUCAGCCUAUUAUGAAUAAACAUGUUUGCAAUGACAACUAGAGAUCAUAGUUUCUUGUGCCAUGCUUGAUUAGCUAGGAGCUUAUAAUGGUUUACCUUGCGUGCCAACAUGCUAUUAAAAUGGUUGUGAUGUGGUAUGAUAGGGUGGUAUCCUCCUCUGAAUGAUUUGAGUGGCUUGACUUGGCACAUGCUCACGCAUGUAGUUGAAAUAAAAUCAACAUAUCCUCUACGAUAUUUAUGUUCAUGGGGAAUUAUAUCCUACUCAUGCUUGCAUUUGGUGUUGAUUAAUUUUAAUGCAUGUUUAUGAGUGUUGUCGCUCUCUAGCUGGUUGCUUCCCAGUCUUUUGCUAGCCUUCACCUGUACUAAGCGGGAAUACUGCUUGUGCAUCCAAUCCCAUAAACCCCAAAGUUAUUCCAUAUGAGUCCACCAUACCUACCUAUUUACGGUAUCUACCUGCCGUUCCAAGUAAAUUUGUAUGUGCCAAACUCUAAACCUUCAAAUAAAUAUCAUGUUUUGUAUGCUCGAAUAGCUCAUGUAUCAACUAGGGCUGUCUGUAUCUUCCAUGUUAGGCGGGUUAUUCUCAAGAGGAGUGGACUCCGCUCCUCACUCACGAGAAAAUGGCUGGUCACCGGGAUGCCCAGUCCCAUGCUUUAUGCAAAUCAAAUCAAAAUAAUUGCAAACAAAACUCUCCCUAGGACUCUUGUUAGUUGGAGGCACUCGUUGUUUUGAGCAAGCCAUGGAUUGAUGCUUGUUAGUGGAAGGGGAGUAUAAACUUUACCAUUCUGUUUGGGAACCGCCUAUAAUGUGUGUAGCAUAGAAUAUAUCGCCCUCUCUUGGUUGUUAUGUUGACAAUGAAAGUAUACUGCUCAAAAUAUUAUUCACCUCUAUUUCAAAACCGAGCUCUGGCACCUCUACAAAUCCCUGCUUCCCUCUGCGAAGGGCCUAUCUAUUUACUUUUAUGUUGACUCAUCAUCCUCUUAUUAAAAAUCACAAGUUGGAGAGCACCGCUGUCAUUUGCAUUCAUUACUGUUAGUUUACAUUGAGUAUGACUGGACUGGAUCUCUUUUACCAUGAAUUACAAUGUCUAGUCAGUCCUUGAUCUUUAAAGGUGCUCUGCAUUUAUGUUUUGCGGUCUCAGAAAGGGCUAGCGAGAUACCAUCUUGUUAUAUCAUAUCAUGAUUGUUUUGAGAAAGUGUUGUCAUCUGAGAUUUAUUAUAUUGCUCGCUAGUUGAUUAUGCCAUUGAUAUGAGUAAACAUGAGACCUAAAUGUUAUUGUGAAUAUGGUUAGUUCAUAAUCUUUGCUGAAAACUUGAAUGCUGGCUCUACAUAUUUACAACAACAAGAGCAAACAGAGUUUGUAAAAGUUUUUCUUUAUCACUUUCAGCUUAUCAACUGAACUGCUUGAGGACAAGCAAAGGUUUAAGCUUUGGGCAGUUGAUACGUCUUCGUCGUAUCUACUUUUCCAAACACUUUUGCCCUUGUUUUGGACUCUAACUUGCAUGAUUUGAAUGGAACUAGCCCGGACUUACGCUGUUUUCAGCAGAAUUGCCAUGGUGUUAUUUUUGUGCAGAUAUAAAAGUUCUCGGAAUGACCCGAAAAUCAACGGAGAAUUAUUUUGGAAUACAUAAAUAAUACUGGAAGGAAGAUCCACGUCAGGGGGGCCUCCACCUGUCCACGAGGGUGGGGGCGCGCCCUACCCCCCUGGUGCUACCUCUUGAGCACUGCGUUGGUUUUCCCUUGAAGAGGAAAGGGUGAUGCAGUAAAGUAGCGUAAGUAUUCCCCUCAGUUUUUGAGAACCAAGGUAUCAAUCCAGUAGGAGAUCACGCUCGAGUCCCACGCACCUACACAACCAAAUAAGAACCUCGCAACCAACGCGAUAAAGGGGUUGUCAAUCCCUUCACGGUCACUUACGAGAGUGAGAUCUGAUAGAUAUGGUAAGAUAAUAUUUUGGUAUUUUUAUGAUAAAGAGAAAUAAAGAUGCAAAGAAAAAUAAACGGCAAUAGAAAUAACUAAGUAUCACCUGGGCGCACCCCCUGCCUCGUGGGCCCCCUGACGCUCCACCAACCUCAACCCUGACUUCAUAUAUUCACUUUCGGGGAGAAAAAACCAGAGAGAAAGAUUCAUCACAUUUUACGAUACGGAGCCGCCGCCAAGCCCUAAACUCUCUCGGGAGGGCUGAUCUGGAGUCCGUUCGGGGCUCCGAAGAGGGGAAUCCAUCGCCAUCAUCAUCAUCAACCUUCCUCCAUCACCAAUUUCAUGAUGCUCACCGUCGUGCGUGCAUAAUUCCAUCGUAGGCUUGCUGGACGGUGAUGGGUUGGAUGAGAUUUAUCAUGUAAUCGAGUUAGUUUUGUUAGGGUUUGAUCCCUAGUAUCCACUAUGUUCUGAGAUUGAUGUUGCUAUGACUUUGCUAUGCUUAAUGCUUGUCACUAGGGCCCGAGUGCCAUGAUUUCAGAUCUGAACCUAUUAUGUUAUCAUCAAUAUAUGAGCGUUCUUGAUCCUAUCUUGCAAGUCUAUAGUCACCUACUAUGUGUUAUGAUCCGGCAACCCCGAAGUGACAAUAAUCGGGACCACUCCUGGUGAUGACCGUAGUUUGAGGAGUUCAUGUAUUCACUAUGUGUUAAUGCUUUGGUCCGGUACUCUAUUAAAAGGAGGCCUUAAUAUCCCUUAGUUUCUGCUAGGACCCCGCUUCCACGGGAGGGUAGGACAAAAGAUGUCAUGCAAGUUCUUUUCCAUAAGCACGUAUGACUAUAUUCGGAAUACAUGCCUACAUUACAUUAAUGAAUUGGAGCUAGUUCUAUGUCACCCUAGGUUAUGAUUGUUACAUGAUGAACCGCAUCCGACAUAAUUCUCUAUCACUGAUCCAUUGCCUACGAGCUUUCCAUAUAUUGUUCUUCGCUUAUUUACUUUUCCAUUGCUAUUGCUAUCAUCACUACAAAAUACCAAAAACAUUACUUUUGCUAUCGUUACCUUUUGCUGCCGUUACCACUACUAUCAUAUUACUUUGCUACUAAACACUUUGCUGCAGAUAUUAAGUUUCCAGGUGUGGUUGAAUUGACAAGUCAGCUGCUAAUAGUUGAGAAUAUUCUUUGGCUCCCCUUGUGUUGAAUCAAUAAAUUUGGGUUGAAUACUCUACCCUUGAAAACUGUUGCGAUCCCCUAUACUUGUGGGUUAUCAUUGCUCCUGCAGCGGGUCUUGCACAUAGCGGUGCUUCCAGGACGUAAUUCUUCUGUGUAGCAAUGAGGAUAAUCCUCAAGUUACGGACCUAGUCCAUGUAGUUGCUACCAUCAUCUUUCAACUUAGGUUUCUCUACGAACGCAUUAAAAUUCAAAGGGACAUUAGCACGGGCCAUUGAUCUACAACAACAUAGACAUGCAAACUACUAUCAGGUGCUAAGUUCAUGAUAAAUUAAAGUUCAAUUAAUCAUAUUACUUAAGAACUCCCACUUAGAUAGACAUCCCUCUAGUCAUCUAAAUGAUCACGUGAUCCAUAUCAACUAAACCAUGUCCGAUCAUCUCGUGAGAUGGAGUAGUUUCAAUGGUGAACAUCACUAUGUUGAUCAUAUCUACUAUAUGAUUCACGCUCGACCUUUCGGUCUCAGUGUUCCGAGGCCAUAUCUGCAUAUGCUAGGCUCGUCAAGUUUAACCCGAGUAUUCUGCGUGUGCAAAACUGGCUUGCACCCGUUGUAUGUGAACGUAGAGCUUAUCACACCCGGUUAUCACGUGGUGUCUCGGCACGACGAACUAUAGCAAUGGUGCAUACUCAGAGAGAACACUUGUACCUUGAAAUUUAGUGAGAGAUCAUCUUAUAAUGCUACCGCCGUACUAAGCAAAAUAAGAUGCAUAAAGGAUAAACAUCACAUGCAAUCAAAAUAAGUGAUAUGAUAUGGCCAUCAUCAUCUUGUGCCUUUGAUCUCCAUCUCCAAAGAACCGUUAUGAUCACCAUCAUCACCGGCUUGACACCUUGAUCUCCAUCGUAGCAUCGUUGUCAUCUCGCCAACUAUUGCUUCUACGACUAUCGCUACCACUUAGUGAUAACGUAAAGCAAUUACAUGGCGAUUGCAUUUCAUACAAUAAAGCGACAACCAUAAGGCUCCUGCCAGUUGCCGAUAACUUUUACAAAACAUGAUCAUCUCAUACAACAACUUAUAUAUCAUCACGCAAAAACAAGUUAGACGUCCUCUACUUUGUUGUUGCAAGUUUUACGUGGCUGCUACAGGCUUCUAGCAAGAACCGUUCUUAUCUACGCAUCAAAACCACAAUGAUUUUUCAUCAAGUGUGUUGUUUUAACCUUCAACAAGGACCGGGCGUAGUCAAACUCGAUUCAACUAAAGUUGGAGAAACAGACACCCAGUAGCCACCUGUGUGUGAAGCACCUCGAUGGAACCAGUCUCAUGAACGCGGUCAUGUAAUGUCGGCCUGAGCUGCUUCAUCCAACAAUACCGCCAAAUCAAAGUAAGACGUUGCUGGUAAGAAGUAUGACUAUUAUCGUCCACAACUCAUUGUGUUCUACUCGUGCAUAUAACAUCUACGCAUAGACCUGGCUCGGAUGUCAUUGUUGGGGAACGUAGUAUUUCAAAAAAAAUCAUACGAUCACGCAAGAUAUAUCUAGGAGAAGCAUAGCAAUGAGCGGGGAGAGUGUGUUCACGUACCCUCGUAGACCGAAAGCGGAAGCGUUUAGUAACACGGUUGAUGUAGUCGAACGUCUUUGCGAUCCAAUCGAUCCAAACACCAAACGUACGACACCUCCGCGUUCAGCACACGUUCAGCUUGAUGACAUCCCUCGAGCUCUUGAUCCAGUUGAGGCCGAGGGAUAGUUCCGUCAGCACGAUGGCGUGGCGACGGUGAUGAUGAAGUUACCGGCGCAGGGCUUCGCCUAAGAACUACGACGAUAUGACCGAGGUGUGUAACUGUGGAGGGGGGCAACGCCCACGGCUAAGAGAAACUUGUGUCUUUGGGGUGCCCCCCUCCCACGUAUAUAAAUGGGGGGAGGAGGCCGGCCCAAAGGGGGGCGCGCCACAUGUUGGGGGUCCUACUAGGACUCCCUAGUCCUAGUAGGAUUCCCCUCUCCUUUCCUUUUACGGAAGGGGGAAAGGGGGGAAGGAGAGGAGGGGAAGAGGGAAAGGGGGCACGCCCCCUCCCCUUCCUAUUCGGACUCCACUUGGGGGGACGCGCACGCCUCCCCCUUGUGGGUUGUACCCUCUUCUCUCCCAUGGCCCAUAAGGCCCAUGAUUUCCCCCGGGGGGUUCCGGUAACCUCCCGGUACUCCAGAAAAAUGCUCGAAUCACUCGGAAUCAUUCUGAUGUUUGAAUGCAACCUUCCAAUAUAUGAAUCUUUACCUCUCGACCAUUUCUGUGAUCUCAUCCGGGACUCCGGACAAACUUCAGUCAUCAAAUCACAUAACUCAUAAUACAAAUUGGCACGAACGUUAAGCAUGCGGACCCUAUGGGUUUGAGAACUAUGUAGACAUGACUGAGACACAUCUCCGGUCAUUAACCAAUAGCGGAACCUGGAUGCUCAUAUUGGCUCCUACAUAUUCUACGAAGAUCUUUAUCGGUCAAACCGCAUAACAACAUACGUAGUUCCCUUUGUCAUAUGUAUGUUAUUUGCCCGAGAUCCGAUCGUCGGUAUCCCCAUACCUAGUUCAAUCUCGUUACCGUCAAGUAUCUUUACUUGUUCCGUAAUGCAUCAUCAUGUAACUAACUCAUUAGUCACAUUGCUUGCAAGGCUUAUAGUGAUGUGCAUUACCGAGAGGGCUUAGAGAUACCUCUCUGAUACACGAAGUGGCAAAUCCUAAUCUCGAUCUAUGCCAACUCAACAAACACCAUCAGAGACACCUGUAGAGCAUCUUUAUAAUCACCCAGUUACAUUGUGACGUUUGAUAGCACACUAAGUGUUCCUCCGGUAUUCGGGAGUUGCAUAAUCUCAUAGUCAUAGGAACAUGUAUAAGUCAUAAAGAAAGCAAUAGCAAUAAAAUUAAACGAUCAUUAUGCUAAGAUAACGGAUGGGUCUUGUCCAUCACAUCAUUCUCUAAUGAUGUGAUCCCGUUCAUCAAAUGACAACACAUGUCUAUGGUUAGGAAACUUAACCAUCUUUGAUUAACGAGCUAGUCUAGUAGAGGCAUACUAGGGACACUCUGUUUGUCUAUGUAUUCACACAUGUACUAAGUUUCUGGUUAAUACAAUUCUAGCAUGAAUAACAAAGAUUUAUCAUGAUAUAAGGAAAUAUAAAUAACAACUUUAUUAUUGCCUCUAGGGCAUAUUUCCUUCAGGAAGAGCAUCGCGGGUGGGAGGGAGAAGGGGAAUUAAGAGAGUGUGGGUUUGGGUUUGGGCCUCCGCGUGCUAUGUGUACACAUGUGUUGGUGGGUCGAUAGUAGUGGUCCUGGGUUUAUACCCCACGCUACUACUAUGGCCUAUCCCGGGGGUACGGUAGAGACCGCUUAGUAGUAGCGAGGGAUUUAUACCCCUCACUACUACUAUCAACUUAGUAGUAGUGAGGGAUUUAUACCCCUCGCUACUACUAUCAACUUAGUAGUAGUGAGGGAUUUAUACCCCUCGAUACUACUAUGGCCAGUCCCGGGGGGCACGGUGGAGACCACUUAGUAGUAGUGUGGGGUUUAUACCCCUCGCUACUACUAUCAACUUAGUAGUAGUGUGGGUUCUAUACCCCUCGCUACCAAUAAUUAGCAGCAGUGUGGCCCAUAUACCCCUCGCUACGGUUAAGCAUCUAUCUAUAAAGUAUUUUCUAGUAGUGCAUCGAUGGCGGCGAAAUCAGUCGUUCUGCUUGUUUUCCCUACUAGCUCUCUGACGUCCAGAACAAGUUUACGGUCAUAAGGUGCAAUAACCUUGCCUUCAUGAGUGACACGAUGACACGGGAACAGGCUUCCAAGCCUAUGGUGUCGCAUCAUGUCGUGGUCUGCUAGACUUAGUGGACGAAUGCUACUACAAUAUCGGUUGAUCUCAUACUACAAUACCAAGGAAGACACGCAACUACUAUAUAUAUUUCUUCAAGUCAGUCAACACAAGUAAAAUCUGGGAGUUCAACUGGUGCAGCUAUGCAAUGCUAAUGGAGACAACACAAUUCAACUUUAGCACUUCACACAUAAGCAACACCACGUUCAAUGGCACACACCUUAGAGUGUACCUAUGGUGGUUGAUUGGGCUAUAAGAAAUGUGAGUCCAUGUGAAGAUGCCAAAUAUAAUAACACGGCUAAUUACACAUGCAGUGGCAGCAGCAACAAGUGCAUGAAUUCCACAAAUGAUCUAGGGUACACAUGCAACUGUGUCCUUGAGUAUGACAACAACCCUUAUCUUCUAGACAAAUGCAUGGUAUGCUACUAAUUUAUUUGCUAAAUAUUCCAAUGAAUUGUGUCCUUUACUUUGUACAUACCCAAUUAUAAUAUUUUAUUUUGCUAAUACAAUGUAGCCUUCAAUUUAAACCAAGGUUUGCAUCCAUUAAUUAUGUUAGGUUCAUAUGACUUCACUACAUAAAUAGGUAGAUAAUGCAUAAGACUGAGAUUGUAGCUAGGGAUGAAAAUCUAAAUACGGCAUGAAUCUAACAAUUAUGAGUAAUGUCUUUGUGACAAGAACUUUCUUUGUCUUUUAUUCCCAUGUUUGAACUAGUAUAGGUCAGGGUUACACAUUAUGGUGCACAUCACUUUAUUUGUCAUCGUUACAUUGAACACUCAUUGACUAAACAACGAUGAUCCAUCCGUCUUGUAUUACAGGUCUUCAUUUCAUUGGCCACCGAUGCUUGUAAGACUACUCCCAGAUGGUUGUUGUUGUGGAUAUGGUUGUUGAGGUUGGUGUGGUUGCUGGGGGAAUGGUUGUUGGGGUUGCUGGGAAAUUGUUUGUUCUAGUUGCUGGGAUAAUUGUUGUUGGGGCUGCAGAAAUGGUUGUUGUGGUUGUUGUGGUUGCAGGAUGGAGGGUUGCUGGGAAAAUGGUUGUUGCGGUCGUAGGGGGAAUGGUUGUUGUGGUUGUAGAGGGAAAGGUUGUUGUGGUUGUUGAGGGAAUGGUUGUUGUGGUUGUUGGGGGAAUGAUUGUUGUGGUUGCAGGGGGAAUGGUUGUUGUGGUUGCUGGGGGAANNNNNNNNNNNNNNNNNNNNNNNNNNNNNNNNNNNNNNNNNNNNNNNNNNNNNNNNNNNNNNNNNNNNNNNNNNNNNNNNNNNNNNNNNNNNNNNNNNNNNNNNNNNNNNNNNNNNNNNNNNNNNNNNNNNNNNNNNNNNNNNNNNNNNNNNNNNNNNNNNNNNNNNNNNNNNNNNNNNNNNNNNNNNNNNNNNNNNNNNNNNNNNNNNNNNNNNNNNNNNNNNNNNNNNNNNNNNNNNNNNNNNNNNNNNNNNNNNNNNNNNNNNNNNNNNNNNNNNNNNNNNNNNNNNNNNNNNNNNNNNNNNNNNNNNNNNNNNNNNNNNNNNNNNNNNNNNNNNNNNNNNNNNNNNNNNNNNNNNNNNNNNNNNNNNNNNNNNNNNNNNNNNNNNNNNNNNNNNNNNNNNNNNNNNNNNNNNNNNUGGUUGCAGAGGGAACGAUUGUUGGGUCUGGGGAAAUGGUUGUUGUGGUUGCCAGGAAAAUGGUUGUUGGGGCUGUGGAAAAGGUUGUUGUGGUUGUUGGGGUUGCUGGGGGAAUGGUUGUUGUGGUUGUAAGGGGGUCGGUUGUUGGGGUUGGGGAAAUAAUUGUUGUGAUUGCUGGGGAAAUUGUUGUUGGGGUGUGGAAAAUGGUUGUUGUGAUGGAUAUGGUUGCUGUGAUGGAUAUGGUUGUUGUGGAUAUGGCUGUUGUGGAAAUAGUUUUUGUUGAUGGGAAAAUGAUUGUUGAGGUGAUUGUAACUCUUUGUUGUUAGGGUUUAGUUGCCUAGCGGCAAUGGCGGUGUUCAUCGCCAUGGCAAGGAGGACAAAGAUGAGGAAGGUCUUCAUGUUGGAUUUGUGGUUACUACUGCUUGCUUGCCUUUGAUGCUUGUGGUCUAGGUGUGUGAAGUUUUGUUGAUGGAAGGUGUCCUUGGUGGUGCAUGUGUAUUUAUAGUUUUCAUGGCAUGGCUUGCUUUCAUCUUUGCACUCGCUCUUUGAAAAAGUGCAUCAAUGCUUAUCCAACUAAUCAUUUGGUUUGUUGUGUUUGGUGCAACUACUUACUAGUGAGAUUUUGGAUUUUCAUGAUAGUUGUUUUUUGUUGAAAUCAUCUGGUUGUAAGGAAUGUUGGAUAAUGACCAAUGACUCAUCUUCUUCACUUUACACUGCAAACAUUGAUCUAGAUUAUGUCCCUUUUUGAAAUUUAGUUUGUGGAGCUCUACAUGUUGUUAGGCUUAUCCAUAUUGGCAUAGCUUGAGUGGAGCUAAGUUUGUAAGCUUGUGUGCGCCAUUAUGAUGGAUCACACUAUUAAUGUGAUGAUUGUUUUACAAAUUAUCUUUCCAAAACUAACUUUAUGUUUUUUGCCCAAUAUGAUUCUAAGACGGAUAACCAGACAUGACUCAUCAAAUAACAAGAUAAACCGAGUAGCAAGUUGGGGGUUAUAAGUUAUAAUAUGGACUUUUCUCUAAGAUACACCAUCUUGUCUUGCAUGCUCUGUGGAUUUGAAAAGCAUCUACUAAUUUAGAUGCAAUUGAAACAAAAGUAGACUAAAAAGGUAAGCAAUGAAAUGAGAAUACUAUUAUGUGAAGCUCUACAUGUCUGGUAAGCAGUGAGAUACUGGAUACAUCUAUAUCUUCAAUCCUUUCAUCCCUAUCAACUCUUUAUUGGCUGCUUUUAUCGUAGUCAUCCCUUAAAUAAAAAUCACUUAAAUAUAAGUUUGGGAGUUAGUACCAACAUAUAUCAUGUACAAGAUAGAAAACUAAGGCACAUAUAGUAGUCUAUUGACCAUAUUUAAUUUCUUGUGAUGUGAAAGCAUGUGGAGUAUAAGUUGGUUAAAUAUAAAGUUGUCCUUCAUACCAGUAGGGAAAGAAUAUGCAGUAUAAAGAUUAGAGCAUUGGACUAAUAUGCUAUUAAAUGCUACAGGAUAAUUGACAGUUCAAGUUAAGAACAACAUUAGCAUUCCAACUUUUGUCUUGUGCAAGUUAAGAACAUGCUAACAAAGUAACCUAAGCAAAUAAGUGCAAAACCUUCACCUAUAAGGAAAUUGUGAAACUACACAAAAUGACCUAUUGUAAAGAAGGAAAAAAAUCUAAAGGUGAAUGAAAGAACGUUAAGUACAUUCAGGAUUCGAUUAUGCCUUCAUGGAUAACCUUUUAGAUGGUGACAUGUCCAUGUUGAUGUGUGUCGGCAUGGAACGAGGACAAGAAGACGUCGUUGCGUCGUACUUUGGGAAUUUCAUCAAACUGGUUGUGUGCGGGAACAAAUAUUUGUCGCCUCCCUGCUCAAAUCUCUCUUCAUGUCACUGAAUCCGACACUCCACCUACCAAAAUCAGCUGCAAGCCAGGGAUAAUCAACGGGUUUCUCCGCCCGUAGCAUCUAUCACCAAAAGUAGUUCAGACUAUAGUCUUGUAGUUCAAAAUUUUGUAAUAACAAGCACUACUAGGUUGCUUUUGUUUGUACGUCUUCAUUCUGUACAACCCAUGGAACUAAAAAUGCAUUGGUCAUUCUUUGUUCUAUACAACCAAUUCAACCAAAAAUGCAUUGGGCUUUUCUUUGUACAUCUUCGGGUUCUACAACCAAUGCAACAAAAAAUCCAUUGGGUAGUCUUCCAUUCUAGUCGGGCACCAACAGUUAAAUGAGGAGCUAAACAAUGUUGGAGUCUAAAACUACAUACAAUCAUGAAGCAUAGAGAGGCGACUUGGAAGCUGUGCUCCUGUGAGCUCGUAUUUUUGUAGACAAAAAGUAAUGUUUGUAUUUUGAAGUGGGAAAAAAUCCUAAAAAGGGAUGUUUUGCGGGUUAUAACUUACUAUUUUUGGGUCCUGGGCUGCAGGAAGGUCGUCAAAAUCAAUGUGUUUUCCCAUUCAAUGCAUGUUUCUUGGGUUAUAGGUCACGCUUUUGGUGUCCUAGGGAGAUCACUUCCCCGGUCAAGAACAUUAGGUGAUGAUUUUUAGAAAAACUCAUUGUUUUAGCCUAACUAGUUUCGAGGAUUGGUGGACGGGAUUAUCAUGGAACAAAGUGACAACCUUCCUUUUCUUCAUGCCUAAUAUAAACUUAGCAGUCAGCUAAAAGUAACUAGCGAUAUCACAGAAUGUUUUUUGUCAAAAGUAGAUACCACUUCAGGAUUCAACUCGGUUAGUUCAAUCACAGACAUGUUAAGAGCAGGAUUUACAACUAACUGCAUAGGGAACAUCUCCUUUUAUCACCCACUAUCUGUCUGUGCACUUUGGUUUUCCCGUAGCAUCACACAAAGCACUUUGUUAGUACCAAUAAUGUGCUCCAACUCUACACAUUAAUCAUCUUGAAUUCUUCUACUGAUGUCGAACAAUGUAAUAUCUUGAAUUCUUCUAACGAGUUCGGAUUAGACUACAUGGGCAAUUUAUCUGGUCCCUGAGAUGCAAGGUCGAUGAACAAUCGCUUCGUCUUAUGACGAGGGGUUGUUUUUGCCUAAGAAACUAAUACAUGUAACUUCGACACCGGAUUAAUAAAUGGUAAAACCUAAAUAAAUUAGAUCACGAGCUAAACCAUUUACUUUUGUAUGCAUUUAAACUUUUGAUACAUAUGAGCUUGUUAAGAUGUUCGCAUAAACACCAUGGUGAUUUGAAGCAAGACAAAGUAAACUUGAACCGCUUGAGCCACUGACUUAAUAAGAACCUCCUUUCCCGCGGCAGAGAUUGUUUUUAAUACAUCCACUCACUUUGGCCCAUAGUUUGUCUUUGAGAUACUUAAAAGCACUAGACAUAGAAUUGACAAUAUUAGAAGGCAAGCCCAAAUAUUUCACAUUUAGUGUUUCUACUUGGACACUGAGACCACCUUUGACCUCAUUUUUGACAUUCUCUCUGCAAUCCUUGCUGAGAAACACUGAAGGCUUCCUAUUUAUUUAUUCUUGACCUAAAGCUUCAUUGCGUCUUGCCUUGGUCUUGCACUACUUGCGGCACAAUACGCCUUUGGAACUGCCGUUCCGAAUUCAGAGUGCCGAAGGUGGUGUGACGAUGUUGAGAUACCGUACUCGUUCGGUAGUGAUUCGGGUUGAUCAUUCAGAGUAGACUUUGACAAUAGCUGCAAGGACAAGAUUGCAUUAGGGAGCCUUUUAAUUACACCUCGGAGGUGCUCAGCAUCUUCUUGAUGAACAACAUGGUCCUAGUGUUGAAUAAUAUCAUAUGGGGUAGUGCUACAACAACUCCACCACAAGCAUGGAGGAAUUUAGCAAAUUCCAUCAGUACUAGGAGAAAGCCUAGUAGCAACGCGAGGUAAAGGACUACUAGUAGCGCGGGUGCCCACGCUACUACUAGGGUGCUACAGCUAAUUGGUAGUAGUAGCGUGGGUGACACCCUGCGCUACUACCACGUCUGUUAGUAUAGUAGCGCGAGUGUCACCCGCACUACUACUAGUUAUCUGUAGCCCGGGUCUGACCCCACGCUACUACUAACUAAUUAGGAAUUAAAAAAAUAAAUUCCAUCCAUGGUUGCUGCUGCUGGGCGUCAUCGUCCUCUCCGUCCAUGGCUGAUGUUGGUCCUGGAGGGGAUGACGUCGUCCAUGGUGAUGGUACUUCCUCACCCAAAUCGUCCCCACACCUCUCCUAUGCUACUGCUACAAAAUAAGAGAAAACGAUUAGAAGAGGAAGAGAGAUAUUGAGAGGAGUAGGAGGAGCAACUGACCGGUGGCCGCCGGAGUUGGAGCUGAUGCCCGAAACCCUAGACGAUGCCCGGUGACCUGUUGCUUCUUUUCCUGGGACCUCAUGUCCUCACAAGGCCAUGUCUCAGCGAGGAAGUGCAAGUGGUUGCGUAGCAGAUCUGUUCAUCGCCAUUGGUGGCGCUCUGUUGGAUCUUCCUCUCCUUCCAGCAUCGGAGAAGGAGGAGGAAGGAGGCGAAGGUGAGGCGUAAGUCAGUGGCCCAAAAUUUUUAUAUAGAUGAGACUUACUAAGUAAUAACCCCAUAGAAUCUAUCUAUAUAAAGAUAAAGAGGCAAUCGUGUCAGGAAGCGGGUUUUUCUUUGGCCAAAAGGUACUUAGAACUUGGAACGAGCAUGAAGAGAUUAACGAGACUUCUUUCUCUUUUGAGUUUUUCUGGCGGACCUGCCGCGCAAGAUCUUUGGUCUUCCCCUGGAACCGAUGAAAAAAAGUGGAUUGCUUCUUAUGUACUCGCUCAGCUUAAGAUGCUCGCAUAAUCCCCGUGGUAAUUUGAAGCAAUACAUAGAGUAAACUAGAACUGCUUGAGCCACUAACUUAAUGAGAACCUCCUUUCCCGUAGGAUAUAUCAUUUUUUCAAUCCAUCCAUUCACUUUGGCCCAUAGUAUGUCUUUGAGAUACUUAAAAGCAGUAGAUUAGAAUUACCAAUAUCAUAAGGCAAGCCCAAAUAUUUCUCAUUUAGUGUUUCUGUUGGACACUGAGAACACCUUUGACCUCAUAUCUAACAUUCUCUACACAACCCUUGCUGAGAAACACUGAAGACUUGCUAUUAUUUAUUCUUUGACCUGAAACUUGGCAAUAGGUUUGACACAUCUGUCGCCCCUGAACCAUUUGCCUUGAAAAACAGCAGGCUGUCAUCUGCAAAUAACAAGUGGUUAACUGAUGCCACCAAAGGAGCUACUUGGAUUCCAGUAAACUGGGAUGACUAGUCUCUAGAUUUGAGGAGGCCCGAAAGGCCAUGUACUGCUAACAGGAAAAUCAAGGUGAAUUGGAUCUUGCUGCCGUAUACCACGGGUAGGUUUGAGCUCAUCAAGUUUCUUGCUCUUGAAUAAAAUUGAAUAAGAUACAGAAGCUACCAUGCUCAUUUCUAUGGAGGCCCAUUUAACAGAGAAUCCAAAGUUGAGAUUUAUCACCUCCAAAUACGCCCAUUCAACUAGAUUAUAAGCCUUCAUCAUAUCCAAUUUUAGAGUACAAUGGUGAUGUUACAAUGACUUAUUCCUUUUCAUGAAAUGUAAGCACUCGUAGGCCACGAUUAUAUUGUCAGUGAUAAGGCGACCCGGAACAGAAGCCGACUCUUCACUCAAUAUUAUCUCCGGAAGGGCCCCUUUUAGCCGGUUAGCCAGAACUUUGGGUGUUAUUUGUAAAGUUGCAUAGGCUAAUACGACAGAACUGGCUUAGGAAAGUACCAUUUUGUACCUCAUCACUAUCCUCGCCACAAUACAAAGGACAACCAUUGUUACCUCCUCGCCGCAAAUAUCCCAAUGUUUCUCAAAGAAAUGUUCAAAGAAUCCGUCCGGGCCCAAGGCCUUCAUGCGGAACAUUUGAAACAAUACAAUUUAAACCUUGUUGUAGAAUACUUAGCGUCAAGGAAGGCAUUCAUCGCAUCACUGACCUUUACUGGAACCAAGUCAGGAAAUCAUGCAUAUUAGAAACAGUCUCAGAAGUGAAAAGCUCCGAGUAAAACUAUGUUGUGAUCUCUUCCAAUUCCUUAAGAACACUGAUAACAUCACAUUAGGUUGCUACAAUGAUUUGGUCAAAUUAUUCCGCCUUCUCAUCGAAGCCCUUAAGUGAAAGAAGCAUGUGGUCUUGUCCCCACUAAUCAGCCACUUAAUCUGAGAUCUAGUAGGCAAGAUGAGUGACGGGAAGUAGUUCGGAACAAUUUCCUCUUAUUCACUUCUAAAACAAAUUUUCGGUUUUUGUCGUUCCUAAGCCAAGGAUUUGAUAAAUAUUCAUAAAUUUUUAAAAUGUUCACCAAUAUUAAAAACAUCAUGAUUUUAAAAAACCGUGAUUUUUAAACAAAAUCAUAAAUAUGAAAAUUGCCAUUCACAAAAUUUUAAAAUAAAAUCAUGAAUUUUAAAAGAAUUUUCAAAAUUUUGAUAAAUAUCUACGAAUUUUACAACUUUGAUGAAUUUUAAAAACAAACCAUAACAAAAAAACACUAGCAAGUUCGAUCCUAAAAAAUGCCUUGCCUUCUACUAUGCGUAGCGUGCAUGGACAGCCGGACCUAGACACCCUAGACCAAAAACCCUACAUCUGGGCCAGGCCCGAGCUCCAUUUUUUGGCCCAAAGCCCAGCCCAAAAAGGCAGAAAUGGUAAGAAAUGUAUACUUUAUUCAAAAUAUAGGUAUAUUAUAUUGUUUUAGUAUCUCAAAUAAUUAUUUAAAUUGAAAAAUGUCGUUGUUCAUGUGUUUCUGGACGGGCCAAGCCAGGCUCAUGCUUGGGAUUUUUGCUUCGGGCUUUGACAACCUGGCCCGGGGUAUGAUCAAGUUCAGCAUGGCCCAGUCACACACCCUUGUACAACAUUUUGUUGUAGAGAGCGGCAAAUAUAAUUUUCCCGAUCUAAUAUUGCUCGCUAUAAGUCUAUAUCUAUACUUUUUUCUAUACCCAUACUAAUAAAGCAAGGUGCGUUUCCCCAAUUUUUUCAUUCAUUCACUGUCGAAAACAAUUAUGUUUCCUAUCCGAGGUGGUCCUAAAUUCUUAUGCGUUCAUCUGCUAAAAGAAAGGCUUUUCCGGAAUUUCUUACGUGGGUUGCGCGCUAUGGCCAGUGAAGUCAGCCCACUUAUUUUUCUGCCCAUGCAGCUCUAAAAAAUCUAUUUAACACACAGGGCAAGAAAUAGUCGGCACUUCAAACUGGAAAACAAAUAAUGGGCUAGCCAAUUUUUCUUUGUUUCUGUGUUUUAUUUCUAUUUUUAUUCUCCUUCCCCGAUUUCUUUUUUCACUUCCAAGUUUACAUUUCUUAUAGAAUUUAUUUUAUAAAUUCAAAAUUCUCAAAAAACAUAGAGAAUUUUAAAAAAAUGGAAAAUGUUCAUAACUCCAAUUUUUUUGCUAUUUAAAUUUUUUUCAGAACUUGAAUUUUUUCCCUUUUUCCGAAAAUUUUAUUGUUUUUUAAAAUUGUUAGAGAUUUCUAAAAAGAAAAUGGAAAUUUAAAAAGUCUUCCAAAUUCGAAAAAAAAUCAUGUUUUAGUGAAAUUUUCACAACUCAAAUUAUUCUUAAAAAAUACACAUUUUAAAAAGUAAGGAUUUUCAAUACAUGUUCCCGUUCUAAAAAAAUGUUGACAAAUUCAAAUAAUGUUCAUGUUUUUAUUUUAAAAGUUCGUGUUUUCAAAAAUGUUUGUAAAUUCUAAAAGAUGUUCCUAUUUCAUAUUUUGUUCAUGUUUUUCUGAAAGUGUACCUAAUUUUCAAAAAACUGUUCAGGAUUUAAAAAAUGGUUCAUGUUGCCUACAAUAUUGAGAAACUUCAUACCUUAAAAUCUCCUCGAUUGAAGGAACCAUAGAUUGAAUAAUUCAUGGGCCUUCUCUGGUGGACGAUGACGUAGCAAAACUCUUAAAUGCCCUCAAUCAAUGAAUGGAAAAAUAGCGAAUUGAGUACUUCACACCCAGCGAAACAAAGAAGCUAAAUGUUCCCUUUUUACGUGCGCACAGGGUUUUGCUUGCACAAAUAAUUCUCACUAACUUCCAAUGCAUACUAAUUUUUCUCCCAUUGCGAAGCACAAGCAUAUGUGCUAGUUUUAUCCACGGUGGUACUAAAUUUUUUUGAGUCCAUCUGCUAGAAAAAGGAAAAACAGUUUUGUCAAAAUUUUCGUACAUGGGCCGCGCGCGCUGUGGCCCAGCGAAGCUGGCCCAUUUAUUUCCGGCCGAAGCAGCUGAGAAUAAUUAUUUAACGCUUGGGGCGGCAAAUAGACAAAGUUUCGCAUAGGGCGCCAAAUAUUUGGUCGGCCCAUAUUUGUUUUCUCUCUAGUUUGUUUCUUUUUUUAUUUUCCUUUCUCCUUUUCUUAUCUCUUUACUUUUUCUUUUUUCCCUUUCAAGUUAAUUUUUCUUUUCUCCUUUUCCAUAAAUUAAAUUUUUCAAUAUUUCAGAAUUUUAGUUUUGGAUUAAAUUUUCGUAAAAUCUUCAUAAUUAUUUCUCCCCAUUUUGAAUUGUUUUUAAACUAUAAUUUUUUCUUCUUCUUCUUCCAAAAUUUAUUCAAAACUAUAGAAUAAAGUUCGCAUAUUAAUUUUUUUAUGCUUUCCAAAAUUGUUUGAUAUUUUCAAAAUAUAUUGCAUUAAAAAAUUAAAUAUUUAGAUUUUAUUGAAAUGUUAAUUCAAAGUAAUGUUUGUGUUUAAAAACAUGUUUUUCAAAAUUCUUUUCAAUGUCCAAAACACGUUUUCAUUUCCAAAAAAAAUCACGUAUUCAAAACAUGUUUGCUUUCUUAUAAUAGGUUCAUGUUUUCAAAAAACAUAAAUUUCAAAAAAAUUGUCACAUCUUAAAGAAUAUUCAAAAUAUCGUAAUUAUUACUUUAUUUUUUGAAAAAAAUCAAGAAAAACAGAAAAAAAAAUGUAUAUUAUGCUACAGUAUAUUCUUAAAAUUUCGCCCUCGCCAUUUGUUAGCAUGAGCUGUUUGUUCGAGUGGCUAGCAGCACGUGGUCGAGUUUUUGAGGUCAUGAGUUUGAUCCUUCAACUCAGUGGUUGUUUUGGAUUUUUAUUCACGCCUUACAAAUACAAGUCAUUUUGGUACCUGCCAGCGGCCUUGCCAGACUCGAACUGCCGUGCAUCCGACGUGCUAUUUGACGAUAAAAGAGAAUAUGUUGCUUGACUAUAAUUAAAAAAAUGUGGGCACAUGCCAAUAAAAGAGGAUAUGCUGGUUUGACUCUGAUUAAAAAAAUGUUGGCAAGUGAGCGUCGAAAUAAUUAAAGAGAAUAAACCCUGGUAAAGUAGGGACUACCUGGUUACGUGCUUAUUAUACCAAAGAAACGGGAUUUCCUGCAAUUAGUACUUCAACCGGUUACACCAUCAUAGGAGAGAGUAGUCGAAGCAACUAUGCCACGAAGGUCGCCGUGCUGCACAAAAUGAGGAGGCAACCGCAACCUAGACACGGAGGCAGACUCGGAGAAAAAAAAGCGCAAGUUGGGUGGUGGCCACCACUCCAGCAACCCCAUCAAUAUCAAGAACUCGUGGGCCAAACAUGAUCUCAAGAACAUCGCCGGGGAGACCUUUUGAUGGACACAUCAAUUAUCUCUCCUGAUACUUCUCGUUAAAAAUAUCUUUCUAGUUCUAACGCACGGGCAUAUGUGCUAGUGAUAUAUAAAAUAUGUUGUGCCAAUGAGCACACGGGCUAGCGAGACUCGCCAUGCUUUCAUGUCAUACCGGAGUCCAAACACUCAACUGGAGGGUCCAACCUUAGCGACAGAGUCUUCUUUUGUUGGGAGAAUCUAUAUAUCCGCGAGUGUUAUAUCUCGCAUCUGGUUUACGCGCAGUGCACCUAACCACUAGGCUUUGCCUUACAUUCAUGACAGAGUAGUAAAGCUAGAUUGUUUAAGUCCACACGAGUCAAGGUUUUCAAUGUUUCUUCUCCAUUUUUUUUCAUUUUUUCAUUUUUGUUUUUAUAUUUAUUUCUGUCGGGUUUGUUUGAUCCCUUUCGAGGGCAUAAUAGAGGAACCACACCGUGGUGAUGUGGAUGGGUUUAUAGAUACCAUCACUGUAGGGGAAACGAGGAAGGUUUUCGAUGCACGAAUCACUAGCAUACAUUUUCAUGUUUUACGCUAAUUUGCAAUAUUUGCUAGUCGUUGCUUAAUUGGUUGCGGAAACUGUGGAAACCUUAGUGUUCCUGAUAUUAUUAUUUUGUUCCACGGUUUAUUCUGUGAUAACUCUAUUAGUAUGGGCGGUAUUAUUCCUAAAUGGUUAAGUCUGAACUGUACAAAGGGCCCCAUCUUUGGAGGCAUCUAUGCUUCACACCUAGCUGCGCAUUUUAACAUAGCUAUUAGGCAUUAUGAGAAGGAAGAAAAAUUGCUACCCCCUGUUUAUUUAGAUUAUAAUAGUAUGGUGGCACAUGAUUUUAUUGUUAAGAAUAAGGAAGGGGAGCUUAAAUACAAAUUGUUCUUUGAUAAACAUCAUCCUGAGACUAUUACCCUGCCUGCUCCUUCCUUGUUUGAUUUAUCUGCAGGCAAGUACCUCGUUCCAUUAGAGGCUAUUCACGCCUACCGAAACCCUACAUCAGCCAUAGAGCCAGAGUCGGAACCACAAGUUGAUUCUCCAUGACAGUCUAAUUACCAUUGGGAUCCAGAAAUGAUUGCCACCAGUGGCAAUCAGAGUCUUCUUCGCAGUACGACCCCAACUAUUACUAUGGAUAUCCGCCAGGCCAGCCGUGGCCAUAGACCAACUUAGGUCAAAAGCCUAAACUUGGGGGAGUACGUAUUUCCCGCCGACAUUACAUUCAUGUUCGCACACUCAUUGCUAGAUGUCGGUGCUCAUACUUUUUCAUUGUAUCAUCCAUACUAGUUCAUUUCCUUUUUAAGCUUUCUUCUUGUGUGUUUAAUAAACCUUAAGAAAAACCAAAAACAUUAGUUGUAGCUUUUAGCUAGUUUUAAUUUCCAUGCUCGUAGUAGUAAUUAAAAAGAAAACCCAAAAAAAAGAUUUCAUGUUCUUCUUUUGCUUGUUGGGAGCUUUCCCGUGUAAAUAGUUUUAUUUCUUUUCUUUUCUUUGGGGGUCGAUAGGAGAAGACCAUGAUUAAAUUGUUGAAGUGGCUCUUAUAUGUAUUUUUGUUGAUCUGACAAAAGAGCCCAUAUUGCCUCGACUUCUCCUGUUUAUUGAAUGCUUGCAGAUUCCAGCUUAGUCCAAUGCACGUGCACUAUUAUUAUUAUCCACAUCAUUCGGUCGUGCAAGUGAAAGGCAAUUAUGACGAUAUAUGAUGGACUGACUGAGAUGAGAAAAGCUGGUAUGAACUCAACCUGUCUUGUUUUUGUAAAUAUGAUUAGUUCAUCGUUCCUGAUUCAGCCUAUUAUGAAUAAACAUGUUUGCAAUGACAACUAGAGAUCAUAGUUUCUUGUGCCAUGCUUGAUUAGCUAGGAGCUUAUAAUGGUUUACCUUGCGUGCCAACAUGCUAUUAAAAUGGUUGUGAUGUGGUAUGAUAGGGUGGUAUCCUCCUCUGAACGAUUCGAGUGGCUUGACUUGGCACAUAUUCACGCAUGUAGUUGAAACAAAAUCAACAUAGCCUCUACGAUAUUUAUGUUCAUGGUGAAUUAUAUCCUACUCAUGCUUGCAUUCGGUGCUGAUUAAUUUUAAUGCAUGUUUAUGACUGUUGUCGCUCUCUAGCUGGUCGCUUCCCAGUCUUUUGCUAGCCUUCACCUAUACUAAGCGGGAAUACUACUUGUGCAUCCAAUCCCAUAAACCCCAAAGUUAUUCCAUAUGAGUCCACCAUACCUACCUAUUUACGGUAUCUACCUGCCGUUGCAAGUAAAUUUGUAUGUGCCAAACUCUAAACCUUCAAAUAAAUAUCAUGUUUUGUAUGCUCGAAUAGCUCAUGUAUCAACUAGGUUUGUCUGUAUCUUUCAUGUUAGGCGGGUUAUUCUCAAGAGGAGUGGACUCCGCUCCUCACUCGCGAGAAAAUGGCUGGUCACCCGGAUGCCUAGUCCCAUGCUUUAUGCAAAUCAAAUCAAAAUAAUUGCAAACAAAAUUGCCCCUGGGACUCUUGUUAGUUGGAGGCACUCGUUGUUUCGAGCAAGCCAUGGAUUGAUGCUUGUUGGUGGAGGGGGGGUAUAAAAUUUUCCAUUCUGUUUGGGAACCGCCUAUAAUGUGUGUAGCAUGGAAGAUAUCACCAUCUCUUGGUUGUUAUGUUGACAAUGAAAGUAUACCGCUCAAAAUAUUAUUUACCUCUAUUUCAAAAUCGAGCUCUGGCACCUCUACAAAUCCCUGCUUCCCUCUGCGAAGGGCCUAUCUAUUUACUUUUAUGUUGAGUCAUCAUCCUCUUAUUAAAAUGCACCAGUUGGAGAGCACCGUUGUCAUUUGCAUUCAUUACUAUUAUUUUACAUUGAAUAUGACUUGACUGGAUCUCUUUUACCAUGAAUUACAAUGUCUAGUCAGUCCUUGAUCUUUAAAGGUGCUCUACAUUUAUGUUUUGCGGUCUCAGAAAGGGCUAGCGAGAUACCAUCUUGUUAUAUCAUAUCAUGAUUGUUUUGAGAAAGUGUUGUCAUCCGAGAUUUAUUGUUAUUGCUCGCUAGUUGAUUAUGCCAUUGAUAUGAGUAAACAUGAUACAUAAAUGUUAUUGGAAUAUGGUUAGUUCAUAAUCUUUGCUGAAAACUUGAAUGCUGGCUCUACAUAUUUACAACAACAAGAGCAAACAGAGUUUGUAAAAGUUUUUCUUUAUCACUUUCAGUUUAUCAACUGAAUUGCUUGAGGACAAGCAAAGGUUUAAGCUUGAGGGAGUUGAUACGUCUCCGUCGUAUCUACUUUUCCAAACACUUUUGCCCUUGUUUUGGACUCUAACUUGCAUGAUUUGAAUGGAACUAACCCGGACUGACGUUGUUUUCAGCAGAAUUGCCAUGGUGUUAUUUUUGUGCAGAAAUAAAAGUUCUCGGAAUGACCUAAAAAUCAAAGGAGAAUUAUUUUGAAAUAUAUAAAAAAUAUUGGAAGGAAGAUCCACGUCAGGGGGGCCUCCACCUGUCCACGAGGGUGGAGAGCGUGCCCUACCCCCCUGGUGCUACCUCUUGAGCACUGCGUUGGUUUUCCCUUGAAGAGGAAAGGGUGAUGCAGUAAAGUAGUGUAAGUAUUUCCCUCAGUUUUUGAGAACCAAGGUAUCAAUCAAGUAGGAGAUCACGCUCGAGUCCCGCGCACCUACACAAACAAAUAAGAACCUCGCAACCAAUGCAAUAAAGGGGUUGUCAAUCCCUUCACGGUCACUUACGAGAGUGAGAUGUGAUAGAUAGGAUAAGAUAAUAUUUUUGGUAUUUUUAUGAUAAAGAGAAAUAAAGAUGCAAAGUAAAAUAAACAGCAAUAGAAAUAACUAAGUAUCACCUGGGCGCACCCCCCUGCCUCGUGGACCCCCUGACGCUCCACCGACCUCAACCCUGACUCCAUAUAUUCACUUUCGGGGAGAAAAAAACCAGAGAGAAAGAUUCAUCAUGUUUUACGAUAUGGAGCCGCCGCCAAGCCCUAAACUCUCUCGGGAGGGCUGAUCUGGAGUCUGUUCGGGGCUCCGGAGAGGGGAAUCCGUCGCCAUCGUCAUCAUCAACCUUCCUCCAUCACCAAUUUCAUGAUGCUCACCGCCGUGCGUGAGUAAUUCCAUCGUAGGCUUGCUGGACGGUGAUGGGUUGGAUGAGAUUUAUCAUGUAAUCAAGUUAGUUUUGUUAGGGUUUGAUCCCUAGUAUCCACUAUGUUCUGAGAUUGAUGUUGCUAUGACUUUGCUAUGCUUAAUGCUUGUCACUAGGGCCCGAGUGCCAUGAUUUCAGAUCUGAACCUAUUAUGUUUUCAUCAAUAUAUGAGUGUUCUUGAUCCUAUCUUGCAAGUCUAUAGUCACCUACUAUGUGUUAUGAUCCGGCAACCCCGAAGUGACAAUAAUCGGGACCACUCCUGGUGAUGAUCGUAGUUUGAGGAGUUCAUGUAUUCACUAUGUGUUAAUGCUUUGGUCUGGUACUCUAUUAAAAGGAGGCCUUAAUAUCCCUUAGUUUCCGCUAGGACCCUGCUGCCACGGGAGGGUAGGACAAAAGAUGUCAUGCAAGUUCUUUUCCAUAAGCACGUAUGACUAUAUUCGGAAUACAUGCCUACAUUACAUUGAUGAAUUGGAGCUAUUUCUGUGUCACCCUAGAUUAUGACUGUUACAUGAUGAACCGCAUCCGACAUAAUUCUCUAUCACCAAUCCAUUGCCUACGAGCUUUCCAUAUAUUGUUCUUUGCUUAUUUACUUUUCCGUUGCUAUUGCUAUCAUCACUAUAAAACAACAAAAACAUUACUUUUGCUAUCGUUACCUUUUGCUACCGUUACCACUACUAUCAUAUUACUUUGCUACUAAACACUUUGCUGGAGAUAUUAAGUUUCCUGGUGUGGUUGAAUUGACAACUCAGCUGCUAAUACUUGAGAGUAUUCUUUGGCUCCCCUUGUGUCGAAUCAAUAAAUUUGGGUUCAAUACUCUACCCUCGAAAACUGUUGCGAUCCCCUAUACUUGUGGGUUAUCAUUGCUCCUGCAGCGGGUCUUGCACCUAGCGGUGCUUCUAGGACGUAAUUCUUCUGUGUAGCAAUGAGGAUAAUUCUCAAGUUAUGGACCCAGUCCGUGUAGUUGCUACCAUCAUCUUUCAACUUAGCUUUCUCUACGAACGCAUUAAAAUUCAAAGGAACAGUAGCAGGGGCCAUUGAUCUACAAUAACAUAGACAUGCAAAAUACUAUUAGGUGCUAAGUUCAUGAUAAAUUAAAGUUCAAUUAAUCAUAUUACUUAAGAACUCCCACUUAGAUAGACAUCCCUCUAGUCAUCCAAAUGAUCACGUGAUCCAUAUCAACUAAACCAUGUCUGAUCAUCACGUGAGAUGGAGUAGUUUCAAUGGUGAACAUCACUAUGUUGAUCAUAUCUACUAUAUGAUUCACGCUCGACCUUUCGGUCUCAGUGUUCCGAGGCCAUAUCUGCAUAUGCUAGGCUCGUCAAGUUUAACCCGAGUAUUCUGCGUGUGCAAAACUGGCUUGCACCCGUUGUAUGUGAACGUAGAGCUUAUCACACCCGGUUAUCACGUGGUGUCUCGGCACGAUGAACUAUAGCAAUGGUGCAUACUCAGAGAGAACACUUGUACCUUGAAAUUUAGUGAGAGAUCAUCUUAUAAUGCUACCGCCGUACUAAGCAAAAUAAGAUGCAUAAAGGAUAAACAUCACAUGCAAUCAAAAUAAGUGAUAUGAUAUGGCCAUCAUCAUCUUGUGCCUUUGAUCUCCAUCUCCAAAGAACCGUUAUGAUCACCAUCAUCACCGGCUUGACACCUUGAUCUCCAUCGUAGCAUCGUUGUCAUCUCGCCAACUAUUGCUUCUACGACUACCGCUACCGCUUAGUGAUAAAGUAAAGCAAAAACAAGUGUGAUGUCCUCUACUUUGUUGUUGCAAGUUUUACGUGGCUGCUACGGGCUUCUAGCAAGAACCGUUCUUAUCUACGCCUCAAAACCACAACAAUUUUUCGUCAAGUGUGUUGUUUUAACCUUCAACAAGGAUCGGGCGUAGUCAAACUCGAUUCAACUAAAGUUGGAGAAAUAGACACCCACUAGCCACCCGUGUGUGAAGCACCUCGGUAGAACCAGUCUCAUGAACGCGGUCAUGUAAUGUCGGUCUGAGCCACUUCAUCCAACAAUACCGCCAAAUCAAAGUAAGACGUUGCUGGUAAGAAGUAUGACUAUUAUCGUCCACAACUCAUUGUGUUCUACUCAUGCAUAUAACAUCUACGCAUAGACCUGGCCCGGAUGUCACUGUUGGGAAACGUAUUAUUUCAAAAAAAAAUCCUACAAUCACGCAAGAUAUAUCUAGGAGAAGCAUAGCAAUGAGCGGGGAGAGUGUGUCCACGUACCCUCGUAGACCGAAAGCGGAAGCAUUUAGUAACACGGUUGAUGUAGUCGAACGUCUUUGCGAUCCAACCAAUCCAAACACCUAACGUACGGCACCUCCGCAUUCAGCACACGUUCAGCUCGAUGACAUCCCUCGAGCUCUUGAUCUAGUUGAGGCCGAGGGAUAGUUCCGUCAUCGCGAUGGCGUGGCGACGGUGAUGAUGAAGUUACCGGCGCAGGGCUUCGCCUAAGCACUACGACGAUAUGACCGAGGUGUGUAACUGUGGAGGGGGGCACCGCACACGGCUAAGAGAAACUUGUGUCUUUGGGGUGCCCCCUCCCACGUAUAUAAAUGGAGGGAGGAGGCCGGCCCAAGGGGGGGCGCCACAUGUGGGGAGUCCUACUAGGACUCCCUUGUCCUAGUAGGAUUCCCCUCUCCUUUCCUUUUACGGAGGGGGAAAGGGGGGAAGGAGAGGAGGGGAAGAGGGAAAGGGGGGCACGCCCCCUCCCCUUCCUAUUCGGACUCCACUUGGGGGGGACGCGCACGCCUCCCCCUUGUGGGUUGUCCCCUCUUCUCUCCCAUGGCCCAUAAGGCCCAUGAUUUCCCCCAGGGGGUUCCCGUAACCUCCCGGUACUCCGAAAAAAUUCCCGAAUCACUCGGAAUCAUUCCGAUGUUCAAAUGCAACCUUACAAUAUAUGAAUCUUUACCUCUCAACCAUUUUCGUGAUCUCAUCUGGGACUCCGAACAAACUUCAGUCAUCAAAUCACAUAACUCAUAAUACAAAUUGGCAUCGAACGUUAAGUGUGUGGACCCUACGGGUUUGAGAACUAUGUAGACAUGACCGAGACACAUCUCCGGUCAAUAACCAAUAGCGGAACCUAGAUGCUCAUAUUGGCUCCUACAUAUCUACGAAGAUCUUUAUCGGUCAAACCGCAUAACAACAUACGUUGUUCCCUUUGUCAUAUGUAUGUUAUUUGCCCGAGAUUCGCUCGUCGGUAUCCUCAUACCUAGUUCUAUCUCGUUACCGGCAAGUCUCUUUACUUGUUCCAUAAUGCAUCAUCUGGUAACUAACUCAUUAGUCACAUUGCUUGCAAGGCUUAUAGUGAUGUGCAUUACCGAGAGGGCCCAUAUAUACCUCUCUGAUACACGGAGUGACAAAUCCUAAUCUCGAUCUAUGCCAACUCAAGAAACACCAUCGGAGACACCUGUAGAGCAUCUUUAUAAUCACCCAGUUACGUUGUGAUGUUUGAUAGCACACUAAGUGUUCCUCCGGUAUUCGGGAAUUGCAUAAUCUCAUAGUCAUAGGAACAUGUAUAAGUCAUGAAGAAAGCAAUAGCAAUAAAAUUAAACGAUCAUUGUGCUAAGAUAACGGAUGGGUCUUGUCCAUCACAUCAUUCUCUAAUGAUGUGAUCCCGUUCAUCAAAUUACAACACAUGUCUAUGGUUAGGAAACUUAACCAUCUUUGAUUAACGAGCUAGUCUAGUAGAGGCAUACUAGGGACACUCUGUUUGUCUAUGUAUUCACACAUGUACUAAGUUUCCGGUUAAUACAAUUUUAGCAUGAAUAAUAAAGAUUUAUCAUGAUAUAAGGAAAUAUAAAUAACAACUUUAUUAUUGCCUCUAGGGCAUAUUUCCUUCAGGAAGAGCAUUGCGGGUGGGAGGGAGAAGGGGAAUUAAGAGAGUGUAGGUUUCGGUUUGGGCCUCCGCGCGCUAUGUGUACACAUGUGUUGGUGGGUCAAUAGUAGUGGCGCCAGGUUUAUACCCCACACUACUACUAUGGCCUAUCCCGGGGGUACGAUAGAGACCACUUAGUAGUAGCGAGGGAUUUAUACCCCUCGGUACUACUAUCAACUUAGUACUAGUGAGGGAUUUAUACCCCUUGCUACUACUAUCAACUUAGUAGUAGUGAGGGAUUUAUACCCCUCGAUACUACUAUGGCCAGUCCCGGGGGGCACGGUGGAGACCACUUAGUAGUAGUGUGGGGUUUAUACCGCUCGCUACUACUAUCAACUUAGUAGUAGCGUGGGUUCUAUACCCCUCUCUACUAAUAAUUAGCAGCAGUGUGGCCCAUAUACCCCUUGCUACUGUUAAGCAUCUAUCUAUAAAUUAUUUUCUAGUAGUGCAUCAAUGGCGGCGAAAUCAGUCAUUCUGCUUGUUUUCCCUACUAGCUCUCUGACGUCCAGAACAAGUUUACGGUCAUAAGGUGCAAUGCCCUUGCCUUCAUGAGUGACACGAUGACACGGGAACGGGCUUCCAAGCCUAUGGUGUCGCAUCGUGUCGUGGUCUGCUAAACUUAGUGGACGGAUGCUACUCCAAUAUCGGUUGAUCCUAUACUACGGUACCAAGGAAGACACGCAACUACUAUAUAUAUUUCUUCAAGUCAGUCAACACAAGUAAACUCUGGGAGUUCAACUGGUGCAGCUAUGCAAUGCUAAUGGAGACAACACAAUUCAACUUUAGCACUUCACACAUAAGAAAAACCACGUUCAAUGGCACACACCUUAGAGUGUACCUAUGGUGGUUGAAUGGGCUAUAAGAAAUGUGAGUCCAUGUGAAGAUGCCAAACAUAAUAACACGGCUAAUUACACAUGCAGUGGCAGCAGCAACAAGUGCGUGAAUUCAACAAAUGAUCUAGGGUACACAUGCAACGGUGUCCUUGAGUAUGACAACAACCCUUAUCUUCUAGACAAAUGCAUGGUAUGCUACUAAUUUAUUUGCUACAAAUUCCAAUGAAUUGUGUCCUUUGCUUUGUACAUACCCAAUUAUAAUAUUUUAUUAUGCUAAUACAAUGUAGCCUUCAAUUUAAACCAAGGUUUGCAUCCAUUAAUUAUGUUAGGUUCAUAUGACUUCACUACAUAAAUAGGUAGAUAAUGCAUAAGACUGAGAUUGUAGCUAGGGAUGAAAAUCUAAAUACGGCAUGAAUCUAACAAUUAUGAGUAAUGUCUUUGUGACAAGAACUUUCUUUGUCUUUUAUUCCCAUGUUUGAACUAGUAUAGGUCAGGGUUACACAUUAUGGUGCACAUCACUUUAUUUGUCACCGUUACAUUGAACACCCAUUGACUAAACAACGAUAAUCCAUCCGUCUUGUAUUACAGGUCUUCAUUUCAUUGGCCACCGAUGCUUGUAAGACUACUCCCAGAUGGUUGUUGUUGUGGAUAUGGUUGUUGAGGUUGGUGUGGUUGCUGGGGGAAUGGUUGUUGGGGUUGCUGGGAAAUUGUUUGUUCUAGUUGCUGGGAUAAUUGUUGUUGGGGCUGCAAAAAUGGUUGUUGUGGUUGCAGGAUGGAUGGUUGCUGGGGUUGGGGCUGGGGAAAUGAUUGUUGUGAUUGUUGGGGUUGCUGGGAAAAUGGUUGUUGCGGUUGAAGGGGGAAUGGUUGUUGUGGUUAUAGAGGGAAAGGUUGUUGUGGUUGUUGAGGGAAUGGUUGUUGUGGUUGUUGNNNNNNNNNNNNNNNNNNNNNNNNNNNNNNNNNNNNNNNNNNNNNNNNNNNNNNNNNNNNNNNNNNNNNNNNNNNNNNNNNNNNNNNNNNNNNNNNNNNNNNNNNNNNNNNNNNNNNNNNNNNNNNNNNNNNNNNNNNNNNNNNNNNNNNNNNNNNNNNNNNNNNNNNNNNNNNNNNNNNNNNNNNNNNNNNNNNNNNNNNNNNNNNNNNNNNNNNNNNNNNNNNNNNNNNNNNNNNNNNNNNNNNNNNNNNNNNNNNNNNNNNNNNNNNNNNNNNNNNNNNNNNNNNNNNNNNNNNNNNNNNNNNNNNNNNNNNNNNNNNNNNNNNNNNNNNNNNNNNNNNNNNNNNNNNNNGAAUGGUUGGUGGGGAAUUAUUUGUUCUGGUUGCUGGGGAAUUAUUUGUUCUGGUUGCUGGGGGAAUGGUAGUUGGGGUUGGGGAAAUGGUUGUUGGGGUUGCUGGGGGAAUGGCUGUUGUGGUUGCAGAGGGAACGAUUGUUGGGUCUGGGGAAAUGGUUGUUGUGGUUGCCAGGAAAAUGGUUGUUGGGGCUGUGGAAAAGGUUGUUGUGGUUGUUGGGGUUGCUGGGGGAAUGGUUGUUGUGGUUGUAAGGGGGUCGGUUGUUGGGGUUGGGGAUAUAAUUGUUGUGAUUGCUGGAGAAAUUGUUGUUGGGGUGUGGAAAAUGGUUGUUGUGAUGGAUAUGGUUGCUAUGAUGGAUAUGGUUGUUGUGGAUAUGGCUGUUGUGGAAAUGGUUGUUGUUGAUGGGAAAAUGAUUGUUGAGGUGAUUGUAACUCUUUGUUGCUAGGGUUUAGCUGCCUAGCGGCAAUGGCGGUGUUCAUCGCCAUGGCAAGGAGGACAAAGAUGAGGAAGGUCUUCAUGUUGGAUUUGUGGUUACUACUGCUUGCUUGCCUUUGAUGCUUGUGGUCUAGGUGUGUGAAGUUUGGUUGAUGGAAGGUGUCCUUGGUGGUGCAUGUGUAUUUAUAGUUUUCAUGGCAUGGCUUGCUUUCAUCUUUGCACUCGCUCUUUGAAAAAGUGCAUCAAUGCUUAUCCAACUAAUCAUUUGGUUUGUUGUGUUUGGUGCAACUACUUACU